rnacentral:lncRNA from 1 species
CCCGGAUCCCUUUUUUUAGGAAUGGGAUUGGAUUGAUGGAUUUUCAGAUUUUGUACCAUUUCAAAUGUACAAAAUUUGUAUCCUUAACAGUGUUUCUAACACUGAUAUUUUGUACGAACGUGUACAAAAUACCUGUAAUUAACGUACUUUAACGGAACAUAACUUUUUCGUUACAAAUCCGAUUCAAGCCUAACAUGCGUUCACGCGUUCGUAGCGACAAGUACUAAUUUAGUACGAAACCAGGAAAAUGAAACUGAAAACCGAAAACCACAUCCACGUCAUAUUCCAGUUUUUUCCAAAAAGGGUAAAACCGUCAACUCACACCAACGGAAAAGGAAUUACAAUGAAAAGUAGGGACGGGUCGUCACAAAAUUUGUUUCAACUCGUUUAAAUUUUAAUACGUAUUUUUGUUGGUAAACAAAUGGGGCUAAACGUCAAAUAAAGAAAAACUAAAGCAAAGCAUCACAAGGUUUAGAGAUUUCAGCAACAUUAGACAAUAAGAGAUGUCGACAAGAGGCAGGAGCUUAAGUGAAAUACAUUGGACCAAAAGACUACGGCAAACUCAAGUUAGCCAACUCCUCAACCACAAAAUGCAUCUCAUCAUAAACGUGACCAACUUCACAAUUCCAUCUUUGUUUAACAGCUCAAGGCAAGCUUGCACCAACUCACCAAGAGGAUGGUUCUCACUCACACCUUGAAGAACUAAAUGGGCAAUGAGAACAAAAUCAAAUUCCUAUUUUACACGUAUUUGUUUAACAAUGAAAAAUUUUGGCUCACCGUGUGAAAAUUUUAUUAGGCUAGCUGAUAGUGUAAAAAAAUAUUGUAUGUUUCUGCAUUUAUAAAAAUUUAUAUCUUUAAGCUAGCCUACUUGGUGAAGUCUCCGCCCUUAUUCACCGUCAGGUGAUCUUUUUUGUCUAAUAAUGCAUUGUUAUGUGCAAAAUGCAUUGCCAUGUGCAAAGUAUUCUCCACAUGAUAAUGUAUUAUUAAAUCUAAACGUCACAUUAUAAUAAAUCAGUUAUAUGUAAGUUGCUUUCGAAAAUUAUACUAAUGAAGAGAUGAUCGUGCCGCAUACGCUUAGGCAUGUGGCUCUAUUAUUUGCCUAGUACUAGUCAUCAAAUUCCAGUCUAUUAGAAACCGACUUAUUUAUUUGAAAAAAAAAAAACGAAGAAGAAGGGGUUGACUGAUUUUAUUUUUUAUUUAUUUUUUGUUGACAUGCAUACUUUAUGGGGUCAUUUUGAUGGGAAAGGAUGGGAUAGUGAUGGUAGCACCUCUUCCGGGUCAAUGGUAGAGUCCACUUUACUUGGACUUCUUGAAUCGUUCAACAGGAAACGCUUUUUGGGUCAAUGCAUGGGAACGAUCCAUUUUAAAAUUGUUUGUAAAUUUCUAUAAGUAGAUAGUAAUGACCCAAUUAAAUAUUUCCCCUGCACAGAUUUACUUGCAUUGCACCUAGCAAAGAUCAGUUUUUUUGUUUGUCCAUCGAUCCAUAUCAAACAAAUCAAUCAUCAGAACCAUCAUAAAAUAUUUUGUUUUUAGAUUGUUGAAGUAAUAUUAAAAAAUAUAAAAAAAACAUAAGAAUUUUAAUAAUAAUAAUCAUAAAGAAAUUCACAACAUCAAUUAUGUAUGAGAUUAUUAUAAACAACUAAAGAGAAAGUUAGAAAAACUGACAAACUUGAAGAUUGAGGUUUCCAUAAAUACAAUGUCCUAAAGAUAGAAUUUUGCCCCUACUCUUGAUCCGAAGUUGAAGCACUUCAAUAUUUGGAUUCUGGCGAAUUUUAUAUUUUCUAUACUCUCAAGACACGACUCGAAAUUUGACAAACGAAAAAUGAGAGAAAUAAAGUGAGGAAACCCUAUUUCUCAAGAGUAAAAAUUAACUCUAAUUUUAUAUCUUUAAUGAUAAUGGUUUCAUGGGUUUAUACAGAACCCAUUGUAUUGUUUGGCGUAAAAAUGCAACUUUGCAUCUAUACAACCUACACCACUCAUCAAACUACACGUCCCAAAUUACAAAUAAUAUGAUGCAACAAUUAAGAAUAAACAAGAUUAAUUUUUUCAUUCAAUAUUUUGAAAUUAAGUAUUAUAAUAUAAAUUUUCAACAUUGACUUGACUGUUCGUCUAUCAGUAACAAGUCCACAUCUCAACCCAAAUACAAUGAUGUCAAAUGAGAAGGGAAAAUGAGAAGGAAACUCUGGAGGGUAGAGGGAAGGAAAAGGAGAGAGAAAAGGAGGAAAAGAGAAAAGGAGGAGGAAAAAGUAGAAAUAAAGAAAAACUAAAGCAAAGCAUCACAAGGUUUAGAGAUUUCAGCAAUAUUUGACAAUAAGAGAUGUCGACAAAAGGUAGAAGCUUGAGUGAAAUACAUUGGACUAAAAAAAUACGACAAACUCAAGUUCGCCAAUUCCUUAGCCAUAAAAUGCAUCUCAUCAUAAACGUGAUCAAGUUUACAAUUCCAUCUUUGUUUAACAGUUCAAGGCAAGCCUGCACCAACUCACCGAGAGGAUGGUUCUCACUCACACCUUGAAGAACUAUAUGGACAAUGAUCAAAGAACUAAAUGGACAAUGAGAACAAAAUCAAAUUCCAAUUUUACAAGUAUUUGUUUAAUAAUGAAAAUUUUUGGCUCACCAUGUGAAAAUUUUAUUAGGCUAGCUGAUAGUGUAAAAAAAUAUUGUAUGUUUAUGCAUUUAUAAAAAUUUAUAUCUUUAAGCUAGCCUACUCGGUGAAGUCUCCGCCCUUAUUCACCGUCACGCGAUCUUUUUGUCUAAUAAUGCAUUGCCAUGUGCAAAGUAUUUUCCACAUGACAAUGUAUUAUUAAAUUUAAAUGUCACGUUAUAGUAAAUCAGUUAUAUAUAAGUUGUUUUCGAGAAUUAUACUAGUGAAGAGCUGACCGUGCCGCAUACGCUUAGGCAUGUGGCUCUAUUAUUUGCCUUGUACUAGUCAUCAAAUUCCAGUCUAUUAGAAAUCGACUUAUUUAUUUGAAAAAAAAAAUUGAAAAAAAAAAUGAAGAAGAAGGGGUUGACUGAUUUUAUUUUUUAUUUAUUUUUUGUUGACAUGCAUACUUUAUGGGGUCAUUUUGAUGGGAACCUAGGAUGCGAGAGUGAUGGUAGCACCUUUUCCAGGUCAAUGGUAGAGUCCACUUCACUUGGACGUCUUGAAUCAUCCAUCAAUAACAAGUCCACAUCUCAACCCAAAGAGGAAUACGAUUGUCUGCCUUCCCAAUUUUCAUGUCCUCCUGUUUUGUGUAGUCACAGUUAAGUUACGUUAACAUUUUAUAUUAUUUUUUAUAAAGAUAAUAAGACAAAAAUGAAUAGUAAUAUAAAAUGUUGACGUGGUUUAACCGUGACCACACAAACAGGAGAGCAUGGAAGGGCAUGGAAAAAGGGAGGGCAGACAAUCCUUGUCCAAUAUAAUGAUGUCAAAGGAGAGGGGAAAAUGAGAAGGAAACUCUGGAGGGUAGAGGGAAGGAAAAAGGGAUAAGGAUUGUCUGCCUUCCCAUUUUCCAUGCCCUUCCAUGCCCUCCUGUUUUGUAUAGUCACGGUUAAGCCACGUUAACAUUUUAUAUUAUUUUUUUAUAAAGAUAAUUAUACAAAAAUGAAUAGUAAUAUAAAAUGUUGACGUGACUUAACCGUGACCACACAAACAGGAGGGCAUGGAAAAAGGGAGGGCGGACAAUCCUUGUCUAGGAAAAGGAGGGAGAAAAGGAGAAAAAUAGAAGGGAAAGGUAGAAAUAAAGAAAAACUAAAGCAAAGCAUUACAAGGUUUAGAGAUUUCAGCAACAUCUGACAAUAAGAGAUGUCGACAAGAGGUAGGAGCUUGAGUGAAAUACAUUGGACCAAAAGAAUAUGACAAACUCAAGUUAGCCAAUUCCUCAGCCACAAGAUGCAUCUCAUCAUAAACGUGACCAAGUUCACAAUUCCAUCUUUGUUUAACAGCUCAAGGUAAGCCUGCACCAACUCACCAAGAGGAUGGUUCUCACUCACACCUUGAAGAACUAUAUGGACAAUGAUCGAAGAACUAAAUGGACAGUGAGAACAAAAUCAAAUUCCAAUUUUACACGUAUUUGUUUAAUAAUGAAAAAUUUUGGCUCACCAUGUGAAAAUUUUAUUAGGCUAGCUGAUAGUGUAAAAAAAUAUUGUAUGUUUAUGCAUUUAUAAAAAUUUAUAUCUUUAAGCUAGCCUACUCGGUGAAGUCUCUGCCCUUAUUCACUGACACGUGACAUUUUUUGUCUAAUAAUGCAUUGCCAUGUGCAAAGUAUUCUCUACAUGACAAUGUAUUAUUAAAUCAAAACGUCACGUUAUAGUAAAUCAAUUAUAUGUAAGUUGUUCUCAAAAAUUAUACUAGUGAUGAGCUGAUCGUGCCGCAUACGCUUAGGCAUGUGGCUCUAUUAUUUGCCUUGUACUAGUCAUCAAAUUCCAGUCUAUUAGAAAUCGACUUAUUUAUUUGAAAAAAAAAAACGAAGAAGAAGGGGUUGACUGAUUUUAUUUUUUAUUUAUUUUUUAUUGACAUGCGUACUUUAUGGGGUCAUUUUGAUGGGAACCUAGGAUGCCAUAGUGAUGGUAGCACCUUUUCCGGUCAAUGGUAGAGUCCACUUCACUUGGACGUCUUGAAUCGUUCAACAGGAAACGCUUUUUGGGUCAAUGCAUGGGAACGGAAGAGGAUCCUCUCUUGAGCUCGAGAUGGGGAUGUUCUUGAUCACGUAAUCUGGGCCGUUCAAAUUUAAUUCAACGGUUGCAAUUAUUAUAACUUUUAGAGAACCUUCUGUUUGGAGUCGUUUGAUUAAAUUUGAAUAGUCUGAAUUUCGUGAUCAGAGGAUCCCCAUCCUGAGCUUAGGAGAGGAUCCUCUUCCCAUGGGAACUACCCAUUUUAAAAUUGUUUGCAAAUUUUCCUAUAAGUAGAUAGUAAUGACCUAAUUAAAUAGGAUCAGGAUCCUCUCCUGAGCAAAUAGAGAAGAUCCUUCUAACCGAACCCAUCGGGCUGUUCAAACUUUUUCCAACGGCUACAAUUAUUAUAACUUUUAAAGGCCCCCCAUGUUUGUAGCUGUUGGAUAAAAUUUGAACAGCUUUAUGGGCCAUGUCAGGAGGAUCCUCUCCAUUUGCUGAGGAGAGGAUCCUGAUCCAAUUAAAUAUUUCCCAUGUACAGAGAUACUUGCAUUGCACCUAGCAAAGAUCAGUUUUUUUGUUUGUCCAUCGAUCCACAUCAAACAGAUCAAUCAUCAGAACCAUCCAUCCACAUCAAUGGCUCUUAUGAUAAAAUAUUCUAUCUUUAGAUUGUUGAAGCAAUAUUAAAAAAUAUAAAAAUAACACAAGAAUUUCAAUAAUAAUAAUAAUCAUAAAAAAAAAUUCACAACAUCAAUUAUGUAUGAGAUUAUUAUAAACAACUAAAGAGAAAGUUAGAAAAACUGAUAAACUUGAAGAUCGAGGCUUGUAUAAAUACAUUGUCCUAAAGACAAAAUUUUGCCCCUACUCUUAAUCCGAAGUUGAAGCACUUCAAUAUUCAGAUUCUGACGAAUUUUAUAUUUUCUGUACUCUCAAGACACGACUCGAAAUUUGACAAACGAAAAUUGAGAGAAAUAAAGUGAGGAAACCCUAUUUCUCAAGAGUAAAAAUUAACUCUAAUUUGUAUCUUUAAUGAUAAUGGUUUCAUGGGUUUAUAUAGAACCCAUUGUGUUGUUUGGCGUAAAAAUGCAACUUUGCAUCUAUGUAACCUACACCACUCAUCAAACUACACGUCCCAAAUUACAAAUAAUAUGAUGCAAUUCUUUGUAUCAGAUGCAACACUUAAGAAUAAACAAGAUUAAUUUUUUCAUUCAAUAUUUUGAAAUUAAAUAUUAUAAUAUUUAAUAAAUAUUAUAUUAUAAAUUUUCAACAUUGACUUGACUGUUCGUCCAUCAAUAACAAGUCCACAUCUCAACCCAAAUAUAAUGAUGUCAAAGGAGAGGGGAAAAUGAGAAGGAAACUCUGGAGGGUAGAGGGAAGGAAAAGGAGGGAGAAAAGGAUAAAAGGAAGGAGAGAAAAGUAGAAAAGGAAGGAAGAAAAUGAGAGGAAAUGCAUAGAAAUAAAAAAAAUAAAAAAUGAAAAUCACCUUCAUCAUUAUGUCUACUAAUGGAAAAGAGCAAAAUGCUCCCAACUACUCUUGUUUCUUACAUUGUAAAUUAUAUUUCGUAUAAUGAGAAACUAGUAUUCUUACACAAGGAUGUAGACACAACUUGCCGAAUCUUGUUACUAUACAGCAAGCCUAUAACUGCAUAAUAAUUCGAUCAACCACCUUAAGUUUAACCAUACAUGUACCAAGAUUCAAGUUUUUCCAAACUUUCCUUAUGAAACUAAUUGAACAGUACAAGUGCCACAUUAUUAUGCGGUUCUAUCAAGUUUUAAUUUUUAUCUUAUAACCACAUUAUCUUUAGGACAAUCAAUCUUGCAGUUGAAUAUAUAAACCUUCGAGAUGGCGAUAUUGGAAACGCUAGUUGGUGGGUUGAUUGGUAGAAAUGGUUCCAACAAUUCAAGAAUAAGAAAUGAGUAUUGAGCAACGAUCAAAGUAUGUUGUAUUUUAUCACAAAAUAUUUUUGUACAUAUUAGAAGUGCAUUUUAUCACAAAAAGGUGAGCAACGAUCAAUAUAAUUGUAAUUUAUAAAAUCACACAUAAAACGGGAAGUAAUAUUUUAUUUUUGUUUUCAUCUCUGCCAAAGAAACGCUUUUUGGGUCAAUGGAUGGGGACGACCCAUUUUAUAAUUGUUUAUAAAUGGGAAUGACCCAAUUACAUAUUUCCCCUGCUCACAGACAUUUGCAUUGCACCUAGCAAACACCAGUUUUUUUGUUUGAACAUCGAUCCACUUCAAUGGCUCUUGUGAGAACAUCUCCAGGAACCUCCUCUGAUUCCAACACAUUUCGGCGUUAUCACUACGAUGUGUUCUUGAGCUUCAGAGGCGAAGAAACUCGUAAGACUUUUACGGACCACCUCUACACAGCCUUGAACAAUGCAGGAUUUCUCACGUUUCGAGACGACGAUGAACUCGAGAGAGGAGAAGACAUAAAGCCAGGACUGCAGAAAGCAAUCCAGCUGUCACGAACUUCUGUUGUCGUGUUUUCGAAAGAUUACGCGUCAUCCAGGUGGUGUCUUGAUGAGCUUAUGCUGAUCCUCGAACGAAAUAGGACCACCUCGGACUAUGUAGUUUUACCAGUCUUCUACGAUGUUGAUCCGUCCCACGUGAGGAAGCAGACAGGAAAUGUUGGAAAAGCAUUUGCUAGAAGCCAGAAAAAUCAGUCGCCGGAAAAGGUGGAAGGAUGGAGGAAGGCACUUGCAGAGAUUGCAGACCUAGCAGGCAUGGUCCUACAAAAUCAAGCUAACGGGUAACUUUCAUUUUCUUAUUUUGUCUUCUAUUUGUUGUUGUUGACCUCUCUAAUAAGAUCACAACUAGAGAUGGACAAAAUACCCACGGUUACCCGUGUUGUGCUUUGGCCCGUUCGUCAGUGCAGAAGUGAGAUUCAGAUUAUCUCACUAAACUACAGACCCACAGUUGAACAAUUUAAAUUACAAGAAAUAAAGACACUGAGAAAUUUACGAGAUUCGGCAAAAACCUGCCUAUGUCCUCGGAGAUAUAUUGCUCUUCACUAUGAGAAUAACUAGUACAAGAUACACUUGAGUUCAAUCAACAUAACCCAAACCCCAAUCCCUUGUACACUCACAGAAUUUUCCCAAGAGCCUCACUCUACCCCAAGAGUUUCUCACUCUCACUCUUUAUUUUCUCUCCUUUGUGUUCUCCUUCGGAUGCUCUCUCAAUGCAUUACUAAAUGCACAAAUAUUGCAUCUAGUUAUAGUCAUACACUAGCAACUAUGCCAACAAACAAGACCAAAAAGUCUUAAGUUCACAUGACAUAAUUAUCACCUAGCCUACCUAGCAUACACCAAAGUCUAUAUCUAGUCUAUAAAGUACAACUAUUCUCCAUUUGUCAUUUAAUGCAUAUAAAAUAAAACAUGCACAAUUGUGUGCAAGCAACCACAAAGUCAAGUCUUGCUUCCAACUUUGCUUUUGGUAGUCACCAUGUCUUCUCUUGAAACAAGACAUCCAUGCCACAACCGAAAGCCAAACACAAAGUGGCUACUGCCAUUUCCCUGUAGCACUCAGAAAGUUACACUAUCAAAAUUGUUGCCAACUCAUAAGUAUAUGAGCCAAACACAACAACCCGCCCAUUUAAACUUCACGGUUACUGUUAUGGGUAACCGUUUAGAUAAAUAAACGGUUAUGGAUAUAACCGUUUACCCGUAAAAUUUAAAUAGAUGGUUAUGAAUAUUAAUCGCGGUUAUAAAUGGGUAACCAUUUACCCAUUUAUUUUAUAUAUGUAAUGUUGAAUAUUUUAAAAAUAAAAUUUUAUAUGUAUAUGCGGCUAUUUGACAGUAGAUGGGAAGUUAUGUUAUUAACCCAACAAUCACAUCUCUUCAAUUUGAAUGUUGCAUCUUUUGAAUGUUGCCGAUAAGACAUGAUUCAUGGUCAACAAGUGUAAUCCUUCUCCUAACCAUGUUCUCUGUCGGACAAAACUUAAAUCAAUGCUAAUAUAAUGUGGCUCAUUAUAUAUAUUAUGUUAAUACUUUACAUUAUGGGUUAAAUAACCCAAGAAUACUAUCUUCUAAACAGUUUUCGUAACCCAAGAAUACUUAGCAAAUAUUAUAUUACUUUCAUUGGUAACAGUUAAAAAUAUCGUCCGUAAACUAUUAUUUCAAUUUUGAAAUGCUAUAAGGACUUAAAAAAUUAAAAUACGGAAAUGUAUGAAGAAUGUUACCUAUAACGGUGUUUAAUUGUCAAAAAAAAGAAAAUUAUGACAAUUUUUUUUUUAAUUUUCAAGUUGUUAAAAAACAUGUAGAUGGGUGAAAAUGGGUAAUGGCAAAAAAAAAAAGAGAAGAUAAACGGGUUAAAAGGGUAAAUGGGUAAACGGGUAUUAAACGGUUACAGUUAAAUAGGUAUGCGGUUAUGGGUAUGAGUAUAACCGUUUAGGCAAUUACCCAACGGAUAAACGGUUAUGCGGGUAUGAGCAUAAACGGUUAUGGGUAAAUAACCGUGGUUACCCGCCCAUCAUAACCGUUGCCGAUCACAACCAUGGAAGAAAAUAUCGAUAAUAUCGGCGAUAUAUCGCCGAUAUUAUCGGCUUUUUCCCGAACUGAUAUUUUAAAUGGUAUCCAAGGUGUUUUCGUCAUAAUAUCGCGAUAAUAUCGAUAAUAUCGCGAUAUUAUCGAUAUUAUCGCGAAAUUUCGGAACUGUGCACGUCGGAGACAAACGUCGGAGCUUCUACAGCUCCGGCCGACUGUAAAACUGCUCCCUAGCCUCGCCGGAGAUGGGUGUACUUAUUCCUGAGUCGAUUUCAUCCCAAAAACCUUGCAAAAACACGACAUAUAACUUCAAUUUCACAUCUAAGCUUCGAUCUAGAAUAUAAAAAGAAAAACCCGAAGCUUACCUACCUGAGAAAUUGAAGGAACUCGCCAGAGCAGGUGCGAUGGUGUGCGUGUGGGUCUCGGUGCAGAGAGAAGAGAGAUCUUUGUGUGAGUGUGUGUGGUUGGACUGGGAGAAGGGAGAAGAGAGAUCGAGAGAUCUCUGUGUGAGUGUGUGUGUGGUUGGACUGGGAGAAGGGAGAAGAGAGAUCGAGAAGGAUCUCUGUGUGAGUGUGUGAGUGGUUGGACUGGGCGAAGGGAGAAGAGAGAUCGAGAAGGAUCUGUGUGUCGUUGAAGAAUCCCCAACCUUUAAGAGACAAACCAGCAAGCACCUCCCUCGACCCACCUCGUUCCUCCGCCGCAAACCUACCCCGUGUCCUCAUCUAACUUCUCUCCUCUGUCAACCCACCGCCGUUCCACUAUCAACUUCACCGGUAUUCCUCCGUCGGCCCCGCUUCCGCUCCCGCUUCCGCCUCGUCCUUCAACCUCUCUCCUCCAUCGAAGUAGGUCCAUAAGAAUUCAUGAAAGGGAGGGGAUCUUUGUUCUUGGUGUAUAGUGUGACGACGCUGCACUGAUACAAAUCUGUGAUGGCAUAGGAAAAGACAAGGACGAUGCAGGAUGGAGCAGAGAGGAAGUGAAAAUGGAUUAUGGGGUGUUUGGAUGCCUAGGUAAUUGGAUAAACAGGGUGUUUGGCUGCAUAGCUUAAACAUAUAAAGUAGUACACAUGUUCUCUUUUAGUUGAGCCAUAUCAAUGGUCAAUGAAAAUUGGGUACCCACUUGUGAGUACCAAGUAUUAUCCGUGGACGGGAGACUUAAACAAACAAAACCAUUGGCUUUGAUGUUUGUAACUUGUAAUUAUGAGGUGGACAGGUAACGUGAAAGAGGUGAGGUGCACCUCUGAUGGUUUUAACUUUUAAUAAAUGUUAUAUAAAUUAUAAAUUAUAAAUUAUUUAGAUAAUAUUUUGUUUUUUUUACUAAGCAAGCAGAUUAUAUUCGAACCCUCCCUUUGUCAACCACGCACUUAGGCUUUAUCCAACUCGCUACAGAUGUGUUUGUGAUUACAUAUUCAGCCUGUAAUAUUUAUAUGGUCGUUAAGAUGUCUGCAAGGCUUGCAAGCUAAUAUUUAUUAUCUAGGAUAAAUUUCUAUAUUUUAAAAAACACAAAGGUGAAAAUUUUGAACCUCAUAGGAACUCUAUGUGGUACUAAGUCACUCAUGUAUCUUACCAUGCAAUGUAUAAAGUGUAAAAUAUUGUACUAAUUCAUUAUAUAUAAAUGAUUAUGGUGUGUUUAGACUUCUUUCAUUAAUUACUACAUAUUUUAUACACUCACAAUGUUUGUCAGCUCACUAUAUAAUCAACUUGAUAAUGUUAAAUCCAUCAUGCAAUGCAUUUCCUUCCAAUUUUUUGUGAUAAACUAAUAGAUAAUUGAUUAAAUAAACAUCCUGCAAAGUUUCAAUAAAAAUUUCCAAGUUUUUCUUACAAUUUCCUUGGUUUCCAUGUAAUUUUUAUCGAUAUCGAUAUUAUCCCGAUAUUUCCAUCGAUAUUUCCGUGUUUUCGGACUACCGAUAUUUCCGAUAUUACCAAUAUUUUCUUCCUUGAUCACAACAUAUUGAUUUACUCAACACAAAUGUUCAUAUGACUUCAGGUAAAUUGCUCCAGUAAUAAUCCCAUUUCAGGUCAAUUAAGUUGUCAUGAUCUGUACCAUGUAGCUGCAUGGAAUAGCUGUUAAGAAUUAUUGAUCGAACCUUAGUUUAAUUUUCUCCUCUGAAUUCCAUGAAUAUCAGACUUUGUAUAAUUGAUUGAUAUCGAGUGAACAACAUGUUUGAUUCAUCAUUCAUUUUAUUUGCAAAUUCUUAGGUACGAGUCAAAGUUUAUCAAAGAUAUUGUUAAAGUGAUUAGUGAUAAGCUAAGUCGCACACACUUGAGCGUUGAAUCAAAACUGGUUGGCAUCCAUUCUCGAGUCGAACCCAUCAAUUUAUGGUUACAAGAUCCAUCACAUGAUGUUGGUAUACUUGUUGUUUAUGGGCUGCCUGGAAUAGGGAAGACAACCAUUGCAAAAUGUGUUUACAAUUCAAACUUUGAAAGUUUUGAAGGAAGCAGCUAUGUUGAAAGUAUCAGAGAAACUGCAAGUCAUCCAGACGGCUUAGUUCAAAUACAAAAGCAAAUUCUUUAUGAUAUUUUAAAUGGGAAAAAGGAGAAAAUACACAAUGUUAGUGAGGGAAUAAUUAAGAUUGGAAGAGCCAUAAGCUUUAGAAGAGUUCUUCUUGUUCUUGAUGAUGUGGACCAUGUGGACCAAUUAGAUGCAGUACUGAGGAUGAAAGAUCAGUUUCAUCCUGGAAGUAAAAUAAUCAUAACAACUAGGCGUGAAAGGUUGAUAAAGGCACAUGAAGGUAUUACGGUGCAUGAAGUUGGACCUUUGGGUUUCGAUGCAUCAUUGGAGCUCUUAAGCUGGCAUGCUUUUGGCCAGGAUCAUCCCCUUGAAGGUUAUGAGAAAUAUUCUGAAGAAGUCGCACAACACAGCGGAAGACUUCCAUUAGCACUCAAAGUUUUGGGUUCUUCUCUUUUCGGGGAACCUAAGCGUGUAUGGAAAUGUACAUUGGAGAAGCUAGAGGUUAUUCCAAAUGGUGAAAUCAUGAAUAAUUAAGAAUAAUCUACGACUCUUUACAAGAUGACCAUGACCAGAAAUUAUUCCUCCAUAUUGCUUGUUUCUUUAUUGGAAAGGAUGAAGAUUACAUUGUCAGAAUACUAGAUGGAUGUGAUUUCAAGACAAUCUGUGGCAUUCAAAAUCUCAGAGAUAGGUGCUUGGUGACAAUUGUUAUGGACAAGUUGUAUAUGCAUGAUGUGAUUCGUGACAUGGGACGAGAAAUUGUUCGUCGAGAAUCACAUGAACCUGGGAAUCGUAGUAGAUUGUGGCGCUCUAAGGAUUCUUUCAAAGUAUUGAGAGAAAAAAAUGUAAGAAAUGUUCAUUGUAUGUGUGUGUUUCUUUUUCUCUUGUGCUAAUUAACCAAUUGUUUUUCCAAUUUCUUGUAUAGGGUACGCAAGCAAUUGAAGGUCUUAUGUUGGACAUACAUGAACUGCUUACAGACAGUCCCAUAAACUCAAACGAGAAUGUCUUGGAAACCAAUUCAUUUGCAAGGAUGCACAAACUCAAACUGCUCUAUCUUAGACAUGUACGACUGGACGGAUGCUAUGCAGAACUUCCGACAAGGUUAAGAUGGUUGUGCUGGCCCGAAUUUCCUUUGGAUUCAAUUCCUGUUGAUUUUUCUUUGGAGAAAUUGGUAGUUCUUGAAAUGCAAUAUGGCAACUUGAGACAACUCUGCAAAAGAGCAAACGUAUGUUACUCAACGCUUUUCAAUUUUGUUUUCCUUCUUUCUUUAGGUUUUAAUUCUUUAAUUAAUUUUAUAUGUUGGAAUCAAUUCCUAGUUAUUUUUGUUUGUUUGUUUAUUUUUAUUUGUUUCUAGUUUCUUCCAUCAUUGAAGACCCUUGAUGUCAGCCAUUCUCAUGGCCUUAGUGAAACCAUGGACUUCUCACCUUGCCCCAAUCUAGAGGAAUUGAUUCUUGUGGAUUGCACCAGCCUGAUUGAUGUUCAUGAAUCCAUUGGAAACCUGGAGAGACUCGUGUACUUGAAUAUGAAGGAUUGCAAGAAUCUUAGGAUGCUUCCGAAGAACAUGUGUUUUCUUAAAUCACUUGAAACACUCAUUUUAUCUGGCUGCUCAAAUCUUGAUGAGUUUCCAGUGGAGAUGAAGAAGAAGAUGGAGUCUCUGAAAGUUCUUAAAAUGGAUGGAAUUCCAAUAAGAGAAUUAUGGCCAGCAAGAAGUUCAAGUAUCUUGAGUUCUUUUCCAUGCUCUUUAGUAAAGUUAUGUAUGGUGGGGUGCAAUCUUUCUGAUGAUGCCUUCUGUAGGGAUUUAAGUAGUCUAUCCUCGUUGCGAACACUAAAGUUAGGUGAGAAUCCAAUUUGCUGUCUGCCAGGUUUCAUCAAAGGUUUGAGAAGGCUCGAUCAUCUAUCUUUCCAGGAUUGUAGUAGGCUCAAAUCGCUUGUGGGGUUGCCGAAAGUACACCGAAGGAUAAGUAUAGCCGGAUGCAUAUCAUUAGAAAAAAUGACUUUUCAUUCCCCUGAGCAACAGUCUACAAUGUUCAGCGUGGGUGACAACUGGAAUCUAGUUGAGUGGCAGUACGACUACAAGUUAUAUGUGGAAAUGAUCAAACUUUUGGGCGUGUGCAACUUGGGAUCCUUGCCAGCCAUUAGAAUGAACGCACUGUUCGGAUGCGGUGGUUCAAAAGAGGGUAAAUGGAGUCCCGUCCAGGUGCCUCUCUCUCUCUCUCUCUCUCUCUCUCUCUCUCUCUCUCUCUCUCUCUCUCUCUCUCUCUCUCUCUCUCUCUCUCUCUUAUAAGUCAUUAAUAUAUCAUGGGAAAGAAAUAACUGAGUAAUGUUGUGAUGAUCGUGGCAAUUACAUAGGGACUGUAUGAAAAUGGUAUAUUCAGCACGUUUUUUGUUGGGAAUAAGGUUCCAGGCCAAUUCAGCUAUAAAAGUACCAAGUCUUCGAUAUCUUUUAUUGUCCCUUUACUACUUGCUAAUCACAGAAUUCGAGGCUUGAACAUCUUUGCUACUUAUGCAAAGGAGCAGAAUUAUAAUAAUUCUUUUAAUCCAAUAAUGACUAAAGUGAGUAACAAGAGUAAGGGUCUGAAGUGGAUCUAUGGCCCAGAGUUCUAUGGAAUUCCAGGAGAGGGAGAACAUAUGAUAUGGUUGAGCCAUUGGAAGAUGGAUAAUGAAACAAUAUUACAAUGUGGAGAUGAAGUGCUUGUUUCAGUACACAUGAGACCUAGUCAGUUUCAGCUCAAGGAGUUUGGUGUCGAGCUUGUGCAAGAGCACCAAGACAAGAUGAGUACCCAACACAACACCAAAUCAGGUCCUAAUUAUCCAUUUGUUAUCGGUGGAGAUUUGGAUACGUGGAAGUGCAGACCGGGAAUAUACUUCCUUGGCAGUAGGACAAGAGAAGAUACUGACGACAUUGAUAUCCUCACCAUGGACUGUGAUGAAGAAGACACAAGUAUGUUGUGUUGUUGUAUUGCAUUGAAUUAUACUUCAUCCAAACACUUCCAAGUGUGUCCGUAUUCAUUUCAAAAACAUUUCCAAUAAGUUUUAUGUUAUUUGUAUGUUUUUCAGCCAAAGAAGGGCAAGAGAAUGAACCUGAUUACACAAUUGCAAAGACGAGGGUUGCUAGCAAAAACUGCAGUCUCGAACGCUGGAAGGUGCUCCUCACAACUGCUGGCUUCUUUUUCACGCUUGCUCUAGUAGUUCAGUCCUCCAUCUCCCAGAAACUGAAGCGACAGUAGUCCACAAGGCUUCCAUGAGUUUAUAAUUUGACUUGAUAUAGAUAUAUCUUUACAUUCCUUACUCGCAAGAUGUUUUCUACCUUCAAGUGCAAUGACGGUUCUAGAAUUCAUACAGCCGACCCCAUUUAGUAAAAUAAGACUUUAUUGUUAUUAAACUGUUUGUGCGGUAAGAACUAAGCGUGAAAAAUAUCUUGUUUUGUAGUCUCUGGUUUGAACAUUAAAGAAAAUCCAAUGCCAUUAUGUGUUUAAACCAAAAUUUUCCGUUCUCUUUUUCCUUUUCUUCAAAAAAUAAAUUUGUACUCUAAUGUCUAGGCAUGAAGAGAUUCUUAGCUAUCUCCGGGUAUAUGUCCCUCUAUUUAUUUCUCAUGGAAUACACAACCGGUUACAAGACAGAUUCUCGAAUCUCUCUCACCAUGCAUGAAAGUUCACGUCGAAUUACCAAAUCAUAUUCUGAGAGAGAAUUAAGAAUUACAUGCAGAUUAACAUUAAAUUAUAAGUUUCUAAUAACACAAAUUAUUAUUUAUACAAAAAAAAUUUACAAGAUGUGUUCAUAAUUAAUUGGUAAUUCUGAUCUUAAUUAACUAAAAGGGCCUUGAGGACAUGUCUCAAUGUAUAUGCUUGUCUGUGCAGAUCGUCUUCCUCCUCCUUUUCUUCAUCCACAAGAAAUCAAAGACAUGCCCACAAAAACCCACACACGAAAAACAAAAAAUUAAUAAAAAUAAAAGUCAGCGAGAAAAGUCAAACAAUGCAGAUCUGAUCCUACCCGCGCCACACCCGAUCAAAUCCCGAGAAAAUCAGUGGCGGACCGAGACAUGAUGGUCGCGAAUUCGUUGAAGCUAAUGACGCCGUCGCCGUUCGUGUCGGCCUCCCUCAUCAUAUCGGAGAGCUCCCGGUACGUCAAGGGGUGGCCCAUUUUGGCCAUGGAUCCGGCGAGCUCGGCGGCUGUGAUGUAGCCGUUGCCGUCGCGGUCGAACGACCGGAAGACCUCCAUGAGCUGCUCCUGGUUGAUCAAAAUCUCCUCGUUCAUGUCUGGGAGGAUGGCGGUGACGAGCUCGUCGAACUCGAUGGCACCGUUGCCGUUGGCGUCGAUGUUGGAGAGGAAAACGUGGAGCUGGUCGCCGGUGGGCUUGAGGCCGAGGGAGCGGAGGAGGGCGGCGAGUUCGAGCUGGGUGAGGCUGCCGUCGGAGUCCAUGUCGAAUCGCAUGAAGAUGUCCUUCAGCUGCUUCAGUUGAUCGGAUCCGAGCGCGGCCAUCAUUAGUAUAACGGCGGCCGAGAAGAAGAAGAAGAAGAAGAAGAAGAAGGAAGGGAUCGAGAGAUCCAGACGAUUUGAAUUUUGUGAGAUUUUGGGAGUUUAAUUUCGGGUGGAUUGGGUUUUUUGUGUGUGGCGCUGAUUGGUUUGUGUUUUUGGGUUUUUUUUCGUUUUCGUUUUUGUUUUUUGAGUUUUAAUUUUUCUUGUGUUUGGAUUAAAAGUUUAAAAACUGAAAACGCGUUUUUGCCAAGAGUUGAUCAAUUGCUACGUGGUUAUAUAUUGGGGGGGAUGCUACUUAGGGGCUGUUUGUUGAUUGACUAUAUUCAGGAGAAAUUUUCAAGUGUGUCAAGAAUAUUUUCGGUACAUUAAGUGCCAUAAUACCGUUGAUUGGAAACUUGAAAAAAAAUAUUCUUACCAAUUAUAUCAUGACACUUGAUAUAUCAGUCCGUAUUCCGGCACAAUGAAAAAUCUCUCCAUAUUUAUGACUUAAAUAUGUGUUUUUCUAUUUUGGGAAUAAUGUGUUGAUUUGGGUCUAUUUAAGUUUUGAAGUAAAUUCAACGCGCUGACAUUUGUGAGUUAAGUCAGUUGGUCAAAGUGAUGCAUUUGCUUCUAUGCACUCAAGUUUGAUCUCAAUUCCCAUAGAAGUUAAACUUAUUCUAACGCGUUUAGUCCAAUGUCAACUAAAAUAAACUUUCGAUUAUGCCGGAUUAAUUAAUUGAUUAAUUAACAACUUUUGUUUUAUUUUUAUCAAGAACAUGGCCUAGCUGUGAUGAGUGUUCAAUCAUUUUUAUUUCUUCUUUAAAAAAUGGGAUCAGCAGGUGGCUUUAUCACGAUAAUCUACUUUUUAGAGGCCGAAAAGAUUUUUAGAGUCAUUUCAGGCUCCUCUAGUUACCAUCGUGUGAUUGGAGCUAACAUAAUUAGGUGAAGAACAUUCGAGAUUCAAUGUGUAGAAUCUAUGUGAAAGUGGCAUUUUCUUAGAAUAUGCAGAGAGCUUCAAUGACAACAUAUUUACAAAGUUGACAUAGUUUGGUUGUGUAGACGCGUGACAAUAAAGACUUAUUUGACAUUUAUAAGCAUGAUGUCAUUAUAUUCGAGAUGUAUGAUAAGGUUUAAGAAUCCAAGCCUUUGAUAUAUACCAAGGGAUGCCAUAUAUAUGCAUAACCUUCUUCAACAUUUGUUCCAUUUGAAUUGCGUACAUUUUCAUCAUAAAACGAAAUGAAUGUGCCACAAUAUUUUGAUCAAUGGCUACUAAAACCCAUUUCGAUUAUACCUGUCACUCUACAUUUAUUGUCACGCGACUAAUUAUGUGACAAGAGAUGUCACGUGACUGGAAAUGCAGAGAAAUGAGGAACAUACGAAACAUGUUGCAGGUAAGUUUUUUCGCGAUUGAAUAGCUACCUAGCUUUAUGAUCAAUAGAUGACAGAGCCACCAUUUCAAUCAAGUGAUAUUGUACAAAACUAGUAUCAAAUGGAUCAUGAUUUGGUGAAUGAUGAGUUGGGGAGCAACCCAAUUCUCCCCUACCCCAAAAGCUUCCAAAUCCAAACUCUCCUCUCUGAGAAAACUCCUGCAGCACCUCCUCCACCUCCUCCAUGCAGCGCCUGCAACUAUGUCCUCCUCCUGCCUCCAUGGAUGAUCUCAUGGACUCUCCGACAACACUCGCAAAGUCAACGUCUUUACAUGUAUCCAACACUAUAAUCUCUUUUCUCCUUCUCUGUUGAAGCUUCUUCAUGGUGUACUCUCUCGUCUUUCGGAUCAACUUGCAAGGGAGCUUGUACAAGAUGAAGAUGGUGAUUUGGAGGAUCAAGCACUGGCAGCAGCACGAAAUCACAACGCAGUCUGCGGCAAUCAUGUUGCAGUCUUCCAUGGCUGCGAAAAUCGGGAGGAAAUGGGUGGUGGUGGUGUAGAAAACAGUUUAAAGAAAUCUUCAUGCCCCGGUGGUGGUGGUGUUUAAGGAAUAAGUUCCUUGCCUUUGUGGGAGGUAAUAGGAAGGGUGAAGCAAUUGGAAUGAUAUGUGGCGCUGUAUAUGAGUCAUGACUUCAAUCAUUGUCUAACAUUAAAAAAAAAAAAAAAAAAAACUCUAGCUUCCAAUAGGGGCUAUCCAAUAUAAUCGAAUUUCUUUUUUCAAACGAUAUUCUAAUUUAAUCUAAAAUACGGGAAACAAGCUCAUUCCGUUCUGCAAUAUAUUAAAAUAUUAGGAUGUGAAAGGGAAACAUAAAAGCUGUUGUUGCUUGGCUUCUACUUCUCCUUGGUGGAAGAUUUCUUUGAUAGCUUUAAGCAUUUCCAUAGAAGGUGUCACGGAGCUGUCUUUCAAAGAAAGUUCUCUCCCCCCUCUUGGAAGACUUGCAAAUUUAUAUAUCUGCAAACCCAGUUUACCCCAAAUAUUUUAGCACGUGACGAGUGAGACACUUGUAAGAAUAUAUCCCGGGGUAUACUCAAGAUUUCCGUGUUUCUGAGGAUGAUGGGGCGGCCUGCAGGCUGAUUUAACAAGCUCGAAAUAGAGGGGUACGUAUUUUCGAUCUGAGAUUGUCACAUAUAAAUCACAAAACAUGGAGUUGUGAAAGAGGGGAAGCAAAAGAGGGAAGAAUAGGAUCCAUGGUUAACAAAAUUGAAUUAUUACCUUUAUAACACCACCAAAAAUAUUGGUGGAUGCAACAAGAUCAUCAUACAUAGGCUAAGUAAUUACAGGGGCAAAAAAUGGCGGUCCAUAAACGUAUAAUAUAGGCGGAAGCUAAAAAUGGACCUUCACAGGAACGAUGGAACGAUCUAUACAUCCGCUGCAGUCAGUUCCAGUUGCAGAAAGAUCAGGUCCCAGCUGAGCCAAUCCAAAUCUAGCUCAAUCUGGCAAAACCCCUUUCAGCUAAGUGUUUAACUCUCCGAAUGUGUACUAUACCUCUUCGCUGAAAAAAUCUGUACUGUAAUUUUGACUACCAAAUGCCAUUCUCCGGAACAACCUAAUUUCAGCUGAUUGUUGUGCCGAGUCAAAUGCCUCACUUUCCCCCACUCUCAUUCCGUUGUUUAUAUCGGAAGCAACAAAACUAUCAAAAGCUCUAACAACCUGAGGAGAGUGAGAAUGAUGAUGUUAGCUUAAGCUGGUGAAGUGAAUGAAUUCACAUUAUAAAAAAAUUUCAGCUUCUUAUUACCUGUCCCAUUCGUGGUCUCUUAGCAGAUGAAUGUCGCACACAAGCAGCAGCAAUCUCGAUCAUUCUGAACAUUUCAGUAUCCACAUAAUUCUUUUCGAGCCUUGGAUCUACCACGCCGUCAAAAUCUUCAUUAUCAAGAGCAUAACUCAACAACGGCCGAGCCUGGAUGGUAAAAUGCGUCUCUUGUCAGGAAAGCUUGGGUUUGACCUUAGAACAUUCAGUUGGUUAACUAUACAGUUUUAUUUCAUUCAAUAAACAUAUUGUCAAUUUGUUACAUAUAUGUCUCCUAUGUACAGUCUCACAUCUUUAUUAUGCAUUUAUCUACGUACUUUUGAAAAAAUUGAAAUGAAUUCACAACUAAGGCGAGACUAAAUUGUGCCCGCUGAAUCCAGACAAAUAUUGACAGCAUAAUCAGAGAGUGAAAAAGAUUUCAUGCAUUGAGAUUUCUUUCUGUAAGACGGUUCUGGAGUUUCAAUGCAUUCCUUGUUUAAAAACUAUAGGGCCAGAAGAUCUCACUCAAUAAAUUGGGGACUUCAAAAUAUUCAACCGAAAAUAUCAAAACAUUAUUAUCGAAUUGAAGCAAAGUAAUAUAAACGCUGCAGCAUGAUAUGUCCAGUAUGAAAAGAGGAUGUAAGUUUACCCAUUCAACUAGACUCUCAUCUCCCAAGGGUUGGGAUGUAUCUACAGGCUUCCGUCCAGUGAUCAACUCAAGAAGCACAACUCCAUAAGAGUAAACAUCAGACUUCUCAGUCAAUUUCCCACUUGAUGCAUAUUCAGGAGCCACGUAUCUGAAAAUCAAGCGGAAUCAAUACAUUAUCAGGCAUGAAAGGUAUGUUUGUGAUGACAGUAUAAAUUAAAAUAUAGAAGAAACCUCAAGAAUAGCUUUGAUACAAGUAGAAAGCAUAUGGGCCAACACUAGAUUGCUGACGUACCCAAACGUUCCCAUCACACGUGUGCUUAUAUGCGUAUUUGCAUCAAGCGCUAAUUUGGCAAGUCCAAAAUCUGAAACCUGUAAAGUAAAGAAGGAAACCAUGAGCUACAACCUAACCAAAAUAUAGGAGUACUGAAAUGUGCUCUGAGUGAAAUCAUGCUAUACCCGAGCUUCAAAGUUGUUAUCUAAAAGAAUGUUUGACGACUUUAUAUCCCUGUGAAUAAUUCGAGGAUGACCUGACAUUAAACAAAUAAAACCAAACUUGGUCAACAAAACACUUCCAGUUAAAUUAUGUAACCGAUAAAACAAUUGUACGAGGAUAUAGUAACCCAAACAUUCAGCUAUCAGAAUCCAGAAACUCAGGGUAGAUAAUUACAAUCUUCAUGAAGAUAAGCGAUCCCACGAGCUGCACCAGCAGCAACCUUAACACGUGUCGCCCAGUCCAGAACUGGCCUACCUUCUCCUGAAAAUUGCAAGGUGCAAAACAUGAGAUUACGGAACCAUUAUCACUAACUGUUACUUAAAAGCUCUGUUAUAGAUAUACCAUGAAGAUGAAAAUAAAGGCUAUCGUUAGCAACAUAUUCAUAGACGAGCAGCCUUCGAUUAUCAGAGAUGCAGUACCCAACCAGAGAAACCAAAUGGCGGUGAUGUAUGCGACUAAUAAUCUCAACUUCAGCCUUGAAUUCUCGCUCACCCUGACCCCCUCCAAUUUUUAGUUGUUUUACUGCCACCUCUCUCCCAUCUGGUAGGCAUCCCUUAUAAACACAACCAAAUCCGCCUUCGCCCAAAAGAUUCUGAGAUGAAAAACCAUUUGUGGCCUUAGCUAGUUCUUCAAAAGUAAACCAUGGUCUUGAAUUUCCAACUCCUGCUUGUUCUGGUGGAGGACUCAUGAACUCACUGCCAGAACGGCUUCCAACAAGGGGAGCUGAAGAAUGUGCCUUCAAGAAGGAUGAAUCUGGAAACAAGUUACAAAAGCCUUCUUAAAUACAACGGCUUAUAUGAGCUGAUUAAUUUAUCCCAUACCCUGAUCUGAGUGAGGCUAAAUAUACUCUUAAAAUAGUAUGUUGAACUUAUUGAAAUUUAGAAAUAUCAUUAAACAGAAAAUCCCACAUUCAUAAUAACAAAACAAGGAAUCAACUGCGUUAUGUAUGAUUGAAGGUACCUGAUCGUGGAGAAGAAUCCAUAGUGGAUUGCAUAGCAUAACCUUCAAACCCGGAUACUUUUUUCUUUUGCCUCCUCAUGCACCAUACAAUCAACCCAACGAGACUAAGCACUACUGCCCCUACCACUACUCCAAUCGCCACUAUGCCUCCGGUACCAAUGCCGUUGGAAUUUGAACUUUGUGGUGCAUUCGGACUGGAAGUGUUUGUUAGUGGACUUGGAAUUUGAGAAUGAACUGGUGGAGAAGCCUGUGAGGGGGGAGGUGGUGACAUUCUUAUGAUGGGUGGUGGAGGUGAAGGGGUUGGUUGAGAACCAGGUGGGGCUGGAGUAGUACGGCUAGGAGGCGGGGGUGCUUUUCUGGGAGGUAUUGAUGCUGGUGGAGGAGAUGAACUUUCAGGGGGGGUUGAUGCUGGUGGUGGAGGUGAACUUUCACGGGGGGUUGAUGCUGGUGGUGGAGGUGAACUUUCACGGGGGGUUGAUGCUGGUGGUGGAGGUGAACUUAUGGGUGGCACAAUUGCUGGAGGUGGGGGUGAAUUCGGUGGUGGGUCUGAUGGUGACGGUCGUGGUGAAGUUUUGGGGGGACUUGAUGGAGGUGGAGGAGACUUCUCAGGUGGCGGUGAAGUUUCAGGCGGCUUUGAAGAGGGUGGAGGUGGAGGUGAACUCACUGGUGCGGGAGAUUGCGGCGGAGGAGGUGAACUUGCAGGUGGAUCAGAUGUUGGUGGUGGCGGAGAAGGUGAACUUUUCGGUGGAUUUGAUGAUGGUGGGGGUGGAGAACCAGAAGUUGGUGAUGGGGGUGAAGAAUCAGAAGCUGGUGGAGGUACAUUGGAUGAAGGCGGUGGUGGCGAGGUUGGCGGUGAAGCAGAUUGUGGAGUUGGAGGAGGUGUUUGUGUUGGAGGUGGUGAGGAUGUGGUUGGAGGAGGAGCUGAUGAAACAACAGGUUGCGGAGAUUGAGUGGUUGCCUUAGAGGACUCUGGUGAAUCCAAAUUCGGCUGAGAAGACGGUGUCGGUGUGGCGGUUGACGGCGAUGUUAAAGUAGUAUUGGAAGCUGGCGGCACGGCGGAUGGAGACGAAUUUGGAGAUGGCGAUGUGGUUGCCAUCUAACUAGACCCAAAAUCCAGUGAUGGAUACCAUAUAACUCACACACCACAACCUUCAAUCAAUCAUGAAAUCUUCAAUCUUUUCACAAAAAAAACAGAGCUUUCAAUACAAAAGGCCAAAAAUUAGAGAAAAACCCAAGCGACAAGUUUCAAGUCUUUGUCAAACCAACAUCUCCAAAAACUUCAAAAAAUGGAAUUCCCGAAAUUCCCCCCACCACCAAACUCCACCAACCAAUCACCUCCAAAACAUCAAAAUAUUCUUCUGUGAUCAAAAUCCCAGAAACCCAACUCAGCAAACAGGCUUUUCAGAUCACUAACUUCAAAGAGUGUGAGAGAAUUCUAAUUUCACAAAUAUUAAAGUAGCAAUCUUUCUCUAAGUGAACACUCAAAAAUCCAAACUUUAAGUGACCAAACGCAGCAGAAGCAGCAAUAUUAUCACAAAUUGGUACUAAUAAGCAAAACCCAAAUGGUAAAAUCUGGAAAGGACUUACCUUUACUUCGUCAAUGAUGGCCAAACAAAAACCCUAAACUUUGAUCUCUUGAAACUUCCUUAUCUCCCAACUCUGCACCGGAAGUUCAACACACGGCUUGUGGGGUCUCAAAUGUACUCUGCGAAAACUGAAAACGACUCCGAAAGAAAAAUUAUUAUUGUUUGAUGACAAUUUAUAUGGUAUUUUCUUUUUUUUAAACUCUUUCUUUUUUUCUUUUCUUUUUUUUGAAAAAAUAAUCAUAAAUAUUGACAGAUUAAUGUGGUUGGCUUUUUUUUCUAACGUCCAUUUAGUACUACGCAACGUAAACGCAUUGUGCAAUUUGGUCAGCGCAAUUUAAAUCUUAUGGAGUUUGGACCUUUUCCAUUUGUUUCCUUUCAAAUAUAUUUAGAUUUCAUAAAUUUGUUUUUAUAAAGUUUGAUACGUUAUAAUAACUAUCAAUUAAUUGAAUAUAAACAAAAUGUUGUAAAAUAGUAUUAUCAAAAUUUUGGCUUUUCAUUCUGUUUCCUCUUAUGAUUUUUUAAUGAUUUUCACGCGAGCAAUAUCAUACGUCGGUAGAAAAUUUCCGGCUCAAUUUUUUUUAAGUUUGAAAAGAUAUGGGAGAUAUGUAUUAGUUUUUGCAGUGUGUUAUUACGUAAGCUGUCAUAUAAAAUGGAAUUAUUCUAUAACUAUGACAAUUAAAUUAGUAAACUAUUCACCUCCCUAAAAUGUUGAUUUCGUCCUUAAAGACAAUUUAAUACUAUAAACAAAUAGAAUAAUCACUGUAAUGUGCCUGUAGUCUGUAGUUUUUUGGAGUUUAAUUUUGGAGCCACGAGUUUGACAACAUUCUUUAAUGCCACCAAAUCCAGCUUAGUCCAACUUUCUUUUUUUUUUUUUUUUUUUUAAUUUUAUAUAUAUAUUCGUUCAAAAUUUUGUAAAGAAUGUGCUAUUUACAUAUUUAUUUAUUUAUAUAUUUCUGUUUAUUGAUCUUUUGAUCAUCUUCAAUUCAUUUAAUUCGACGGUUAAGAAUUGAGAGGUAUGACGUGUAAAAGAUAAAAAAAAAAAAUUAUAUAUAUAACACCACUAUUUUGUAAAUCGGCAAUUCAGCAACUCAGCAAUAUACAUAUAUAUACACAUAUAUAUACAUACAUAUAUACAUAUAUGCAUAUUCUCGAUGGGAACAAGGACAAUCUCCGAGCAUAAUCUUUUAUUUUGUUCACAUUAGAAGAAAAGACUACAUGCAGGGUUAAAGUAAUCCGUUAGUUUAUGGACAAGCGAUAGGAUGCUAUGAAAUAUAAUAUAUUGAAUAGCGGGUUUAAUCUGGUGGCGGUGGGGCCGGCCCGGCAUGGAUAAAGAGAAGUAAUUUUGUGUUGUGAUUUUAUAAUUUAGGGAAAAUUAGAAUUUCCUAUAGUUUUUUUAUAUUAUUUAGAUUAAACAUUUGUGUUUUUUUUUAAAUUUGAUUAAAAUGCUUUGAUCAAUAGUCACCUCUAUUUUUUAAAAUACUAUUUAUCGUUUUAUCUGCAUGAUGCACUUUUCCUUAUUUAGUAGAGAUAUUAUUAAUUAAACUAUAUUUUCUCUUCUUCCAAAUAUGUUUUUUCAAUCACAGGUUUUUUUUUUCGUUAUGAAAACAUUUAAUAUUAUUUCUUUUUCCAAAUGGUUUUUCUUUUUUCAAAUAGUUGGUAAUCAACAUAAAAGUUCCAUGUAAUUUUUUCAAUUUUUUUGUGAAAUUAUUAUUAUUAUUUUGCUGUUUUUUUUAGUAUAGUUGUUGACGAAUUAUUAUUAGGUACAAUACAUUACAUAUAUAUUAUCUGCGGGUAUGUUUGUAUUUACAAAAUUUUUUAAUUUGUACGUUUAUUUGCAAUUUUGGUACGUUUGAUUUGAUACUUAUUGUUAAUAUUGUUACAUUAUUUUUAUUUUGGUACGUUUUAUUUUGUACAUGUAUUGGUAUGUUUAUAUUAUUCACAAUCUUAUUUUCUCUUAAAGUACUAAAAGAAAAACUUAUUUCGGUACGUUUGAUUUUGGGGGAUUUAAAAAUAUUUUAAACUAUUUUGGAAAGAAAAUAUCUUAAAUUCUAGAUAAUUAUUGCUAAAUUGUAGCAUUAUUGUGAAAAUAAAUUGAAUCUAACCAACUUUUUUUUUUUUUACAAUUAUCUCUAAUGGAGAAGAUAGUAAUCAAAAGGUUAGAUUAUAGGAAAUUUGUUACAAUAUAAUGUGCAUAUAGCACCAAAAUUAUAACAAAAAAAAGUUUAAUCAAAUCACUAAAAGACAUGGAUGUUUGAUCUAGAAAAUUCAAAAUUGAGACGCCUAUAUCAAAAGAUCCCCAUAAUUUAAUAGGAGGAGCAUCGUCUCUCUCACAGAGGAUGUCUGCAGAAAUUGUCAAAUGUUUGAAAGUGGAGGAGGUGGUGGGUCAGUGCCCUAAUUAUGCCCCGUCUGUUGCUGUUUUUCUGCUGCUGCUGCCCGUGAAGCUCCUCCACGGGCUGCUGUUUUGGAUCUUGACGUCGAGAUUGCUCGGUUUCAAAGCUACCAUGGUAUCAUUUGAGACCUGAAAUCUAAAUCCUAAAAUGUGAUUUAUCUACGACAAAGAAUGCCCACGCAUAUGUAAAUCGAUUAAAGUAGUGUGUUUUCUCUUUUGUAUUUAAGUUUGAAUUUCUUCGUCAUAAUUUAAAUUACUAAUAUGUAAAAUGUUGUUCGGUGUUUACUGUUGUUUAAAAUUACAAUGGCUCCUUUAUUUUUCUAAGUUAAUAUGUGGAGUAAUGCUAAGUAGACCGAAUUUCUAAACCAAAUUUGCAUUGGAUUAAUGGGUAAGUUGGUAAGUGGGUUCUUUUUUUUUUUUUUGCAAAAUUUAACUUUUUAUAAGAAUCAAUAAAUUUUUUUUUUCAAAUACCGGAUAUUCAAAUGGUACUCUACAUGUCAUAAUACAUUUUUCGUGUUCCUAUACCUAUUUUAUAACACGUGAGUGCUCAUUUAAAAACUAAUCACUUUGAAAACGUGGUAUUGGGGAAGAAAAGUAAAAGCAAACCGCGAAUAUACGAAGCACACGCGUGCACAGUAACAAUUCUGCCCAAGUGAUAAGAUCGUGGGAAGAAAAGCCGAAAUCUAGUGAAAACACACAUGCAAGUUGCAACCACGACCACGACAUCAAGGUUCCCAAAGUCUACUCCCCGCACAUUGACGUCGUAUUCUUGCACUUCAUUAUUGAAACGAUGCCACAUGUGGUGCAACUUUCUAGACACGGAGGAGUUGGAGAACUCCUUUGCAAUUAAGAUAUUACAUGAGUUAGUUGCCGUAUCUCAUAUCAAUCACAUCUUGUUAAGUGUUAUUAAAAUUUUUUGGUAACAAGUUUGAGUUGAGUUAAAAUGUUUACCUAUUUAACAUAACGUUUUGCGUCAAUUAUACAACACGCGUAAAUUUCUCUAAAAAACAUUAUAUUAUUAGCAAGAGAAAUCACGUUCCUGAUAUAUUUGUGUUAUGAAAGUUACUCUCGCAUUUGAGAGUUAAAAAGUCAACCAAACCAAAUUACGUUACCUUUAGCUUAAGCUUAUUAAUUGAUAAUUUACCCAUUUGGGUCACAUUGAUUUUAGGCGCAGGAAUGUCUAAAAAGUUUGCCCCAAAAGUAAAGAAAAUAGAACAAAGGGCUUUAAGCCCAAUCCGCCUAACUUGAACUUAGAGAUCCACAAUACAAGCCUAACCUGACAACCUCCGUCUCACCAAACUAACUUAAUUGAAAAUUAAGCAAGUUUGUUGCAAGAGAAGUUCAUUUUUCUGGGUUACUCUAAACUUGAUACACUCCGGGACAUAUCUAAUCGAUGUGUUUCCGGUAUACGAAGGAGAAAAACUAACUAUUUUAAAAUUCAAAAAAAUGAAAAAUGAGAAAAGUUUACAAGAACUACCGUGUUUAGUGGUGUUCAGCUGGUGGAUUGAAGCAGCUUCAUAUAUUUGGAGAUUACCGUACCUUUACUUUCACCCGGGCCUCCACGGAUGUAUGCUUGGAUUCCACAGCGGCAACUGGAGAUCCUAUAAUCCUGUUGGGGGGUGCUCUAUAAUACAAGAUCCUUGUUUGCCCUUCAUGCGAGAAGACAAAAAAAUGGUUAACAAGGAACGUGCAGCAGGGUGGCGGCCAACUUCAACAAGGAGGCUUGACUGCGAACCAUGACGUGAGAAAUAUCCUUUUUUACUCUUGCCUAAUCGUGAAUUUCUUCUAGCAAUUAUCACAGCUGCCCAACUCUUUCCUAGUUUCGUUUGGAAUUUGCCUGGGGAAAAAGAAGGCAAACAAAAAAUAAUAGUUACAAAUAGCAGAAAUCACAAAUUUCCCUACUCUAGUUAGCAUCAAAAUAAAUCAAUCUAGCUGCUGUCGAAAUGAAGAACUCAUCCAGCACCUUUCCAUGUUCUGUUUGGGAAUAAAAAUAUCAAGAGAGGAAGAUAAGAAAGCUAACAAAGUUACAGCAAAAGAAUGAAACACUUUUACCCAUUUCGUAUUCCAACGCUUGCAGAAUCAUUUCAACCUGGACAGAAUUGCAUAACCAUACUGAAUGAAGGGAAAUCUUAAGAAAUAGUGGAAGGUCUGAAAGGUCUAUACGCGUAACUCAUGUCAGCCCAUAUAAGCACGCAGCACGCAAGUAGGAAUGAGUAUAUUUCUUGUGUUGCAACAUUACUUUAGUCUAAAGAAAGGUUUGGAAUUGGCACUGUAGAAAUGAAUAGUGUUUCAAUCCGAAUUUCAGAUUAAUUACAACCAUGCCAUUGGUCUUUGUGUUGGUUUUGGGUCAGCAGCUCGGCCCUUAGCUAGGCCCAAAUGUGUUGGUUUUGGCUGGGAAGCCUGGCCCUUAGUGAUGCCCAAAUUAUUUAAUUACAUUUUUGCCCGUCUAAGAUUAGAAUCCGAUGGUGGGGAUGGUGUAUUAUGAAGGGCAAUUUUGUCCUCUCCGUUUUGGGCGAGAUGGGGGGUCACCGGUUAGGUAUCAUUUGUUGUCAUUCAAUUAGGGUUUCAGGGAGGGUCUGCGAGAGAGAGAGAGAGAGAGAGAGAGAGAGAGAGAUGGCGAUGCAAGGAGAGCGAGGGGGAGGGGGAGGGGUAGGGGUCUCGGCACUGUUGCUGCAGAUGGGAGGGUCGGUAUGGUCAGAGAAUACCAUAUGGAUCGUCGGGAUUUUAGGGAGACGGGGUAGGGGUCAUCAACAAACCCUACUGAGAGUGGGGUGUGCCGGAUCUUGCGUUGCAUGCCUCAAAUCCAAAGAUAAGUUCUUUUUUCAAUUGUAUUCUUUAAUGGUGCCUUAGAUUUUCUAAUUGUUUAAGUAUGUUAGGUCCGGUUUUGGGGGAUUUGUGAUUUUAUGGAGAGAGAUGGAUAGGGAGAUAGAGAUUGACAGAGAAAGGAGAAAGCAUGGCUAUGUGCAUUUUUUGGGGUUAAUUAAUGGGUUGGUGCGCAGAGUUAGUGAGGAGAGAGUGACAGAGGGGCAAUAUGGGCACUUUUCUUGGCAAUAUAGUGCUUAGCUUAAAAUUAGAAUGUGAUUAAGUUGUAUUGAAUUUGUUCGAUUAACCAUUGGACCAUUUAUAGUUCAUUUAAUCUUUUGAAUUAUAAGCUAAUGUGUUGUGUCCUUUACAUUUCUUGGUAUGUUAUUGAUAUGGAAAACAUCAUCUAUCUGUUCUAUUUAUCGCAUGUCAUAAGAAUCAAAGUAGACUUGGCAUCCUUUUUGUGGCCUUUUUUGUGUUGGCAGAUGCCAUCAGAUAGGCAAAAUCAUAUUGGCUACAAAGUGCAAUGAAUGCUACAGGUUACUAAGUUUCGCCAUAUGCCUUCAUUGUGGCAUUGCCCUUUCUACAACAAGUAAGCAUUCUAAUUUCACUUUGUGGAAUGAUAUUAAGUUGACUUAUGGAAUAAUAUAGAGUUGUGUCAUGCAUGAAAACUAUGAAUCCAUUUCAUCAUGCAUUUUUUAGUUAAACUACUAUGUUUUUGUUCAAUUGACUACAAUUCAUGCCGCAGUUCGCUUCACAAACCUCUACUGUUAGCUUCCAUACAGUAUGUUGCAAGUUUGAGGAUAUCUCUUGUUACACCCACCCAUAAUUUAAAUUGUAUUUUCACUAAGUUUGAGAUUAUCUUGCUUUUAAAAUGGUUUUUGAGUCUUAAAUGGUGUGCCCAAGGGGCCCACCCUGUUUUGUCCCCCGGUUCCCUUUCCAUUUUCUUUUAUUUUUCUGAAAAGUCUUCCUCUUUCUCUCUUCUCCCUCACUCUCCCUUAUCACUCUCUCUCGGCUCUUUCUAUCUCAACCCCUCCGAGGGCUUUUCUUACCAACAAACAACACCACAACAACAUCAACAUCUCCAUUAGCACCCUAGUGAGCUUAGAAUCGAAGAAAGAACACCCCAAACCCUUCUCUUCCUUUCGGCCGGUACUGUUCAUCAUCUUCUCCGUCGAGUUUCGUAUCGUUCCGACGUUGGUAAGCUUCUAGAAGACCUUGUUUUGUAUUUUAGGGUUAUAUCGAAGCUUGUUUUAAGUUGUGUAUACGUUUGAAUCGCAGAAAAUAGCUCGGAGUAGCUUUUCCAAAUUUUCCGGCGAGCAUGGCCACUUUCGAGGAAUUUUCCGGCCAAACCACUAUGCGUUGGCCGGCAUGCAAGAUAUAAAUCUCUUCGUCUCGCUGAGUACUACAACUUUCCUUUUUGUUUCACCCAAUUUCGUUGAGUAUUGAAGAAGUUAUACUCAUUUGACUCUUACCCAGUUUCCAGCGACCUCAGAGGCUUUCGAGGCAGUUUUCGGUCAAACCAUUGCGAGUUAGACGUCUUGUAAGGUACCAUUCUCUUUGUCUCUUCUAGAACUACAACUUUCCUUUUUGAAUCACUCGAUUUCGUUGAGUUUUGACAAAGUUAUGGCUGUUUAAAGUUGGUGUAGAUUUCCAGCCGAAUUCCGGCCUUCUUCUUCCUUGGGUCCGGCGACCCAUCAAGAAUAGGCCUUUUGGGCCUUUCCUGCCGAGCCCAACCCAAACCCAUUUCUUUUAUUUAUUCAUUUUGUUUUAAUUUUAAUUGGUUAAUAAAAAGGCCUUUGGGCCAUUUUAUUUAGGGCUAUAGGCCCGUCCUCUAUAGAACCCAAAAACCCUUAGGUUUAAGGCCUUUGAGCUUUAGCGGUUGGGGGCCCUAAGCCCAACCCUAACCUUUUAAAUUAUUUUUGUUUAUUAAAUUGAUUUUAAAAACCCUAAAGGCCUUUAGGCCAUUUUCCUUUAGGGCCUUAUGCCCGUGCAUCCUAAGCCAACCCAUUAAACCUCAUUACCCUUAACCUUUAACCCUGAUCUGUCCAAACCCUUUAUGGGAAAUAUUCCGUUAGGGAAUAUUCCAUUAGAGAAUAUUCCGUCAAGGAAUAUUCUAGGAAUAUUCUAUCAACUUUUACGAAGUUUAAAUGAGUCCAUUCUUAGGGUAAUUCGACGUCCUGAAUCCGUUUCCAACAUCCGUUUUUCCAAAUUCAAUUGUUAUAAUAAAGUUUUAUUAAUUGGACCAUUUAUGUGCUUAGGGACAAUAUUUGUGACGUUUCCAUGGUUGCUAGUUUGCGUGGCUCUUCGACGGCUAAGUAUCUGUGAGUGGACCUAGGGCUGGGUUCGGUUCAAAACGGUUCGGUUUUUUGCCAAAACCGAAACCGAACCGAAAUUUCGGUUCGGUUCGGUUCGGUCCAUUUUUUUUUCGGUUUUUUUCGGUUCGGUUUCGGUUUUUUUCGGUUUUUUUUUUUUUUUUUUUUUUUUUUUUGGAAAAAAUGAAAACAAAAUUGAAAUCUAAAAUUUUAACAUCUCCAACACAAUUAUAAUAUAAGCAUUCUAACACAAUGAACAAAAUUUAUAUGAAAAAUGCACACAUCUUUAAAAUACAAAGUACAAGCCUAUCAUUCCUAAACAUGAAGUCGUUUAAUUACCAUACCUGUUUCACCAUCAACUGCAUGAACAUUAUCAGUAAUUUAUUUGAAGGACCACAAAGCCAUUAUCUGGACGUCUAGUAUUCAAAGGAUAAUCUAAAAUUGAACACCACCCAGAUGGAUGGACAAAAAGAACGCUUUGAAGGGAAGCCUAAAAUUAAUUUGAGACAAUACAGAUGCAUAUAACCAGUUUUCUCUAAAGUGAUAUAAGUAUAUCUUAUAUAAAUCAUGUCAACAAGAACAAGCCUGGAUGUUCAAUUCUAUUUGUUCUCUGAGAAAUCAAUACCAACUUCAUAUAUUGUCCAGAUCCGUUUACAAUUUAAACUCUAAUACUCAUACAUAAUGUAGUCAAGAAACAAUAUGCUCUAUUGAUGCUAGGUUUGAUGGAAAUCUUCCUUCAGCACCAAAAACGUUAUCCAUAAUAAAACGCUACUCAGAGAAUUGCAAUGCCUAUGCUACUUUUCAGAACACGUUACCAAUGAAUCUUUGGUCUUUUCCAUCAUGACUUAGCAAGUCCAAGAGUCCAUAACCUAAAUGAAAAUACAUGUUUAACAAGAUUUUUACCACUAAAAGAAACAACAUAUGAUUUACAACCUUCAACAACAUGUCAAAUUUGCAGGGCCAUAGUUUCACUUAAGGAAAUACAAGAGUCGGCAGAGAAAGAAAUUCAAAGAUAACAGGUAAUCACAUAUCAUGGAAGCUCUGAUUCCCAGAGAAAUAUACUUAUCUCCAUCCUCUUUUCAAAUUAUACAUAAAAGUAGGCUAUCUAUCGUCACUACACCUUGCCAAACCAUAAAGCUGCUGAUUUCCUCCAAUAGCCGAGCUUCCACAUAUAUUACCAGCUUGACAGAUUACCCCAAAAACAAAAUGAUAAGUCAAACAUGAUCAAAUUGUUCCCAAAUUAAGACGAAGAAAGAAACUGCAAAAGCAGCUCAAAAAAAAUCCAACUGGGUAACAAGUAAGCAAAAAGUUCCCAACUCAAAUUUAGCAUGCAAUUAAAAAUGAAUGAGCAAAAAAAAUUCAGAAGUACAAAAAAAGACAAUUACUUUCUAUUUCCCUAACCUCAAAUUUCUCCCCUGAGCAAAUUUAACAUACAAUUAACUGAUUAAGCAAAAAAAAAUGAAUGAGCAAAAAAAAUUGUAAAGAAGUGGGAAAGAACACAGAACACCUUGAUUUUUGUGUACUUUUCGUAGAGUUUGGAGUAGAGAGCUUCCGUCUGCGAACGAACAAGAAGAAGCUCACGGCGAGACUAACCUUUUGCAGUCGAGACUCGAAAUGGCAAGAAGAAGCUCACGGCGAGAUGAAGGACUGACGGCGAGGGCGAGGUGUGAGAGAUUGAGAGUGAGAUGGGUCGCCCCGUCGUGGGUCGCCUGAGAUUCAAGACCGAGAGAGACAGAGAGUUUGAGAGAGACAGAGAGUGAUUGAAGUUGAAGACCGAGAGAGAGAGAGAGAGGAGGCUAACCUUUUGCUAUCGAGACUCGAAACGGCGAGAUGAGAGACUGAUGGAGAGGGCGAGGUGUGAGAGAUUGAGAGUGAGAAGGGUCGCGCUGUCGCGGGUUGCCUGAGAGAUUGAGAGAGACAGAGCGAUUGAAGACCGAGCGAGAGAGACAGGAAGCUCAGGCGGCGCGAGAGGGUUACUGGGUUAGGGUUCAUGGAGGGAGUCUGGAGGCAGGGAACAAGAGAGAGAAUAGGGGAAUGAAAAAUAAAAAAGUUAGGGUUAAAGGAUUUUGUUGAUUUCUCAACAAAAUUAAAAAACAAUCUCAUAAAUCCUAAAGGCAUGAGGGUUCGAACCCAUUGCCACCAGUGUGAAAAAUUUCGCUUAAACCAACUUGGCAACAAGUUCUGUUUUGUUAUGAUUGUAUGCCUAAAUUAUUUAUAAUAUUGAAAAAAAAUUAAAUAUAUAUAUAUCGGUUCGGUUCGGUUCGGUUCAGUUUUCGAACCUCAAAAACCGAAACCGAACCGGUCAGAUUCGGUUCGGUUCGGUUUGACAGUUUCAGUUCGGUUUUUUUUCGGUUCGGUUUUUUUCGGCCUCGGUUCGGUUCGGUUGUCGGUUUUUUCGGUUUUCGGUUUUUUGAACCCACCCCUAAGUGGACCCCUUCUAAAAUGAUGUUUUAAUAAUAGAAAUGCAUACAUGAAAAGCAUGGUUUAUGAGAUGCUUUGAGAUAACAUUCUUAUUGAGGCUAGUUUGAAUUAUUACUAUUUUUCCUAUAACCUACGUUCUUAUAGAAUAUCUUAUGGAUGACAAUAUGAUAUUUAGAACAUGUUUCGAACACCUCUUUAUAGUAUAGAUGAUGGAUGACUUUAUACUAUGAAGUUGCUUUUCAAUAUAUAUGUGUUAAAUGGUUUUGUACUUACCUAGUGAUCCUUUCCGCUACGGGAUGUAGGGAUAGAUUCCGGUCCGUCCCGGGCGACGGUUUGGUGUUGGUAUAGGGCCUGGAGUGUGUUUCCUCUGGCUAUUAGCACAGGGACGGGGAGCCGGCAUGGGGCAUGAAGUGUAUUUUCCUCUUACUGUCUGCUCAAAGACGAGGAGCCGGCAUGGGGCCUGCAGGUUAUCGGACAAUUCACUAGUGAUUGUUAUAUAUACAAAUUAUGAUUUGAGAUAUUGCACGACAUGCUAGGUUUCGGAAAACCUAUGUUUAUCAUGAUAUGUGUUUUCAUAAAACAUGGGGGUUAGUACGUUGAUAACUGUUUUAUUAUAUAUAUAUAUAUAUAUAUAUAUAUAUCAACUUGGUCCACUCAUGUUUGUUUUGCGCCCCCUUCAGGACUUAGAAUCGAGGCAUAAAAUCCCGGCAUCCAGGCAUUUCCGCAUCAACAUCUUCGAGUCCUCUCGAUGUAGGACCCACUUCUUUGUUCAUUCAAUUUUAUAUUAUUUCUUUUAUUGUUCUAGUUAGUUGUAUGCUCUGAACACGUUCCUUAAAUGCAUAUUCUUGAACUUUUUAUAUUUAUAAGUCUUAUCCAUCAUUUAUUCUCAGCAUUUGCACUCAAUAAAUGGCUUUCGUCACCCUCGGAUGUCGGCCAUCAUGUGCCUAUCCUGGUAUUCAGGGAAUAUCGGGAUCGGGGCGUGUCAUCUCUACAUCUUAAUUUUUGCUCUAUGGUUGCUUCAAGUUUGUAAUUUUACAUGCUACACUGCCACUUGAUUUGAUUAUAAAAAUGUAAAACAAAAUCUGUCCAUGAUUUACAAAUUUGUAUUCGAUUUUUGAUGUUUUUCAGUGUAAGGCAUAUGUUGCACAAGUGAGGUAUGUAGGCUGCAGAGCAUAUAUUUUGCCAUCUUAACUACAAGGGCAAAAUAUGUGUAAACUGUAGCUUGCUUCUAUUUCUUCAGUCUUGUAUGGAAACAAACCUUCUGCUUAUUUUUGCCUUUGAACAGUUGUGGUUACAAAAUUAGCUACUUGAACAAGUCCUCAACACUUUCUAUUUUUAAUUACCUGUUGAAAUGGCUGUCUACACUACAUGACACAUAUUAUAUGUGUGAACUAAAUGUUUCUUCUGUUUCUUAAGGAAACAGAACUUUUUUUGAAACCAUCUCUUUCUAAUCAAAGACGUUCAAUUUCUUCCCACUCAUUAUACAAUGUGUUUAAAUGCCAACUCACUUGAAUGUAUUUAAAAGCAAAACUGUUUAUCUUAUCGACCUCAUCCACUCAUAUAUCCCUUUGUUUGUUCAUAAUUGUGUUGAAUUUAUUCAUCUUUGAAUUUAUUCAACUUAAAUGUAUUUUAUUUAUCCGAUUACACCUAAAACAGCUGGUUUCCGGGGCAACGCACGGGCCUAAUAUCUAGUAAAGAACUAAAUUAGACAUUUCAUCUGUAUGCCUAAUAUAUUGAAGCAUGUCCAUAUAACAUUAAAUACGAAUGCCUAAAUAUAUAUACUUUGUCAAGAUCUUUCCCAAGAUUAGCCUCUACGGACGAAUUAUUUUCAUACACCGUCCAAAUUUCUUUGAUCUCUCCAGCUGCAGAUAAGAACUUUUCCAAUUAAUACAAUUCUGAAAAUGAAUAUUUUCAGAUAUAAAAAGAGUUGCAGGAAGAUAAAAAUUAGGGAACUUUAACGAAAAGCUCAUGGUAUUGUUCACUUUAACGAAAAAUCACAUUUUUACACUAAAAAUUCAAUCCUGGUACUAUUCACUUUACCCUUUAUUUUGUCCUUAUCGUUAAAACUUAAAGUUUUCAAACAUUUUUCAUUAGUUUUCCUUAAAAAUUAAUGAUCAACCCUAAUCCCUCCACCAAGAACCAAGCACAUUUCAUCCAAAGCUGCUUGCUCCAUUCUGCUCUUCACUGCUUCCGGUACGCCAUCAGAUGGUGUUAUAUCUCCAACAAUAGCUGAGAAUAGUUCAAUAGCAAUCUACUAUCAAAACACAUUUAUAUAUAUAGGUAUCACACUAAAUCCAUUGUAAAUAUAAUACAGAUGAAUAACGUGAAAGAACAAGGGAACAAAAGAUACCUUCUGCAGUGUCGUGCACAAUUUGUAUCUUGAUACACCUGUUCUGUUGAGGUAAGGGAAGGCAAAACACGAGAAAAUAAGGUACUGCACAGAAAAAGGUCCAAGUGGCAUAUCAAUUACAUGUAUAAUCAAGCAAGUCCGAUUAGAAAAUGAUAAAGAGCAUAGGCCAUCAUAUAGCAUCCGAACUCCAACCUUUCUCUAUUCGAGCCAGGAACGUCACCAGCAAUCAAGGACAUCAAAGCCAUGCGAUACAUAUGAUCUGCGAUGGACUCUGAACCCUUUAUUCCCUGAUUGAUUGAUCCAACCCUUCCUUUUUGUGGUCUACGAGAGAGAGGGAUAUGAUACCCUGAAUCUUCUUGCAAUUCAUAUAAUGAAGACAUUGUAAGAAUAUGAGUAUGAGAUAGAGAAGUUUUGGGACCCGUUAUAUGUAUUCAGUUUGAUAGAAAAGUCUUGUUAAUAAGAGGAAUACUUAUCCUUGACAAAGAAGGAUUUUGUAUAGCAUUGAGAUCAGUUCUUAUGGAACAAGGAAACAAGUAUUUGUUUCCUAUAGGGAUUUUAAUUGGGAAUCCUAUCUGUUAUGGAAAAGACUAUAUGUAUAUAUAUAGUGGCCUCUCUUCUUACAGAACACACGCUCAUAUUGGGAUUUAAACCUAUUUGUAAGUCGAGUUCUUGAUCAUAUGCGAGAGAAGAGAAGGUUCACUGAAAAGCUUGGCGUCAUGGCUUCAAGAUCUGGAACUGCUGCAGGUAUGCUUUUCUUUUUCGUCCUCUCAUACACGAAUUGUGGUUAAUUCUUUUCAGGUUGUAGUUCAUGUUUUAAUCUUGUUUAGUAAUUCACUGCUAACAGACAUAUUAUAUACACCCCCACUAUUACUACUUCCACGAAUCAUUUUUCUCUUCAUUAGAAAAUCCUAUCAAGUUUUAAAACUAAAGUUACUAAAUUCUUCCCGGCAAGUCAAUUUUCCACUUUGUCCCACUUAGUGUAUGGAUUGCAUUCCAAAACAUCUCAAUCAAGAUUUUCACAAUAUGAAACAUGGAGUUCAAUUCAAGCACCCAUCUGUGUUUGGUAGUUGAGAAAAUUCAGAAGUACCUAAAUUUUCAACUUUCCUAGCUAGCUCCCACCCAAUCUCUCAGAGACUACAACACAAAUUUUCAAUCUUUAUAGACUGCAGAUCACAUACACAAACAAUUCUCCAACUUUCCAUUCAUUUUAUUGAUUAAUUUCUCGGUAACCAAACAUAUGGAAAACAAGCAGAAUCAGCGCAUAUCUUGAGACGGUGACACAAUGUGAGAAAAUCAAUGGCGGAGGAUGCCGGAUGAAGAGCCCGGAGACCCGAAUGAAGCAUCGGAUUCGUUCGAACUGACAGACCGCUUGGAGGCGAGCCGUCCGGACUGGGUGCCUGCCAACGAACGGAAACGCCGGGACUUCGGCGGAAAAUCCGGGUCUGGACUGUUGUGCCUUGGCUGGUUCGUUAGUGCAGAAACGAGAUUUAGAUUACAACCUCAUCAAAUCACACUCAGUUGAAUAUAAUAAAAUACAAGAAAUAAAGACACCGAGAAAUUUACAAGGUUCGGCAAAAAUCCUGCCUACGUCCCUGGAGAGAUAUUGCUCUUCACUAUGAAUAACAGUACAAGUACACAUGAGUUAAAUCAACAUAACUCAAUCCCGAAUCCCUUGCACACCCACUCAUAGAAUUUUCCCAAGAGCCUCACUCUAUCCCAAGAGUUUUUUCACUAUAAUACUUUUCACUCUAGCUCUCUUGAUUUUCUCUCAACCCAUGUUCAACCUUUCCCAUGGGAGAGCAGGAUGCUCUCCCCUUGGAUGCUUCUAUGAUGCUUACCUUCCCACUUUCUAAGCAUUACUAAAUGCACAAAUAUUGCAUCUAGUUAUAAGCAUACACUAGCAACUAUGCCAACAACCAAGACCAAAAAGUCUUAAGUUCAUAUGACAUAAUUAUUACCUAGCCUACCUAGCAUGCACCAAAGUCUAUACCUAAUCUAUAAAGUACAACUUUUCUCCAUUUGUCAUUUAAUGCAUAGAAGAGAAAACAUGCACAAUAAGACAUGCACAAUUAUGUGCAAGCAAACACAAGGUCAAGUCUUGCUUGCUUCCAACUUUGCUUGUGGCAGUUACCAUGUCUUCAAUUAUUGUCAACAUAAUUACUCACAAAUGUAUGGGUCAAACACAACAUGGACAAGGUCCGUUGAAGAAAGCGGGAGGCGAACGAGGAGGAACAGAGUGGGUCAGUGGAGCCGCGCAGCAGGUUUGGGGAAUUAACUUACGAAACACGUCUAGGGGGCGUUUGUUACAGCUCCUUAGGAGGGACUGGCUUGAACUAGCUUAAAUAGGAUUAUAAUCCUGUGUUUGGUGGCUGGCGGGACUAACAUUAAUGGCACUAGGUGGGACUCGCUUUCACAAACUCCUUCACUAGCCGGUCUUAGCGAGAGACCUCGACACCCAUAGGACUAGCUAAGACCUUCCAUCGUCCUCUCUUGCCUUCGUCCACUCUCGCUGCAUCUUUAUCUCCUUCGUCUGCUUCGCUGCCCUGGGUUCAUCGACCUCGAUUUUCUACGGCAUGGGAUUCAAUGAAAGCUGGAAGUUGGAGAGGCGUAGGGACAAGUAAGUUUACAGAGAUUGGAGAAAAGGGAAAUAGGAGGGAGAGGCGGAGGGACAUGGGGAAAAAGGGAAAGGAGGAUGGAGAGGCGGGUGGAGAAAUAAGGUUACAGAGAGAUUGGAGAAGGGGAAAAAGGGAAAGGGGAUGGAGAAAAGGGAAAUAGGAGGGAGAGGCGGACAGACAAAAAUGGGGUAAAAGGGAAAGGGGGAUGGAGAGGUGUAGUAAAAGGGAAAGGGGGAUGGAGAGGUGUAGGGACAAGUUAACAGAGAUCGGAGAAGGGGAAAAAGGGAAAGGAAGAUUGGAGAGGAUGAUGAUUAUAGAAGAAGGAAAAAACAAGAUAAAGUAAUAAUAAAAUAUUAAUCAAUAUAUAUUAAAUUAAUAUAAAAUAAUAUAAUAUUGUAAUCCUGCUUCUUAGUCCGACACUGCACCAAACGCUUCACUAAACUAGUCUAGCUUAGUCUAGUCUAAGCCAGUCCAGCUUAGUCCCUGAAGCUAAUGCAGUCCGAGACAGUCCGGUGCAACAAACGCACCCCUAGGAUCUUAACAAGACUACGGUCUUGUAUAAAUAAUUAUUAAGUAUCAUUUUUACUAUCUAUGUAAAUUGAAUUUGAGAUUUUGCGAAUACUAUUAAACCAAAGGUUAAAUAGUUGAAAGACAGUUUUAUUCAAAACUUAGAGCAAAAGUAAUUUUUUUGUCGGACAAUCUAAUACUAAUUCAUCUUCUACUGUAUCUCACCACUUAAACAUUUUCUUUGGAAAAUUGCAUUUUUCCAAAUUUGAGGGGGAAAAUGUCAACAAUGCUAUCGUUCAAAUUAUAAACGUUUAAUUAUAUGAGAUCGAGAAAUUAAGAGAGAAAAAAUAAGUAAAUAUGUUUGGGUUGAUUAGGGAUCAAGUUUUAAUUAACACUGCAAUAUAAGAGUCGCUACAAAUGCCCCGAUUAGUGUCUCAACUAUGCACAUUCCUAGAAUUAUUUUUCCUUCGUUUAGCUAAAGAAUAAAAAUAAAAUUACAAAACAAUAUUACAAUCUAACUAUAUAAACAUAUAUAACAAUUAAAGAGUUGGGAAAUUGAAUGAAUAAUAAGUACGAGGAAUUAUCAAAGCAUGUUCCAUCCUAUAUUUUCUCUCAAAGUGAGAUUCUUUAUGAUUAUCCUAUAUUUUAAUGUUAAUUCUUAUGUUAAUAUUAUAAAUAUUAUACUAAAAAUAUGAAAUGACAAAUAAUUUAUAAAAGAUCAUUUUCAAAAGAAUCUCUUUAACAAUUCUCUUCUGUUUGUACUAUGUGGCUCUGUGGCACCGGACCAAUUUAACAAACGAUCGUGGAAAAGAAGAAAUUGUCCUUGUGUGUUGAAUUCACGGACUUCUUUUUCUUACAUUUUUGAUGGGGAAUUCGUGGACCUUAAGGUUUUGAGAGCGGCGCAAAAGCGUUUCCCACGGGUAUCACAACUCCCAUGCCACUCAUGCAUGCAAUGAUUUCACUGCCUCAACAACUCUUUUUAUAAGACGUAGGUUGUCUGCCAUUUCCAUCCCGUAUGUUUUUUUAUCUUUUUUUUAUUUCUUUGGUUACAGUUAAAUCACGUUAAUAUUUUAUAUUUUUAUUAUUUUUUAUCUUAUUAUUUUUAUAAAAAAAUUAAUAUAAAAUGUUAAUAUGACAGUUAAAUCACGUUAAUAUUUUAUAUUUUUAUUAUUUUUUAUCUUAUUAUUUUUAUAAAAAAAUUAAUAUAAAAUGUUAAUAUGAUUUAACCGUGAACACAAAAAUAUGAAUAGAUAAGAAGGGUAUGGAAUGGGGGAAUACAGAUAAUCCAAGUCCCUUUUUAUAGAACUUUCUCGACAAACUUGACCGAGUCAAAGCAGCCGAAAAUAAUUGCACAAGUCAUUAGUCUUUCUACGAAAUGGUGCUAUCUACGUAAUGAGAGAUUUUUAGUGUGAUCGUCACACUAGUUGGUUUAUUACGUGUUGUUAUAUAAUUGAUGAGAUAUGUGUGUUAAAAAUUUAAUAACUUAAAAAGUAAAAUUUUUCAUCACUUACGUAAAAACACGUAGUGUAUCAUUCGUGUUCCUAUUAAAUUAAAAAUUUCUCCUACGUAACGGCGUCUGUUGACAGAUCUGAGGCUUGUAGGGUAAUUGACAAAACGUUUGCUUCUUCACGGAACCAACCACUGAAUUAGGAUAUCGUUCUUGGGAUUUAUAAUAUUUUUAUACAACUGUAUUCUAUUUUAAAUGAAGAGUGAUUGGAAUUGAGAUUUUUUCGGAAUCUUUGUGUCCGCUCGAAAAUUCAAAUAGUUCAAGAGAGAGAUCUGAGGCAUUCAAGGACUUGAUUUUGUGAAUGGUGGGCCAUGUGUUAAUAAAUGUUGCAUGCUAUAAAUGAAGUGGCUUGAUUUUUUGGGUCUGUUGGCUCUGUACUCAGAGACCCAGAGAGGAUCGCGGCCUAUGUCACACAAUAGGAAAGUCAUAACUAUCAUCAUCAAUAAGUCAAACUCAAAACUUCUCACUUACAAAUGAAAAUGAUACAUAACACUAGUUAGUAACUUAAGACUUAUUAUUUACAAAUGAAAAUAAUUACACUAGUUGGUGAAAUUUAUAAUUAACCCUGAAAGACUUGAUUAACAAUAAGAGCUCAUUAUGGGUGGCUAAUUUAAAUUUAAUAAUUUACGAUUAGAAUCAAUAAUUAUUGCAUUGCUUAUAUGAUUUCAUUAAUCAAAUCGUCUUCAGCCAAGGCUGUAUCCAACACAAGAUUCACUCUCGUGACUCCAGCUAAUUAUGGGAUUAUUGCACUGUUUAUACAUAAUUAUGCAUAGCCAGCCCUCUAACACUUAUAUUAAUACGUCUGCUUAAUUAAUAUGAUUUCUCAAGCCUUUGAUCAAACUGGUUUAAACCCGACCAGCCCGGCUCUCUUCCAAUCCUUCCUCGGAAUAGUACGUCCGGCUGCGUUUAAUUGGUAUGUUAUUUUCAUUUUCAUUUAGUGUGUGUACCUUACGCUAAAAAAUCAUCUAAACAUUCAAGAACGCGUUUAAACCCAAAAAUAAAAUAAAACCUCAUAUAUGUCUCUUUUCCUUGAUCAGAUUGGAAGUUCAAGCAUGGUGAUGAGGAGCCUAAUCAAGUUGUUAGGGACUCUGAAAUCAAACUGAGGUUUUUAAACAAAAUAAAUGCGUAUUCAGAAAUUGAGAAAACUGAGAGCAUGAGGAUGGACAUGAUGCACAGGAAAGCUCAGGCAUCAAUUGUACCGACUCUGAAGAAUGCCGAUUACCGGAGGAAAAAGAGCCACGCACAUAGCCGCUGAUCCGUGAUCGAUUGAAACCAGAAUUUCCCUUUUUAUUUAUUUGAUUUGGAGAGGAGCAAGAUAUACGUUCUGCAGCUAUUUGUUUCAGCGGUUUCUACUGUUUCAAGUCAUCAGUGUUUUAAGUCAUAUGAAAAUAGCUCUGCAGCUAUUUGUUUAAGCAGUUUUAACUGUUUCAAGUCAUCACAGCGCCACUUUGAGGUGUUACAACUUCUUAAUUCAGUUUAUAUUUUGUGACUUUUCUUCUAAAACAAGCGAUAUUGGAAAAAGACUAUUUGUAAUUUAGAAUAUCGGAUGUAAGGAUGAAUGUUUUUAAUUAACUAAACUAUUAAUCUCCUGCUGAAUUUUGAGACGUUUAAUAAAAAGAAGAAAUAUAAUUACUUGGAAAAAGAAAUUAAGUCAAGUCAAUAAGAUUGUGACCGUAUGAAGGAACAAUUAUAUGGAUCCAAAAAUACCAAACCCAAAUUUGGACUGGGACACGCAUGCAUUUGCAUGCACGAAAACUUCUCCAAUUGGUCCUCCUGGUCGGUUUAUAGUAAAAUGGAUCAUCUUCGGAUCUCUUUCUUAUAAUUCAUCAAAUUAGGGAAUUAAUGUCAUUGAAAUUUGAUCUAACGGUUACAAACAGAGCUCUGCUUUAAAAAUUAUAAUAAUUUCAACCGUUGGAUCAAUUUUCAAUGACAUGGAUUCCUAAUAUGGUGGAUUAAGAUGAAAAAAUCAAGAGAUGAUCACUUUCCAGUUUAUAGCUUCUUUCGUACCAAAAUGUUUUGCUUUUGAAUUUCUUUCUACAAUUAUUACAUUUCAAAACUCCUUAAUGUUGUCGUUGAUAUUGUGAAUCACGGGUCCUACGUGCAUUACAGUGAUACAAUAGGCUAAAUCACAAACUCGUACAUAAUACAUUGUCGUUUUAACGUGUUGUCACAUCAUGAUUGCCAUAAUUGAGCACAUAUCCAUUGAUUCUUGUUUAUAUUCUUUAAUUUAGUGGGUAAAAAAAAAAAAUUAACGAAAUUUUUUUGAUACUAUUCAUUUUAAUGAAAAAUCAUAUUUUUAUAUUAAAAAAAAAAGAGUACGUUGAAAAAUAUAUUAGUUAAUACGGUAUUUUUGACAUAUAUGUACUAGAUUUUGUAGUGAGAUAAGGAUUAUAAUUCUUUUCCUUUUUUAUAAGGGGUGUGCUAUCCACACACCCCAUUUUACUUCUCACACAUCCUUUGAUAGUUUCUGUCCGUUGAUCUUCUUCAAUUCAUCUGAUUCGAAGGCCAAAAAUUAAAAAGGUGUGUGAGAAGUAAAAUGGGGUGUGUGAAUAUCACACCACUUUUAUAAUGAGAUUAGGGUUGCUUUCCCAAUUUUCUAAAGUUUAGGAUUAACUAGCGAAAGUGUUCCCGCACGAUGCUGCGGGUUUUAGAACCAUAUAAAACAUGUAAAAAGUUAUAAAUAUAUAUACAUCUAACUCCCAACCAAAAUAUGCACGCAAUAUUAAGAGGGAUGUGAUAUCCACACACAUUUUUUUACUUCUCUCACACCCUUUUAAUUUUCGACCGUCGGAUCGAAUGAAUUGAAGAAGAUUAAAUGACAAAAUUAAUAAGGGGUGUGAGAGAAGUAAAAAGGGGUGUGUGGAUGGCACACCCCUAUUAAGAAAGUUUGAAAUUAAUAUUAUUUGUAUUCUUGUCAAUCUUCUCAUAGUAAACAUUCAUUCUGAACACAUAAAUUAUUAGGAAGCACAACCCAAGAAUGGUCUGGGGAUUUAAGUUUAUUUGUAUUCUUGUCAAUCUUCACAUAGUAAACCUUUAGGACAAAAUAAGCUCUAAUUAUAUAAGUUAGAGUUUCUAUGUGAGUUAGGAAUAUGCUGGUGUGUAGAAGAUGAAGGCAAACCAUAAUCCAAUUAACAUCAAAACAAAGGAAAUUAAUAUUUAAAAAGUGGAACCAACAGAUGAGUAAAAACUUUUGAAUUUGCAAUGUUAUGGCAGGUGAGUGAAAACUUGUCAGCAACUCUACAUGGUUGGAGGGUAGUGAAAACUUGAUCUAAAAUGCUGCUAAGGAUGAGGACUCUUCCAAACUGAAAAAUACGGUGAAUGGUUCGGAGGAAGAGAGAGAUGGACUUUUAGAGAGAGGGAGUGGGCAUUUGAGAAAGACAAGAAGAGAAACCAGAGUGCAUCGAGAAGGAAGAGAGAAAAGGAAGAAAAAUAAAUAAAAAUAUUCAGUAAGGACACAAUCGGGAUUAUCGUAAAAGUAUGAGGGUAAAAUUGGAACAACACUGUGCUUAUGAAUAGCAUUUCAGUUAUUUUUGGGUUUUAGUAGAUAUUAAAUUUCCUAUUUGUUUAGAUUUAUUUUCUUGUUUGCUUGUACUUUAAAUUUUUGAACAGUUUACAAAAAAUGAAAAAUAAUGUGCAGAAAUCAUUUUGGUUCUAAGUACUGAUAAGUGACAUUGGCCUAAAUUUGAUUGCAUGGCUCUGCUUCUUUCUUAUUUUCCCAUGUCCAAUCCUAUAAAUACCUUCAUACUUGGCCCUCAUAAUCCCACCCAACAACUCCAAUCUGGAAAUUUAAAUCUCUCAACUCUCUCAAUUCUCCUAUUACAAAUAUGCAAACCAUGUGGAAGUAUAUACAUCUAACUUUCACCAUCUUCAGCUGGCUGUUCAACUUCUUGCUCUACCAUUCCUUCUCCAAACAUUAUGAUCACUAUUUUGAUGAAACCAGAGACAUAUCACUUACCACAGUCCAGUAUAAACCCAAUCCCGGGGCGAAUUCGGAGACUAGUACGGCGGAAUGUGCUGUGUGUCUAUGCAAAAUCGAGGAAGGAGAAGAGAUUAGAGAACUGAGAUGUGCUCAUCUCCUUCAUAAACCAUGCUUGGACUGGUGGACUGGAUUUAAGCAUGCCACUUGUCCGAUUUGCCGCAGUCGCCUAGCUCCACCGAGAAGCACACAACUCCAUCAGCAGUUAGAUGAACAAGUGGAAGUGUUGGUGUUUAAGUUUUGCUCUUUCAGCUCGGAUAGUGAUCGUGGCGAUAGAUGGUGGCUGCGUUGAACUUGAACCGAAGAGAGAGAUUUAAAUGAGUAAUUAUAUAUGCACGAGUGAUCCCUUGUUAGCAAAGAUCUGUUCAUCUAAAGUCAAACGUUUAAUUUUGUCUUCCAGUUCUACUGUCAAAUUAAUGUAGUACUUCAUCUAUUUUGGCGAAAAAACAUGUAUGCGUGUGGUGUACCAUGUAUUUGUAAACGAGGAUGAACGGUAGAAAGGUCUCUGUACUUUAUGUUAUGUUUAGUUUCCGAUCAUAAACUAUAAGUUUUUUGCGCUUUUCAACUUAAUUUUGCAUUGCAUGAGCAACAAUGAUGGAUCUUGGAUUCAAACUUUGGGGUUCCAUUGUUAAACUACAAGUUUUUCAGGUAGAAACAAAGUGCACAUGGAAAAAUCUUAAUUUAUAUUCACUCAAACAUUUCGUCACUUGGUGAACUUGUUAUCAUCAAUCAAACUAUGUUGUACACGUAUAAACAUAUUUUGAUAUAGGCCAAAUUGGAUUAUUCAUCCCCGUGGUCAUAGGAAACUUGCAUGAUGACCCCCGUGGUGAAAAAAUUAGGAAUUAAACCCCUGUGGUCAAGAAUGUUUGCAAAUUUAGUCCAAAAGUAAGAUUUCUGUUAAAUGACUAUUAAAAGUAUGGGUAAAACUGUAUUUUCAGCUCCAAUUGACAUUUAAAAUAAAUAAUUUUUUUAUAACAAUUAACAAAAAAAAUAAUGCUUAAUUUUUUAAAUAAAAAAAAGCCCCAAUUCAAUGUCAAUUGGAACUGAAAAUACAGUUUUACCCCAACUUUUAACAGUCUUUUAACAGAAAUCUUAUUUUUGGACUAAAUUUGCUAACAUUCUAGACCACAGGGGUUUAAUUCCUAGUUUUUUCACCACAGGGGUCAUCAUGCAAGUGUCCUAUGACCACGGGGAUGAACAAUCCAAUUUGGCCUUUGAUAUAUGCUAUAAACAUUCCAUCAUAUGAACAGGAUUUGACAUCUAUUUUGCUCCAUCCUCUUUUUUCAUAAGGACCCCGUUUCUCUGCCCUCGCAAUUCACAUACACUUUCAUCUCCUCCUAUUUUGUGCGGUCACGGUUAAGCCACCUCAACAUUUUAUAUUGAUUUUUUUAUAGAGAUAAUAAAACAAAAAACAAUAGUGAUAUAAAAUAUUAACGUGGUUUGACCGUGACCUCACAAAUAAAAGAGAAUGAGAGUGUAUGAGAACUGACAGGGCAGAAAAGCCAGGUCUUUUUCAUAAAACUAUGCUUUGAAAAUGUGGACAGGAUUACGCAUGCCACAGGUCCCAUUUGUCAUCUAACUCCACCAAGAAGCACUGAUCAAGUGGAAGUGCUGCUAUUUAAGUUCUGACCAUUCGGGUCGGAUAGUAAUCAAAACAACAUACUCAAAACACUAUACCAUAAAAGUGGACAUAUCAAUCAUGUCAUUGAUAUACCACAUAAAUUGUGUUUUCUAUUCAUACAAAUUCCUAUUUUUAAGAUUAUCUUUUUUUUUUUUAAGAAAAAUUAAUGAAAAUGAUUUAAAUUUUUUGAGUUUUAAUUAAUGAUAAGGACAAAAUAAAAUGUAAAGUGAAUAGUACCAUGAUUGAUUUUUUAGUGUAAAAAUAUGGUUUUUCGUUAAAAUGAAUAAUACCGAAAGCUUUUCGUUAAAGUUCCAUUUUUUUUCUUAAGGAGAAAAAGAUAUUUCCAGAGAGAGAGAGAGAGAGAGAGAGAGAGAGAGAGAGAGAGGUUUGUAGAAGAAAGAAAGAAAAAAAAAUAAUAAUAAAAUAAUAUUGUUUACUAUUAUUAUUUUAAAAAAAAUCAAUUGAUGGCGCAAUAUAUUUUAUGAGGUAGUGAUGCAUUCGAGCAAUUAUUAUUCACUAAGGCAGUAUUUGCCUUGUCUAAUUGUCUAGUCAGUUAUUGCCUUAGUGGGGUGAACUUGCUCCAAGUCAAUAAGAUUGUCAGAAGUUGGGGUUCCACAUAAAACUAAUUUGCCAAAUGGGAGUCAUCCAUUAUUUAUAAACACAUGCAAGGUUCAUUCUUUUUCUGAUAUAGGAUUGACACUCUCAACAAGCCCUUUCACGCAUUGUUCUAAAAAUCUCCGCUUAUGUGCUAGGCGGCUAGCCAUGACAUUGAUAAAUCCCUUGGUGUUUAAAAAUUAAGAAAGGGUGUCUGCACUUGUUUAGGCGUCCACCCAACCCACCUAGGCGUUCGCCUACGCAUGCAUCGAGGUUGCAGACUCUCACUUAAAAUAGAAAAUAGGUAACUUUCAUUUUGUAUUUUAUUUUUUUAAUAAAUUGUAAGAAACUUGUUAAAUACUCGGAUAAACACUCAUUAUAUGCAUGUCCUCCAUUUUCCCUAUAUGUGUUAUAAUACUUCAUAAUUUUUAUGUCAUUCUAUUUUUCAAUUUAUAUAUUCUAAUACAAUUAGGUAUUUUUCUUAAAACAUAAACAAGCAUUACUUAUACGAUACAUAUAAUAAAUUUAACUUAAAUUCGCCUCGUCCUUUUAGGCCCCGUCUAGCCGCUUAGGCUUUAGACUUUAGUCCGUCGUCCGACUAACGCUUAUGAUCUUUUAGAACUUUGCCCUCAUAUGUGGUGAAUUUUCAAAUUUAACAUGUAGACAAUACAACGAAAUAACGUGAAGCGCGUGUGAUCGUUUAACUUCACAUGUAAAACAAUCUAGUCUGAUACCACGAAGAAGUUUGAAUUCCAACCGACUAUAUAAGAAAUAGUCAAUUAAUUAUAGCCACAUACAAAUCCCUCUUUUCGAACCAUAAGAUUGGAUGAAGAAUUUAAAGGACUGGGACAUGCAAGACUUGUCCUAUUGGGUCAACCCGGCGGUUUAUACCAAAAUAUCUUGGUUUUGAAUUUCUCUUUAAGAUUAAAUUAUAAACAACACUUGGCUAAAGGAUGAGUAAAAUCUCUUAAUUAAAACUCUUAGGGCUUUAAUUAUAAAGUUUUAUGUUUAUGAUCAAAACCGUUCAUACUAUGAAUCACACUGUAAAAAUCAUCUAUGCAAAAAAUAUAUUAAAAUUAAGGUCGUUUAGUCAAUCUAUUAUAGCAAAUACAUAAACGGUUCGUAAUACUUUUACCAAUACCGUUCAUUUGUUUUUAAACAGUUUGAUGACUAAACGACCUUAGUUUUAAAUAACUUUUUUGCAUAGGCGAUAUUUAUUGGAUAAUUUAUAUUAUGAACGAUUCUAAUGAAAAACAUAAAGUUAUAUAAAUUAACAACAAACAAUUUUAAGAAAUUUUAGGUAUGAAUUCUUACUUAUCUUUAACUUUAAGUAGGCAAAUAUUGUUUUUAAAUUAUUACAUUCCAAAACUCCUUAAUUUAGUCGUUUAUUUUGUGAAUCACGCGUCCUAUAUAUCUGCAUUACAGUGACCCAAUAGACUGAACCACCGGACACGUAUGUUGUCGAUUUAGUGUGUUGUCACAUCAUAGAUUGCCAUAAUUGAGUAUCCUGUGUUAGUUGACCACAUAAAUAUUAUGAUACUGUUCAGUAUAUUCAAGGAGGGAAAUAUUUUUGGCCUAAGAUUAUCUCUCAUCUUCUUUCCAUUAUUUCUUCUUAUAUUUUUUAUUUUGUCUUUUUUUUUUAUAAAAAAUUAAUAUAAGAUGGGGAUGUGGUUUAAUCAUGACCGUUCAAAUAGGAAGAUCGGGAAAUGAUAGAAAUGAAGAAACUAGAGAAUCAUACUCCAAUAUUUUUUGCACACUUAUUUUUUUUUUAAAUUACUGAAUAUAUGACCAUUGAUUCUGAUUUAUAGUCUUCAAUCUAAUGGGUAAAAAAUGAGUUUAUGUUGAAAAAUAUAUUAGUUAAUAUGGUAUUUUUGACAUAUAUACGUGCUAAAAUUUUGUUAUAAUUAAUUUCCUAUUUGUCUUGAAGAACCCAGAUCCUUUCCGGAUCCUCAAAAACUGAGACUAAGGAUCAACUGAUUUGGACUAUUGAAAUUUGAUCUAACGGCUACAAAUAGGGAGCCUUUGUAAAAGUUAUAAUAAUUGUAGUCGUUAGAUCAAAUUUCAACUGUCCGAAUUAUUUGAUCUUUAGACUCAGGUUUUGGACAUCCAAGGAGGAUCUGGGUUCUGUUUUGAAUAUAUUUACCUUUUUGCUUGUACUUUAAAAUUUUUAGCAGUUUAGAAAAAGUGAAAAAUAGUGUGCAGAACUUAUUUUCGUUCUCACCAUUUACAAUUGACAUUAGCCGAAAUUUGAUUGCAUGGCUCUGCUUUCCUCUAUUAUUUUCCCAUGUCCAAUCCUAUAAAUAGUAAUACCUUCAUACUUGGCCCUCAUAAUCCCACCCAACAACUCCUAUUUGGAAAUUUAAAUCUCUCAACUCUAUCAAUUCGCCUUUUACAAUUAUUCGAACCAUGUACAAGUACAUACAUCUAGCUUUCACCCACCUCAGCUGGCUACUCAACUUCGUGGUCUACCAUUCCUUCUCUAAACAUUAUGAUCACUAUUUUGACGAAUUAUUGCCUGCAGACCAAGCCACAGAAAUAUCACUUACCACAGUCCAGUACAAACCCAAUCCCGGGCCGAAUUCGGAGACUAGUACUGCGGAAUGCGCUGUGUGUCUCUGCAAAAUUGAGGAAGGAGAAGAGAUUAGAGAACUGAGGUGUGCUCAUCUCUUUCAUAAACCAUGCUUGGACAAAUGGACUGGAUUUAAGCAUGCCACUUGUCCGAUUUGCCGCAGUCGUCUAGCUCCACCAAGAAGCAAACAACUCCAUCAGCAGUUUGAUGAACAAGUGGAAGUGCUGCUGUUUAAGUUUUGUUCUUUCAGCUCGGACAGUGAUCGUGGCGAUAGAUGGUGGCUGCGUUGAACUUGAACCAAAGACAGAGAAGCAGCAGAGAGUCAUGCCAGAUUUAAACGAAUUAAUAUCGUACUCGUUUGGCGGAAGAUGUAUUAUUAUCUUUAGUCAAAUAAAAAAAAUAAGGAAUAAUAGAUUUAUGUUUUCUUUUAUGCCAGACCUCCAAAACUCACCAGAACUACACAGCAGCAAACAAAUGAAACGAAAAAAAUAAUUCUGGACACCAGCCGUGUGCAUACAUCUAAUUGCCGCCCACUUAAGCUUAGGGGUGGGUUCAAAAAAUCAAACCGGAGCCGAAAAAUACUGAACCGAAAAAAAAAAUCGAACCGAAACAGCCAAACCAAAUCGAACCGAAUUUGGCCAGUUCGGUUUCGGUUUUUGAGGUUUGGAAACCGAACUGGACCGAAAAAAUAUAAUCUAUAUAUAAAUACACAAAAACGUGUUGGCAUCAGAGUUUGAACCCCUGACCUACAUGUUAGGGAUGGUUGUUUCAAGACAACUUGACCAUGGGCUUGUGUUGUAAUAAUUGUACCAGUAAUAUAUUUAUAGGUUUCUAAUAUGUAAUACUUUUAUAAAAUUUCUUAAGUUUACAAACCCUAGCCGUCACUCUUUUCCAUUUCAGUUUUCACCUUUUCUCAUACACUCUCUCUCUCUCUCCCCUCCGCUACUUUCUUCCUAUCUCUCUGCUUCCUCAGUCUCUCUCUCUCUCUCCUUCCUCUUUCCCUCCAAAUCACUCUCUCUCCAGUCUUCUCCUGUUCUCCUCGCGGAUUCCUUCUUCCAAAUCAUAAUUUUCCCUCGCCCCUUUCGAAACAGAAGCAAAGGAGGAUGGCAGAGGGAGUUCAAAUCGGUUCAAUCUCUUCCUUAUUUUAACUAUUAAUUUAAAAAAAAAAGAUUUUUUUUUUCGUUUUGGUUGAUUUUAAUUUGGUUGUGUUUUUGUGUUGUGUUGUUGGUUGAUUUUAAUUUGGUAAAUUAGGAGUUUUCUGUUUGUGGUUUAUGAAAUAGUUUUUCUACUGUUGGGUUUUUCUUGUUUCAGUUCAAAUGCUCCAACCGUGUUUACAAUCCGUAAGUAUUACCAUCUUCUCCAUAACCAGCAACAACCCUCCCUUCACCAAAGAUCCCCAAUCUCUCUUAUUUAUUUGUCGAUUUAUGGGUUUUUAUGCUGCACCUGUUUUGGCUUUCUUGAUUGUGCUUGGUAGUAGAAGGGUGAAAUGGUAGAUGUCAGCUGUAAUGCAUAAUUCAAAUUUCUUGAAUGUAAUUUGAUUCACUUGGAAAUUAAGAAAUGCAAGGAUUGUUGUUUAAUUGCUGAUGAGCAGCUUAAAUCUCAUAUGUUUCCCGAUGGUGCACUUAAAUUUCUUGAUUGGUUUAGAUGUAAUUUGCCAACAACCAGUUGCAUAUGUUUGUUUUAAGGUAUCUUAUUAAGUGCAUUUCAGGACUAAUUGAAGAAUGUAUUCAAUUUUUUCGACAAUUCAAAAUUCUUUUUGCUAUUGAAGAAGAAGACGAAGAACGGGAGGAUAAAAAAUAAAUAAAAAACCGAACUGGAAAAAAUCAGAAAAAAAAUUGAACCGAAUCGAACCGAAUUGAAUCGAAAUUUCGGUUUGGUUUCGAUUUUAGCAAAAAACUGAACCGUUUCGAACCAAACCCAGCCCUACUUAAGCUAGUUGUUCAAUUCUUACUUUACCAUUCCUUCAUAAAAUAUGAUCACUAGAUUCACUACUUUGAUGAAUUAUUGCUUGCAGACCGGGUCACAGAAUUAUCACUUACCACAGUCCAGUACAAACCCAAUUGCCUGGGACAAAGGAGACUAGUACUGCGGGAAGGAUUUGGAUCCCAUCUAGAUUCAAAUAGUGGGGAUCUUAGGGAUUCUCACAUUUUAGUCAUUAAUCGUGCAUCGUGCGGUCACAAAUCAUUUAAUUUUUUUUAUUUAAAAUUAAACACAAAUAGUAUCUGAUGAAUGAUUGAUGAACAAUUAGGAUGUGAGAAUCCCUAGGAUCCUCACAAAGUGGAUCCGAAGAGGAUCCUCUUCCGUGCGGGAAUAUAUAAUGUGUGCCUGUGCAAGAUGGGUAAUGCUAGAGAGAUUAAAUGUGAAAACAAAAUUUGCAUAUUAAAUAAUGUGUCACCUAUAGAAAUGAGCACGUUUAUCAAUAUUUAAAUAAUAAAUCAAUCGUUGACUUCUAUAUCAUUUAGUUUUUAAAAUUUUAUUUAUAAAUUUAGUUUUCUUAACAUUAUCCGUACAAGAGUGACGAAAGAUAAGAGGUUAGAGGAUUGAGAUUUGCUCCGUCAUCUCUUUUCAUAAACCACGCUUAGAAAGGUAGACGGGACUUGAGCAUGCCACGUGUACCAUUCAUCUAGCUCCACCAAGAAGCACACAACCCUAGGAGAGAUUUUUCAGUGUGAUUAGCACACAAGGUGGUACAUCAUGUGUCCUUAUACAAAUUAUGAUAUUUGUGUGUUAAAAAGUUAAUAACUUAAAAAAUAAAAAUUUUCACCGCUUACAUAAAAACAUAUUAUGUACCAUCCGUAUUCCUGUCACAAUAAAAAUUUCCCCAUCAUCGUUUGAUCAAGAGGAAGUGCUGAUAUUUAAGUUCUGAUCAUUCAGUUCGGAUAGAAAUCAAAACAACAUACUCAAAACAUUAUAUACCAUAAAAGUGGACAUAUCAACCCUAUCAUCGGUACACCGUACACUACAUAACUUGAGUUUUCUAUUUAUAAAAAUUUCUUCUUUUAAAAUUAUAUUUGUACUUUUAUUAAAAUUAAUGGGGAGUUGACACUCCAAAAAAAAGUUUAUUGGUCAUUAUACACUCCGAACAUGUAAAAGUAUAAAAUUUAGGAUUUAAACAAGUUUAAACGUUUUUGUCUUUCAGUGUUAACCGGAUCUUUGCACUCAAAUAUUUUUCUCUCACUUAUCAUUUUCCCUAUAUUUUCUCAACUUUUCCAGCAAUAACAGUUUAAUCUAGAUAGCAACUCUUGAUAUUUUUUUAAUCAAUUUUUGUUUUCAGGCUCACUUUGUUAAUUGUUAUUACGUUUACUAGUCAUGCGGUUCGAGGUUUGAAAGAAGAGUACUGUUAGCUGGGCUUCAAGGUUGAAGUUCUUUUAAUUGGUCAUGGCGAGAAAGGAAGAACGUCAGAGAAGGGAUUUGGUAAACCUGAUACAGACAUACAUGCAUAUACUGUUAUAUACAUAUACAUAUAUAUUAUAUAUAUCCAAUAUCUGUGUUUUUAAUUAUACGAGUGUUUGUGUUCAUUUCUUCUGUCGCCCCCACUGACUCUAUAUCAGUCGAUUCUAAUAAAAUUUGGAAUAAACUUAAUCACAGGAAGUUCACAAGGAACCUGGUCGAUCAAAUCCGGAGAUCCCAAGCGAUAUCAUACACUAUGAGAUACUUCCAAGGCUGCCGGAAAAGUCUCUGAUGUGCUCUACGCGCGUAUGCAAGCCAUGGUCCUCUCUCAUCUAUAGCCAUUCCUUUGUCAACUCUCGCCGGAACAAGAAAAAUACUACUAACCUCCUCUUCCGGUAUUGGGAUGGCUUCUUCUUCUCCUCGCAAAUCGAUGAACAAGGGAAACCACCGCCUGUCACUUGUCUUUCGUACAAUUCUGCGUGCGGUACUCCCCCAGUUGUACAUCAGAGCAUCAACCGCCUGGUCUGUGCAUCCAGUGUUAGAAUCAAAUAGCCAAGAUCAAGAUUCAAGCCACAUUAAACACAAUCAAGAAAGCAUAAAACCUUUUACAUAUGAACUAAUGUAUUCACACUAACCUGAUGAACCUCCAUUGGAAAAUGCCAUUGCAGCAGCUGUCCAAAUUUCUGUAUACUGUAACUCUUCUCCUCUCUGGUAGAACUCUUAAUGCUCUAACUAAGAAUAGGACUUGGUUCUUGACUGAGCGCGCCUAUGAGAGCAGAGAUUACAGCAUAUAUAUACAUAUACCUCUCCUAAACCAAUGAGGAUUUCCUAUUACAAUCCGAUUAGGAAACAACUCAUGUUUCCUAGUGUAUGUUAGUUCUUCUCCAUGACAGAUUCCUCUAUCAACAAGAACUCACAUUCAUCUUCCUAUAAGGCUUUCUUAUACUAAUUGGACCAAAUAACUAAUACUUGUUCACCGAAUACUCAUGUUCAUAUCUUUACAUUCUCCCACUUGAACACGAGACAUUGAACAAGCACAGCCUUCACCAAUUAUAAGAAGUGAUCACAUAGCCUUAUUCAAGAUUUUAUCAUCAUGACCAACGUCCCAUUGCAUUUCAAAAUACAGAAGCCAAGAAUCUCAGAUUACUACCAAACAAUCAUUGAUUCAAGACUCACAUGUAUCAAAUCUGCAAUUAUGACACAUGAUUAACAACACCAAUCCAGAACAUGCUCCCACUUUUCAAAAGAUUAUAAUCUAUAUCAAUCUUCAAUGAAAACAGCAUUUCAAUAACUGAAUAAAAUUCAUGAAACAUAUAAACCUUUAAAACAAACAAAUUGUUCUUGCAAAGUACCAUAUGAAUCUAACAAGUCUAUCAUCAAAACCACAAUACUCCAAAACGGAAGCCUUAGGUUUCGAAGCAAAGACUCUUAUUAAAAUAUAAAACAAACUAACAAACUAAACAUAACUAAGUAAGCUAGCUCAGACUAAAAUGUAAACAAAGUCCCAAAUUGAAUUACUCACAUAGCAGCAACCUUCAAAUUUUCUGAAACAGAUCAAUUACUCCCACUGAUCUAGAGUUUCCAACACUCCCAUCCGAGAUACAUGUUUCUGAAACUCUCCAAUAGGCAGCGCUUUAGUCAGAGGAUCUGCAACCAUCAAAACAGUGCUGAUGUGCUGAACUUCGAUCAUCCCCUUCUUCACUUCCUCUCUUACUUUAAGAAAUUUUACAUCCAUUAACCUUGAGGCAGAAGUUCUUCUAUUAUUUUUUGCAAAGAACACAUCAGAAUUGUUAUCACAAAACAUCCUUACUGGUUUUUGAACCGACUUUACAAUUUUUAAAUCAGUCAGAAAAUUCUUCAACCACACAGCUUGUUUCAUCCCUUCAAAACAAGCUACGAACUCAGCCUCCAUAGUGGAUGUGGCUAUCACAGUUUGCUUAGCACUCUUCCAAGAAACUGCACCACCAUUUAACAUAAAGAUAUAACCACCAGUCGAUUUUCUAUCAUCUAUAUCACCAGCCAAAUCAGAGUCAGUAUAUCCUUCAAGUUCCAAAGAUUCGCCAUUUCCAUAAACCAACAUGAAAUUCUUGGUUCUUUGUAAAUAUCGUAGAACCUUUUUGGCAGAUAUCCAAUGUGCUUCACCUGGAUUUGAUUGAAACCUUCCCAGCAUUCCAGUUAUAAAAGCAAGGUCAGGCCGUGUACAUAUAGUUGCAUACAUGAGACUUCCCACCAGAGAAGCAUAAGGCUUACCCUGCAUUUUCUCUGUCUCCAAGUCAGUCCUCGGACAUUGACUCUUGGAGAACUUAUCCCCUUUAUUAACUGGAACUUGUCCAUAACUACAAUUCCCAUAUUGAACCGAUGUAAUACUCUAUCAAUGUAACCCUUUUGCGAUAAGCCAAGUAAUUUUUUCUGUCUAUUGCGUACAAUCUCAAUCCCCAACACAUAGUGUGCCUCUCCUAGAUCCUUCAUAUCAAAGCUUUCACUGAGCAUCCUCUUAGUUCUUUGUAAUAACUGUGGACAAGAACUUGCUAGAAGAAUGUCAUCAACGUAAAGUACCAAAAAAAUGAACUGAGAACCAGAAAAUUUAAGAUAAAUGCAAUCGUCCAAUUUGUUUUCUUCAAAUCCCUGAGAAGAGACAAUCUGAUCAAACUUUAAAUACCAUUGUCUAGAGGCCUGUUUUAACCCAUAGAUGGACUUAUUGAGCUGGCAAACCAUGUUUUCCUUCCCCCUUUCAACAAAUCCAGGUGGUUGUUUCAUAUAGAUGCAUUCCUCUAAGUUGCCAUUAAGAAAAGCUGUUUUGACAUCCAUUUGAUGCAGCUCUAAGUCAAAAUAUGCAACCAAGGCCAUGACAACUCGCAUUGAAUCUUUAGAAGAGACUGGGGAAAAAGUAUCGUUGUAAUCAAUACCUUCUCGUUGAGUGAAGCCCUUUGCAACUAAUCGUGCUUUGUGUCUCUCAAUUUUUCCAAGAGCAUCUCUUUUGGUCUUGUACACCCACUUACAACCUAUAGGCUUGAUUUGAGGGCUAGACUCCACAAGUGUCCAUACAUUAUUUUUAUACAUGGAAUCUAGUUCUUCUUUCAUAGCAUUCCGCCAUAGAGUUGACUGUGAACUUUCAAUGGCCUGAGAGUAAGAGAUGGGGUCAUCCAAAUCACCAAUGUCAAAAUCUGCUUCUUGCAAGUAAACAUAAUCACUCGUAGCAGUUGAUUUCCUGACUCUUGUGGACUUUCUGGGUUCAAUUAACACUGGUUGUUCAGAAUUUGAAGCAGGUGCAGGUGCAAGAAGUUGAUCAUCGAUUUCCAUAAUGUGGUAUGUGGGAGAAUCCGAAUCUGCAAGUGUUUCUUCUCUUUCAUUAAUUGAUGGCUGACUGAAUAAUGGGACCUGAGUGUAGUUGAGGGCUUCUGGGAUGUCAUGUAACUGAUCCAUCUCUUCAAAAAUGAAAUUUUCCCGCGACAGAUCUGUAACAUCUUGAUCCUCUAAGAAUACUGCAUUAUGCGUUUCUUGGAUCCGAGUGUGAUGUUGAGGAAUAUAGAAUCUGUAGCCCUUUGACUUUUCAGGAUACCCUAUGAAGUAACAAGAUUGAGUCCUUGAAUCUAAUUUUCUUUCAUUAGGAUUAUAGAACCUUGCUUCUGAUUUGCAACCCCAAACGUGAAAGUAUUCAAAAUUAGGUGUUCUGCCAUGCCAUAACUCAAAAGGUGUUGAGAUAACAGAUUUGCUCGGUACUCUGUUCAAAAUAUGAUUUGCUGUCUUCAAGGCUUCUCCCCACAAGAAACCAGGCAAUUUGGAUCUUGACAUCAUGCUCCUCACCAUACCUAUAAGAGUUCGAUUCCUUCGUUCCGAGACUCCAUUUUGUUGAGGUGUCCCCGGUGUUGUAUACUGAGCUACAAUGCCGUUUUGCUCUAAAUAUAGUGCAAAUGGUCCCUUUUGCUGUCCUGAUUCAGUGUACCUGCCAAAGUAUUCUCCUCCCCUAUCCGAUCUAACAAUUUUAAUAACUUUACCUAAUUGUUUUUCAACCUCAAUUUUGUAAACAAUAAAACAUUUAAGGGCAUCAGAUUUUUCUUUAAUCAGAAAAGUAUAUCCCAGUCUAGAGAAGUCAUCGAUAAAGUUAACAAAAUACUUGUUUCCACAUAUGGUUUUGACUGGAAAAGGACCACAGAUGUCAGUGUGUAUGAUUUCAAGUAACACUUUGCUUAUUUUGGCAUCUAGUUUUCUAAAGUUGGUCAUUUUUCCUUUCAAACAAUCAACACAUUCUGUUACAGUGGCAGAAUCUAGUUUGGGAAUUAGUUCAGCUUUGCAAAGUUGAAGAAUCCUUUCUUUAGAGAUGUGCCCUAACCUCUUAUGCUAAAGAAUAUAAGAUGAAUCAUGUUCUAACAUUCUUUUUGAAUUGACAUUAAAAACAGACUGAUCAACAAACUCAACUAUACACUCUAGUCUCCAGAGAUUUUCAGACAAGAGGGCAAUGCCUAAAAUUUUAUGAAAACUGUUUUUCUUAAAAAUUUUCAAACAUACAUCAUCAGCAGAGAAUGCAUAACCAUCUUUUAUUAUUUUAGAAGCAGAGAGCAAGUUUCUUCUCAUUUUAGGCACAUAGAGCACAUCUUUCAGUUGUAAUACAAAACCAGAAUUCAGUUUUAAGUUUACUACUCCAAUGGAAUGCACUGCAACCUUAGUCCCUUCCCCCACAUAGACAUGAUACAUAGUAUUUCCAAUCUCCUUUUGUUUUUGAAAACCUUUCAAAGAAUUAGUUAUGUGAACCGAGCAUCCAGUGUCAAACCACCAAGAAUCAACAGGUACUUCACAAAGAUUUGACUCAACACAGACAAGUACUUGUUCCUUUUCUUUGCUCCUCACAAAAUCUUUAAAAAUCUCACAAUCAACUUUUAAAUGCCCUUUAGUCUUGCACCAAAAACACUUAAGUUUAGACACAUCUUUAGGUUUAGCUUUAAAUUUGAUAGAUUUUCUAGGGGAGUCAUUUACUUUAGCAGAUAUAUUGAAUUUGUUAGAAUUCUUAGUGAAUUUAGAAUUCUUACCAGGACCUGAAGAGCUGCCUUUAUUGAAUGCUCUCUUCUCUCGUCCAGGUUGCACAUAAUUUGCUUCUUCGAUCUCCUUGCCUUUCUCUUGCUUUUGCCGAUUUUCCUCUUGCACACAUUGUGCAAUCAAUUCAUCUAUGCCCCAGUUCUUGUCCUGAGUGUUGUAAGAUACUUUUAACUGACUAUACUUGGUAGGGAGGGCUUGAAGGAUCAUGAACACAAGCUGCUUUUCUCCAAUGUUUAUCCCCAUGGAGUUUAGUUUCUCGGCAGCAUCUGACAUUUUCAUUAUAUGAUCCCUUAUUGAACCAGUAUCUUCAAUCUUGUAUUGAGUCAACACAGACAUAUAUUGGCUUACUUCUGCCUUCUCGGACUCCUUAAAUUUCUUUUCAAUUGCAGCCAAAUAAUCCAUAGCAAGCUCCGGUUUCUUAAUUCCUCCCCUGAUAGUGUCAGUCAUUCCAGCUUCUAUGAUGGAAAGUGCUACCUUAUUAGCUCUUGACCACCUCUCAAAAUCUGACUUCUCAGCUCUGGUGCUUUGAUCACUAAUUACAGGCUUGGGAUUUUCAAUUGCUAUAUCAAACUCAUUGAGAGUCAAUAGCAAGUUGAUAUCCCUCCUCCACUUCUUGUAAUUGCUACCACCAGUAAGGAUCAGAAUAUUUGCUAAGUUUAAGGUCUUCAUUGAUAUUGCAGACAUCGGUGAACCUGAAAUCACCAUAUGAACAUUCAAAGUUCUGAUUUCGUUUCACAGUCUAUUGCACAUCAAAGCUUUAUAACCAAUAUCCAUAUAUACAAUCUUAACAACAACCAGUUGAUAGGCGCAUAUAGGAUAAUUGAUUUCAGUAUAGAUCAUGAACUGAUCACCGUAUAAUCAGAACCAACCAUCACACUGAUUUGUUCCAUACAUCUCAGUUUAUGAUCUUAAUGGUGACAAUAAAUUUGCAUAAAUUUAACCAGAUAUAAUCAUUUUACGAAUGGCUUCUUUCAUUAUACAGACCAUUAAGAUGCAUUAUUUUAAGAAACUAAAUCAUAUGCUAAGAAUGACUUCUUUCAUGUUUAUAAAAAUCAUUAUACAAAUCUCUAUGCAAGAUUCAUGAUAUUCAUUUUUCUGAUCCGAGUUUUGAAGAUCACAUACCUUUUAAAGAGACAACCAUCAAUACCUAGCAGCGGAAACAAUUUUGGACAGGUAUUGAACACUCAAUAACAGGAUUUGAUUUACUCGGAUUGCAAGUGAACGGGUCAGAAUAAGAGGGACGGGUUAAAGUCCUCUUUUGCAGAAGAACAAAACCCAGAAAACCCCAAAAGAACAAACGCACCGAUUUCGAAUACCAACAGUCAUAUUAAUCUAACCUAAUUUUAUCAAAAACGCACCGUUUAGGAAAAAUUGUUUUGAGAUUUAGAACCGGUUUCGAAACCUGAUUAUGGUGAUUUUCAUUGACCCGUGCUUGAUUGAUUUUAAGAACUUAAAUCUAAGGCUCUGAUACCACAUGUUAGAAUCAAAUAGCCAAGAUCAAGAUUCAAGCCACAUUAAACACAAUCAAGAAAGCAUAAAACCUUUUACAUAUGAACUAAUGUAUUCACACUAACCUGAUGAACCUCCAUUGGAAAAUGCCAUUGCAGCAGCUGUCCAAAUUUCUGUAUACUGUAACUCUUCUCCUCUCUGGUAGAACUCUUAAUGCUCUAACUAAGAAUAGGACUUAGUUCUUGACUGAGCGCGCCUAUGAGAGCAGAGAUUACAGCAUAUAUAUACAUAUACCUCUCCUAAACCAAUGAGGAUUUCCUAUUACAAUCCGAUUAGGAAACAACUCAUGUUUCCUAGUGUAUGUUAGUUCUUCUCCAUGACAGAUUCCUCUAUCAACAAGAACUCACAUUCAUCUUCCUAUAAGGCUUUCUUAUACUAAUUGGACCAAAUAACUAAUACUUGUUCACCGAAUACUCAUGUUCAUAUCUUUACAUCCAGUUGUUAGAUCCCUGUUCUUAUAUUUAACCCUACUACACGAGAGUCCAUCAAACUCCCUCGUACAGGACACUCCGCGUUACAUAUCACUUUGGGUUUAAUCCGAUUGCAAACGAGUACAAUGUUGUCCCAGUAUCUUGGAAUAAUAAUGUCAUGUUUCAUAUUUUCACAUUGGGGACAAAUAUUUCAUCAUGGAGGCCAUUAGCAGAAGCAAACCUUGGUAAUCUUCCUUUUGAUUUUUUUUUUAUUGCACGUUCGCGAGAAGCGUUUGUUUCCACGGGGCCAUCCAUUGGAUGCAUGAAAGGAAAAAUGUUAUAGUGGUAUUUGAUGUUGGAGACUAGAAAUUUAGAGUGAUCCCGGUCCCCGAUUGUUGUAUGGACUUCACCAUUGAGGGUAUAGCUGAGCUGGGGGGAUGCAUGACUGUGUAUGGUAACAAGUGUUGACAUGUAAUCUUGUCUUGGCUCAAGACAAUUGAUCCGGCCCAUACACAAAGAAAGAUCUAUGCACAUGCUAGAGAAUUCUAGUAAAGUUCAAGUUAGUGGAAAAGUUUAGAAGAAUGGUGAGGAUUCCACCAACAUACAAGAUUAGUGUAGAUAAUUCUAGCAUAGGAAGGUAGUGGAAUUAUCUAGAUAUAUCUAGCAUGAUGUUUCCAUGCUUCUCCAAGGUUCCAUCCAUGCCUAUAAAAGGAGAAGGCAUCCACACCAUUUGAAACAACCAAGAGAGCAAGUAGUGAGAAGUGAGAAGAAGCAACAAAGCUUCUAAGAGUGUUUGAGUGUUUCCUCUUGUACUAAGUUUGUGAAUGAAUAAAAAUCUUGUGUAAUACAUUGAGUAUUCUUUCUUUCUCUUGCCUAUCAAUUCCGCUGCAUUACAUUCUUCUUUGUGAGAUAAACAUCUUCAAAGUAGUGAAAUCUUUUUAAGCCCCAACAACAAGCUCAUAAACCGGAACAUGGAGCAUGAAUUGGUGUUGUGGAAAUUGAAGGACUACACAAACCAUAUGUGGAUCGAAGAGACUAUCUUAAUGUUGAUGGAGAUCAAGGGACACCUUGGUCAUGGCGGCUGGCGUGUUCAUCCUGUAUAUAAAAUCAACACAGGUGAACUAGCGAUUGUAGUACAACUACCUCCUGAUGCACCAGGAUAUUACAACAUCAGACCGCCAAGAUUGCUUCUUUAUAAUAUGGAGAGCAAAAUUUGCAGGAUAUGUUCUUUUGAUUUUCCUAAGUUUACUAGCGGAUAUUGGCUGAAUCCGGCAUGUUCUUCACCCGCCAUGAAGAAAAGUGAUGGUAACUUUGUACCGUACGAUGAUUUUCCUGAGACAUGUUCUUCACCCGCCAGGAAGAAAAGUGAUAGGAAGAAAGUAGACGACUUGAAUUUUAAACUGUUGGAAAAUAUUAUUAUUUAGAUUUAUUUUAAUGUUUAGUAUUUUGGGCUUAGUCCGUUAGUAUUAUGAUUUCGUUUCCUUGGCUAUUAGGGUUAUGUUAGUUUUCUAUAUAUAUGGUACUUUGUAACUCUAUUGAAUAAUAAGUUAGUCACAAUGUAGCCUCUUAGGCUGUGUUUGUUUGACUUCAUUAGCUCUCACUGGACUAGACUAGAUUAAGGAUUAGAGAAGUCCGGUGUUUGUUUCUGACAGGGACUAGUUUUAGGGGGAUUAAGGUUCACUCGCCUCGACUAAAGGGUUCGCUAAAGGGGCUUAGCGAGACCCACCAAAUACCAUGGGACUGCUAAGACCAUCUCCCUCGCAUCCUCCAUCUCCAACUCCUCGUCAUCUCCGACUGCAUCGUCUCUGGGUUUUCUGAAACAAAGGGUUCUGGGUUUUUUGGACUGGAUCGGUGUAAUUGAGGAAGAGGGAAGAGAGAGAGAGAGUUCGAUGAAGAAGGGUCUUUUUCAUCUGGGGUCGGUGAAAUUGACGAACAGAUGAGGUUUGUUUUGCAAAUGGAAAUUCCAUGAAAGAGGAUUGGGUUUUCCGAAUUGAGGUUGGGUUUUUUCUGGGUUGGAUUUAAAGAGGAAAGAAAACAAAUGAAAAGAAAGAAAGAUUAUGGGUUAGAUUAGAAGAGAAAGCAAAGGAAAAGAAGAGAAAUACAGGUUUGAUUUUUUCUGGGUUUGAAAUGGGAGGAAUUCUGGGGUGCGAAGAACAGAAAGCAAGAACAAAAGUGAGAAACGGAAGAGAGAGAGUAAAAAAAAAAGGGGGGGGGGUAAUAUUAAUAACAGUAAAAUAUUAGUCCGGUGUAAUAUUAAUAAUAGUAAAAUGUUGAUAAAUUUUAGGAUCUGGGUUAUCUGAAACAAGUGUGAUGUGGAUUUUCUAAAAUAAGUAUGAUUGUUAGCUUGGAAGUUCAUGAGUUCAAUUAGAAGUUUUCAUAACUAGUAAUUAAAAAUAAAAAUUUAGUCCUAGCUAGUCCGAUACUGUACCAAACGUUUCACAAUUCUAGUACUGCUUAGUCCAUGCCAAGCCAGUCCAACUUAGUCCCUGAAGCUAAUCCAGUCCGAGAUAGUCUGGUGCAACAAACGCACCCUUAAGGUUUUGUAGCAUUUUAGGCAUUCUUGUUUGUUUAAUAAUAUUCUAUUUUGUAGUCUAGUUCGUUGCGCACUCUAAUAUUCAACUUGGUAUCAGAGCGGGUUCGAUCCUUAGGAUUCAAUCCGUUCUCGUUGGUAUCAAUUUGUUUGCCUUUGUCGUCGUUUGUUUUAGAUUUGUUAGUUGGUAUUGAUUGUUUGCAAGGAAAAAGUCGAUCUGACCGAUCCACCACACCACUACUAUUUAGUUGUUUAAGAAGGUGUGAUGUUGCACUUGUUCGCCCAGAAGAAAAGAGAAAAAGGAAAUAAAAAAGAAUAAGAGAGAAAAAAAUAGGAGAGAAAAAAUAAGGAAAAAGGAAAAAAAUUGUUUGGAGUUUUUGAGGCCCACACGGGCAAAGAAAAAAUAUGGUUUUUUGUUUGUUUGCUCAGGUUUGUCUGGAAGCUUGCAAGUGGCAUGGAAAUCUGGCAUUAACAUUGGUAUUAGCAUUGACUUUGGUAUUGGUAUUAGCAUUAGCAUUGGCAUUGGCAUUGGAAUUUGAAGUCUUGCAUCCACAUCUAUUUUGGCAAACCCAUGUCAUAUACCGCCAGAGUUUGACGGGAGGUGCUGGAAAAUAUUAUUAUUUAGAUUUAUUUUAAUGUUUGGUAUUUUGCGCUUAGCCCCGUUAGUAUUAGGGUUUCGUUUUCUUGCCUAUUAGGGUUAUGUUAGUUUUCUAUAUUUAUGGUACUUUAUAACUCUAUAGAAUAAUAAGUUAGUCACAAUGUAGUUUCUUAAGGUUUUGUAGCCUUUUUGGCAUUCUUGUUUAUUUAAUAAUAUUUUAUUUUGUAGUCUUGUUCGUUGCGCAUUUGAUAUUCAACUUAAACAACUUGAAUUUUAUUUUGUUUUUGUUUUUGCCACAUGACACAAAUUUCAUAACUAUGCAGUAAAUAUGUAAGAUUUACACUUAUCGCGUCAUCACUUAAUGACUAACAAUAAAAUACGUGCAAAAUGAAAUUGAAGCUAUUUAGUUGAAAGUAUAAUACUUGAAUCUCAACCCAUUGAUCGGUCAUAUACAAACAUCAAUUGUCUCCAUUUUUUUUAGUAAAACCACCAAGUCAAUUCCACUUCAGCGACAAUGAGAUAGCUUUAUUUAAAAAAAAAAAGAAAAAAAACAUAAUCCAUCAAAGGAGACAUAAAACUAAACAUUUACCAUGAUAAAUUCUACACCAAAACAAAAACAAAAACACCUAUAAAUUUCUUCUCAAUUUUCCUCAAUUCAGCAAUUAUUUUAAAUUACCAAGCAAAAUCAAAGCAACAAAAAGGUUCAGUCAGCAUUAAGAAAUGAAACAAAAUCAAAAUUGAAAGAUGGAGGUUUUUAGGUGGGGGACUACCUGGUUGCAGAGAAGCCUGAUUAAGAGAAGCUUCUGCGAACGAGCUAACUUCGUGGCUGGGGUCGAGAGUAGAUGACAAACAAUUGAGCAGCCAUUGCUGAUCGUCGUCGAAGACAGUAUUGAAAUUCGCCAUCACAUUAGGGUUGUUGCAUGGUUACCAGAAUGCUUAAGACUCCGCGAUUAAUUAAGCAAUAUUGUCCGGCUUAAAGAAUUUCAGAUGUCCUUGUUGGCAUCGUUGUACGCUAAAUAAAUCAACUAAAAUUUUAUUUGUCCUUAAGCUAAUUAAGUUGGAAUUGUAGCAUACACCGCGAAGGUUCGAAGAGUCCAUAAUCAUUGUAAGCUGGAAGUUAAGGUUUCUUUUAAGCUUAAUGUCUUUUUGCGUAUGUAGCAACAACACUGGCAAGGCCUGAGAUUGAAAAAGAAGUACUGCAAUCCAUGAAUUAAAACUGUACGAAAGUCCCAUUUAUCAGUAGAGAGUAAUGUCCUUAAAACGAUGACUAGUGUAAUACCGAAAACAGUACAAAUUGGAGUUUUCGACCCCAAAUAUGAUGAUCAAGUGUCUGAAAACCAUGACUCAAUACCAAAUUUUUGUCAUUCCCAUUUGCUCCUACUCUGGUGAGUGUGCUUGAAAUCAUAUGAGAGUAUUACUGCUGCGCUUCCAGUCAUAGACAUUCUCUUCAGUACAAACCUCUCUACCAACACAUAACAACUAAACCUAUUCCACCCGACACCGCCCGUCCCCCUAAACUCUUCCUCUCUCUCCACCCUCAGUUGCCUUUCAUCCCCGCCAACCCAUCCAGCUCUUUCUGGUUCCCAUUUCAUUCUCUCUACGACUUUCAUGCUCAAUCCCACACUAGUUUCUUCUCCCACCCCAUCAAAACUCUUAAACCACAUGAACAUAUCACCCGCACCAGCAUUUCUUUCAUCCCAAACAGCCUCCUUUCCACCCACAUAAACCGCCUCUCUGUGAACAAAAGCAUCCACAAACACAGCAGGAUUCUUUUUUCUUUCAGCGUUGUCAUUAACGUUGUCGAAAAUCUUUUCCCAUCUUUGCUCAAGUUUAAUUUCGUAGUACAUACAAUUUUUCACUUGGUCCUUCAGCUUCACCCCUCCUUCCUUAACAAACAUGAAAGGACAAUACCACUUACCAACACACACAACUUCAGAGCAGUCAUGUGAUAAUGAAAAAUCGAACCCAGGAAGGCUAGCUCGUAGCGAAGAGUUGAGUCCCGAGGCUUCACGCAAUUGGUAACGAUAUGGUGUGCUCAUUCUCACGUUCCACCCUUUCCUCCUCAAGAAGUAAGGAGGAAAACCAUCUGGAUCAACAGACUUGGCAAAAAAACGAUUUCUUUCUCCCUCCCAAUGAACUAUCUCAAUUUGUUGAUAAAUGUCUGACGGAUCCAAUGGUUUUGGUUCAGCAUCUGGUAUACUUUUACCUCCGAAACAGCCAAUAUCCGUAUCCUCUUCCCUCGUAUUUGUGCAUGCUUCCCUGCAAAUCAAAUCAGUUCCAAUAUAAAUUUUUCCAUGUAACAGUAACACUUAAUAUGUAUGGAUGUUUAUACAUAUACAUAUGUGCGUACCCUUUAUGGCGGCCUCUUCGAAGUAUGACAUGGUAUCUAUUGGAAGACAAGGGUUGAUCAAGCACUGGAAUGAAGGCAACAUCAUCGUUAUCUGAGCCAUAUCCAACGGUUAGAUCCAUGUUCUGAGGGAAAGGCAAACCUUUAACCUCGUCGUCCUCGCAUCCGCAACAGUUUAUCUCAAUUGAAUCGUCGUCAUGGAGUACAAGACAGCCAGAAUUUGGGCCCUCCGGAGGUGGAAGAGACAGUGACUCGGGAGAACUUUUAUACACAGACAGAGGCCUUGUCACAUACAUCUUUGUGACCAAAUUAAAGAAGACAAUGUUUAAAUAAAGAAAGACUGGCUCACUUUCAAAUUGCUUUGAUGAAAUUACUUGAUUACAAACAGUUUUAAUUUAUAGAAUUCAGGACUCGAACUUCUGAGAACAUAUUUGAGGAAUAUUCUUGUAGUGUUAACUCCUAGCUAGGUUCAAGUUUUAGAUGAUUGUACUUCAAAAAGAAAUUUGCGGUGUAUGGAGAACAACUUACAUGACACAGUUAAACUGUUAUUUUGGCAACUGUGUGGACGAAAACUUACACAAAACUUUGAAUCAUUGGCAUUAGAGGCCACAAUAACGGAAAGUUUACAAGUGUGCCGUUUCAUGAAAGUCAUUAUUAUAAUUAAUUUCUUGAUAAUUUAUAGUUUAAUAUUAUCUUGUUGGCCGGGUACGUUGAUACAAGCAAAGAGUAGAAAGUGACAAUUUGCAGCAAAUGCAAGGAAGGCUCGUAGAUUUAUUUCUCAAUCUAAGCUGGAAAAAGUAGGUGUCUUUUAUUGUAUGUAGCACCUGCUUGGAAGUUUGCAUUAAGUCUUUAAGUAUGAUUCUUUACGAUGAAUUUAUUGUUUCUGCUUUCAAACGGAACGCCGGCAUCCUCCGCCAUCUUGACGAGAUCAUCCGCGGUCACAAAUGAAGAAAGUUAAAGUUUCACCAUAAAACUAAUUGGCAAUAUGAGGAGUAGCUCAAUCUCUUAUAAGUCUAUGCAAGGUCCCUUCUCCCAUCAAUGUGGGACUUAUUCUCCUCACGUGUGGGGAAUUUUCGAGCCUAACACAUGGACAACACAACAAGGUGACGUGAAACACAUGUGGCCGUUUGGCUUCACAUGUGGGACAACCUGCUCUGAUACCAUGAAGAAAGUUGAGGUUCCACCCUAAAACCAAUUGAGAAUGAGUCCCAUAUUGAUGCACAUUGAUGGGACGAGGGACCUUGCAUGGCUUAUAAGAGGUUGAGCUACUCUCCAUAUUGCCAAUUGGUGUGGAACCUCAACUUUCUUUAUGGUAUCAGAGUAGGUUGUCCCACGUGUGAAGCCAAACGGCCACACGCGCUCCACAUCACCCUGUUGUGUUGUCCAAGUGUUAGGCUUGAAAAUUUGCCACACGUGUGGGGACGUGUUGAGAAUGAGUCACACAUUGAUGGGAUGAGAGACCUUGCGUGGGCUUAUAAGAGGCUUGGUAGGCUACUCCCCAUAUUGCUAAUUGGUUUUAUGGUGGAACCCCAACUUUCUUCAAUGACAUUGUUGAUCGAAUUCAAACACUCAGCGAGGAAGAUUCGGCUCUACCUUGGAUUCUACGAGGGUCUUAUUUGCAAUAGCUCAAUGAGAGACACCAUUUCUAAAGCCCUAGUUAUGUAGAUGAAUCUGUUGGAAAACUUGGAGUAUAUAAUAUUAACAAGUUUCCUAGAUUACUAAUAGAUGUUAACAUGAUACUUGACGCAGCCAUGUUUUUGGUUGAAAAUGCAAUUCUUCUACUUGUUUAAGACCUUAUGUUCCAAAGGUGAUGGAACCCUCGAAUCUCAGAACAACUCUUCACAAGUAGGGAAUUGGAUUAUACAGACACAGGCUUCAUCUAAUUUCCAUCUAUUGUGGAAAUCAGUUAUCUGCAGUUGCUGGCAGUUUUCACCGAGUAAUAGAUAAGCAAUUAUCAUUUGCUGCAUGUUAUCCACGUAUCCUUGCUUAUAGGGAGCAAUUUUUCCACGUUUGCAACUUACGUCAGAUGUAUUGUUACCACAUACAUUUCGUCCUUCACUAAAUGAUAGUUUAGUCCAAUUAAUUUUCUAAUAGAAUCUUCCCUUGUCGACUCCCCUUCUCACCUCUUGCAACUCUUUCUUCGCCUUAGUCAAUAUCUCCUUCAAAUUUGGUUUUUCUAGCUUCAAUUUGUUUAACUCCUCCAUUGAUGUUAGAUCCAUGGUUUUGAGAGAGAAAAACUGGUUUCGAAUUUCUUGAUUAGAAUUUGGGGGGAGAGAGAGAGAGAGUGAAUGUGUGUGUGUGUGUGUUUGUUUGUAAUUUUUUGGAGGGAACAAAACAACCUUUUACACCUUCAUUGUCCGACUAAUCCACUAUCAGCCGAUCAUUACCAUUCCGGGUUUAGAUCUGCUGUGACCAAUUUUUCUCUGCCUAUACUCAUUUAGAGUGUCUGGAAUAUAGAGUGGUACACCACGUGUUAAUAUACAAGUGGUGAGAUACUUGUGUUAAAAAAUAAAACUUAUCUCUACUUAUGUAAUGGCACGUGGUGUACCAUGUUUCAUGCAUAGUGAAAAAUUUCUCCCCAUUGUGACACCAUCUUCUUAGUUUUGUGAGAAUAUGAAGGUAAAAGAGUCCCCCAUUGGUGAAAGGAGAAACCUUGUAAGGCUUAUAAGAGACUAAGCUACUCCUUAUAUUCUCAAUUGGUUUUAUAGUGGAACCUCAACUUUCUUCAUAAUGUUAUCGCCAUGUAUGAUCUUCUACCACUGAUCGGCUGAUGGUAUUUCAAAUGCUGCUGAGGAUUUGUGAUCAAGAUUAGUUCUCAAGAAAGUUAUUUAGUUCUCAAGAUUGGUUGGAUUUCAGUUGUCAGUGUUGGAUAUAAGUCAACAAUCUGUGAUUUAAAUAUAUAUGCUAAUAAACAAUAAAUGCAAUAGGAAUUAACAGAAUAUAAACUAGAAUACGAAUUAAAAAAACAAACAACUUGAAGAUCGAGGCUUGCGUACCGCAAUGUCCUUGAAACAAAAAUUUCGUCCCUACUCAGUGCUUGUAGUUCUACAGACGUCUGCUUCACCAGGAUUCAACGAUCUAAGUCAGAAAUUCCAGCACCGGAAAAUUGACUUCUGGCGAAUAUUAAUAUGGUUCUCUCAGAAAGGAUGUUUAUGAUUGCAGGAGAAGAUUUAUGAUUUUUCUAUAUUAUAAAUGUCAUGCAGAUGGAUGUAUAUAUAAUGUAAUUAUACCUGUUCGCAACAGGUAUGAGGAAGGGAUGCAUCUGUUGGGAAACAUCUGCUGAAAAAGGUGUUUUUGUUUCUGCGUUUUCACACUUCAGACUUCAUCUGAAAAGAUGAGUCUGUUGGUAAAAAUAAUUAAUUAAUUAAUUUAAAUUCGAAAUUAAAAAUAAUUAAUUAAUUCCGAAAAUAAUUAAUUAAUUUAAUUAUUAGAGCCCCAAGGCCCAAUGCCCAUCUUUUGACAAUUAAAUAUAUAUUAAAUAUAUAUUAAUUAUAAUUAAUUAUAUAUAUUAAUUACCAAUUAAUAAGUACACCCCAAAGCCCAACCCCAAAGGUGAGCCCAAUUUUAGUCUCCAGGCCUAUUACUCCAAUCACUUUCUAUAAAAGACAAAGCCUUAUAAAGUGAUAAAAUCUUUUGGGAAUGGCCAAUGUGGGACAAAGAAAUUUAUACUCAAACUAUUCAAAUUUCCAACAAUACCCCACAUUUGAGUUGAAAUUUCAUUCAAACUCCAACAAUUACCCCACAUUUGAAUGCAAAUGUAAAUGCAAAUGGAUGAUUAGGCUGCCUAAAACUGAGAGAGAAUAGACAUGAUAUGCAUCGGGUGAAGUGUCUUUUGGACUUGAACUUACCCUAGUGAAAACAUAUCGGGCUUACUUGGUGACGCAGUGGAUGUGGAAGAUCUUGAACUGUUCACCGCAGUAGUAAACCGAGACAAUAUGCUACACACAUAUCAUGGCUGCCACACGUCAAUUCAUACUAUUGUGUUCAUUUUGGCCCUGAACAGAUCUCGGAUUUCGUAGGAGCUUUAGAGAAUUUAGCCAUGUUAAUUCUCAUAAAUGUGGCCCCAUUUACUCCUAUAUAGGUGACAUUAAUUAAGAAUAGUCUGCCAUAUUCCUCUUGAUAACAAGAUAUUAAUGUCAUUAAAUGUAUAAAACAUAACCUCUUAAACAUCAACACACAACACACAUUUUAUCAUAAGAAUUGGUAAGUUGUGUGUUCAACUUUUGAAUCAAACUCAACCAGUUUGCCUAUUGAACCUAGACCAUGGGAUCUCCAAUCAGCUAGGUUAGGUUUCCUCCCAGUUCGAUUCAUUGAAUUGGCUUGAGACCCAUUCCCCUCGAUGUAAAUAAUAUUUGCUCUCUUGGUAGGCCUUUUGUCAAAGGAUCAACUAUAUUUUCCUUUGACUUCACAUAAUCAAUGGAUAUUAUUCCAUUAGAGAGCAACUUCUUAAGAGUAUUAUGUCAACGCCUGAUGUGACGUGACUUCCCAUUGUAUACAUGACUUUUGGCCCUUGAUUGUGCGGCCAUACUAUCACAAUGUAUACAUAUAGCCGUUACCGGCUUUGGCCACAUUGGAAUAUCCUCCAGAAAAUUUUUGAGCCACUCGGCUUCUUCGCCAGCCAAGUCUAAAGCUAUAAACUCGGACUCCAUGGUGGACCGAGCUAUACAUUUCUGUUUAGCGGAUUUCCAAGAUAUUGCUGCACCUCCCAAGGUAAAAACAUAUCCACUUGUCGACUUGGAUUCUGUAGUGUCAGAAAUCCAAUUGGCAUCACUGAAGCCUUCUACAACAGGUGGAUAUUUUGUGUAGUGUAAUCCGUAGUCAAGUGUAUUUUUCAAAUACCUUAACACUCUUACUAAAGCAUCACAAUGCUUUUGUGCUGGAUUACUUGUAUAUCUACUAAGCCUACUUACUGCAUAAGCUAAGUCGGGCCUAGUUGAAUUCAUCAAGUACAUUAGACUUCCAAUUACUUGAGAAUAUUCAAGUUGAGAUAUGGCAUCGCCUUUAUUUUUCUCCAACUUGCAUCCAGUAUCAAAAGGAGUUGCAGCAUGUUUGCAGUCAAAUUGACCAAACCUUCGUAAUAUUUUUUCUGCAUAAUGGGAUUGUGUAAGGACAUAUCCUUCACUAUUUCUCUUAAUUUGAAUUCCUAAAAUGACAUCGGCUUGACCUAAGUCUUUCAUGUCAAAACUGGAAUUCAACAUUUUCUUUGUUUUGUUUAUGACAUCUUUAUUGCUUCCCAUUAUGAGCAUAUCAUCCACAUACAAGCAGACAAUAACAUAAGUUUUAUCAUUACUCUUAAUGCAGACACAUUUAUCAGAUUCAUUUAUUUUGAACCCAUGUGUCAACAAAAUAUGAUCAAAUUUCUCGUGCUAUUGUUUUGGUGCUUGUUUAAGUCCAUAUAAUGACUUAACUAAUUUGCACACUUUGCUUUCUUGUCCUUUAAGCACAAAUCCUUCAGGUUGUUCCAUGUAUAUUUCUUCAUCUAGUUCUCCAUUUAAAAAUGCUGUUUUUACAUCCAUUUGAUGUAUAUCAAAGUUGUAUACAGCCGCAAUCGCUAUUAACGUCCUAAUUGACGUUAUGCGAGAAACUGGAGAAUAGGUGUCGAAAUAAUCCAACCCUUCUUUUUGGUGAUAACCUUUGGCUACUAAACGUGCCUUGAACUUAUCAAUGGUUCCAUCCGCCUUAAGUUUCUUCUUGAAAAUCCAUUUAUGGCCAAUUGGUUUACUACCGGGAGGUAAAUCAACCAAUUCCCAUGUGUUAUUUUCCAUAAUGGAUUCCAUUUCACUUUUCAUUGCUUCCUUCCAUAAAGGAGCCUCAGAAGAAGACAUUGCUUCUUUAAAAGUUCUAGGUUCAUUCUCGGAUAAGAAAGCAAUGAAAUCUGGUCCAAAGUUUUUAGAAACUUUGAUUCUUUUUCCUCUUCUUGGUUCCACAUCAUUUCCUUGGACACCAGAAGAAGAGGCUUCAUCAUGACUAUGAUCAUGAACCCUCUUUGUAUUAGAACCAGAUUCCUUUUCUUUGUAAGGGAAUAUAUCCUCAAAGAAUUCUGCAUCUGCUGAUUCUAAUAUAGUGUUAACAUGUAUGUCAGAAAUCGAAGAUUUCACAACAAGGAACCUAUAAGCAGCACUAUUAUUUGCAUAUCCAAUGAAUACGCAAUCAAUAGUUUUAGGUCCUAGUUUCGUUCUUUUUGGUAACGGAACUUGCACCUUUGCUAAGCAACCCUACACUUUGAGGGUUUUAUAAGUGGGUUUAUGUCCUUUCCAUAUCUCAUAAGGUGACUUGUCAAUCUUUUUUAGAGGAACCUUAUUUAAUAUGGUAUUUGCAGUAAGUAAAGCUUUACCCCACAAACUGUGUGGAAGCCCAGAACUAUUUAACAUGGAAUUAAUCAUAUCUUUGAAAUGUUCUAUUUUUUUCUUUCGGCAACACCAUUUUGUUGUGGUGUGUAUGGAGCCGUUGUUUGAUGUAUAAUUCCAUGUUGUGCACAAAAAUCUGAGAAGGCAGUAGACUCAUACUUUCCUCCUCUAUCAGAUCUAAGUGCUUUGAUUUUUCUCUCAAGUUGAUUUUCAACUUCGGCUUUAUAUGUCUUAAACAUAUUCAAAGCUUCGUCCUUGCUAUGAAUCAAAUAAACAUAGCAAUACUUACUGCAAUCAUCAAUGAAAGUAACAUAAUAAUUCUUUCCUCCACGACUUGGUGUGGAUUUAAAGUCACAAAGAUCACUAUGAAUUAAUCCAAGUAAUUCAUUUGAUCUUUCCAAAAUUGACUUUCUCGUUUGCCUAGCAAAUUUUGAUUCAGUACAUGUUUCACACUUAUGAUUAAAAUUAAUGUCGAAUUUAGGUAAUAAUUCUAAUUUAACCAUUCUAUGCAUAGAACGAAAAUUAACAUGUCCUAAUCUAGCAUGCCAAAUAUUAGAAGACUCAACAAUAUAAGUAGAAGCAUUUAUUUUAUUAGCAUCAUCAAUGGCAAUUACAUUAAGUUUCACAAGGCCAUCAGCCACAUAACCCUUUCCAACAAACAUCCCACCCUUGGUAAGUACAAAUUUGUUGGAUUCCAUUACAAGUUUAAAGCCCUUAGCAAUUAGAAUUGGUCCAGAAACCAAGUUCCUCCUCAUUUCAGGAACAUGCAGCACAUUCAGCAAGGUCAAACUUUUCCCAGAUGUGAAUUUGAGUACCAUCUUGCCAUAUCCCUCCACCGCAGAUGAGGCAGAAUUGCCCAUAUACAACUUUUCUCCAGGGGCAGCAGGGUGAUAUUCUGUGAACAGAUUUCUGUCAGCGCAGAUGUGCUUUGUAGCACCAGUAUCCAUCAACCAUUCACUCACAUUGGAGACCAUGUUAACCUCGGACACAACAGCAGCCAAUUCUUCAUCGGUGAUUGCCAUGUUAGCAUAGUUGUUGUUGUUUCCGUGGCCAUGAUUUCUAUCCUUGCGAUGAUAACAAUCUUGUGCCUUGUGACCAGAUUUGCCACAUACAUAGCAGGCGCCCUUAAUCUAUCCUCCUCAAGAAGUUAUUAACUACAUUGCAAAAGAUGAAGAUUGGUACAGAGGAAGAGAAAUAAUUGGUAGAGAGAAAACAAGAGAGAUUGUAUUGAUUGAUUAGGAAAAAUGUAUACAACUGAACUUAAAGAAAUGAUCGCUAUACAAUCCCUUAUAUAGUCAUAUAACCUAAUUAUAAUAAUACUCUUCUAACUAUAUUUCUGUUAUAUUAGCUAUUACUCUCCCCUCAAACUAAACUUGGAGUACCCAAGUGAAGUUUGAACUAGCCAGGUAUUUGAGAUUGAUCUGGAACAACGAGAUGAAGAUGUCUGCAAUGCGUCAAGAACAUUGGACUGUGCAAUCCUUUUGUAAAUAUAUCUGCAAUUCCUAGUAUGAAGCUAAACACUGCAGGAAACCCCAAACCCCUGUCUCUUACAAUUUGGAGCAGUGGAUGAUAGUCUUGAGUUGUUGACAUUAAGGCACUGUGACUGGACCCUUUUUUUUUUUGGAACCUCUGGUUUGCUGCAAACUUGUGACAUGCUUCUUGAAUUCCCUCGAAUGCAACCAAGAACUCACUGAAUACUUGGAGAAUGACACUCCAAGAAACCAAAUUAACAAAGGAGAAUGACACUUCAAGAAACUAAAUCCACCAAGGAGAAUGACACUCCAAGAAACUAAAUCUACGAAGGAGAAUGACACUCCUGAAAUCUUCCGAACACCAAAAUUAAAAAAGGAGAAUGACACUCCUGAAAUCUUCCAAACACCAAAAUUAACCAAGGAGAAUGACACUCCAAGAAAUCAAAUGAACCAAGGAGAAUGACACUCCAAGUAACCAAAAUUAACCUAGGAGAAUGACACUCCCGAGACCUAGAAACAAAAAAAAAAAGAAACUUCAUCACAAAUCUUCAAGAAUUACAGUAUCAAACCAAAAAAAAAACCAACUCCUUCUUCAAUUACCAAACCCCCCAGAUCACAGAUACAAAAUCGCAGAAAUUCGCAGCUCCACCAGGUCAUCAAAGUAAUGGAAUAGAGAACAGAACAUAGAUCAAAUAGCACCAGAAAAGCACAGAGAGCUGAUAUGCAAACAACACCAAGAAGAGACCAUAAUCUGACAGAAAAGAAAUUCCCAUACGAACAGCAGAAAGAAUCACCAACGAAUCCAGAUUCCCACUUUAUCUUCAUAAAUUUCUUCAACUUCCAGCCAGAAAGGAUUACAGUAACCACUAAUCCAAAAACAGCAACCAUACCCAAAAUCCCAAAUCAAGAAUACCAGAUCCAGAUGCGGAGGUGAUUGCUCUGUCGCUGAAGACCCAACCGAUUCGUCUGCAAAAUUUGCAGCAAAGACUAACAACCUCAAAUCUGCCAUCAUAAUCUUUAUCGGCACGGCCAAAAUCUUCAGCUUCGAGAAACUAGCAAUCAAGAUUUGUAUACAGCUUUCAAUUAAGAGCAACGCACAAAACCUUCUUUGGCAAUUGGCCCUUAACAAAGAUGAUAUAGCAGAAAGACUUCAAGAUUCAACAUUCUGGCACAAUUCAUCAAACACUUGGAGUGCACCGAGUUGAUUUCUCCAGAAACACCCAUGAACUCGAAUAGAAAACUUCAACCAAAGUAGCAAAUCUUCAUCAAGAACAGAGCAUCCAUUAACAUUUCAGCUGAGGUUUCACGGUUGCGGAAUACGAUUCGGGGAUUGGAGAGAAGGAAGGAAAUUGAAUCCCGGGUAAGUAAUAGCUUUUGUUUCUGGAACAGAGAUGAAUGAAGAGGAGAGAGUCGACAUCUUCCAUGUGAAGGUCAAGUAAUGAUGCCAUGCUGGUCUCCCCUUGAAACCCAAAGGAAAAAUCCCAAAACUAAACAGAAAACUCUCGGCGGAAAACAAAAAAAUCCAAAGAUCAAACAAAAAAUAAGAACUACGAAUACGGAAGCAUAAACGAUCAAAUACGCGGAAACGAAAGAAAGUAACGAAGAAAAAUAGAAAGUAAUGACAGAAGAGGAAUCGACCACCAAGAUCCAUGGCGUGAGCCUUGGUGGCUCUGAUACCAUAUUAACUACAUUGCAAAAGAUGAAGAUUGGUACAGAGGAAGAGAAAUAAUUGGUGGAGAGAAAACAAGAGAGAUUGUAUUGAUUGAUUAGGAAAAAUGUAUACAACUGAACUUAAAGAAAUGAUCGCUAUACAAUCCCUUAUAUAAUCAUAUAACCUAAUUAUAAUAAUACUCUUCUAACUAUAUUUCUGUUAUAUUAGCUAUUAGAAGUAAGGAGGAAAACCAUCUGGAUCAACAGACUUGGCAAAAAAAUGACCGCUUUUAGCAUCUGGAAUACUUUUACCUCCGCAACAGCCAAUAUCCGUGUCCUCUUCCUUUGUAUCAGUGCAUGCUUCCCCGGAAAUCAAAUCAGUUCCAAUAUUAUUUGUACAUUCAAAUUUUUCUAUGGAACACCGCCGCAUUAUACUUAACUAUAAGAAUAUGCGUGGAUGUGUGUGUGUGUGUGUAUAGCACUGGAAUGAAGGCCACCUCUUCGCCAUUGAUGAAAUUGGAUUUUCACCAUAAAACCAAUUGGUAAUAUGAGAAGUAGCCCAAGAUCAUAUAAACAUAUAAUAAACCUUGUCCCUCACCAAUGUGGGACAACUCUCAACACGCCCCGCACGUGUGACGGAUUUUCAAGCCUACACGUGGACAACUAGGUGACGUAGAGCGCGUGUGGCCGUUAGGCUUCACACGUGGACAACCUUACUUUGAUACCAUGAUGAAAUUAGGGUUCCACCAUAAAACCAAUUGGCAAUAUAGAGAGUAGUCUAAUAUCAUAUAAGCACAUAGUAAACUUUGUCCCUCAUCAAUGUGGGACAACUCUCAACAGCCAUCUGAGCCAUAUCCAACUGUUAAAUCCUUGUUUUGAGGGAAAGGCAAACCUUUAACCUCGUUGUCUUCACAUCCGCAACAAUUUAUCUCAACUGAUUCGUCGUCAUGGAGUACAAGAUAACCAGAAUUUGGCCCUUCUGAGGGUGGAACAGAUAGUGAAUGAGGGGACCUUCUAUACACAGACAAAGGCUUUGUCACAUACAUUUUUAGAGUAAAUUGUAGUAAUGGUCCUUCAACUUCAAUCAAAUUAGAGCAAUGGUCCCUCAACUAAAAAUCCAUUAUUAUUGGUCCCUCAACUUAUCAAAAUGUGUAGUUAUAGUCAUUUUCAUCAAUUUGGUCAAAAUUUUGUCAAAAUAAGUUAUGUUGGAAUAACCAUUUAUAUAAUUAGGGUCCCUCACCUCAUCAAAGUGUGUAAUUAUGGUCAUUUUUGUCAACUGCGUCAAAAUUUUUGUCAAAACAAGUUAUGUUGGAAUGACCAUUGCUACAAUUAGGUUAAAGUUAAGGGAUCAUUUCUCCAGUUGAAUUAAAGUUGAGAGACCAAUGGUAAUGGAUUUUUAGUUGAAGGACUAUAGCUGCACGUUUUGAUGGGUUGAAAUACCAAUGAUAAUAGAUUUUUAAUUAAGAGACCAUUGCUCCAAUUGAAUUAAAAUUAAUGAACCAUAACUAUAAUUUACUCAUAUUUUUAUGAUCAAAUUAAAGAAGACAAUGUUUAAGAAAAGAAAGACUGGAUCACUUUCAAAUUGUUUUGAUGAAAUUAGUCGGUUACAAAGAGUUUUAAUUUAUAGGAUUCAGAAGUCAAACUUCUGAGAACAUACUUGGAAUAUUCUUGUGGUGUUAACUCCUAGGUUCAAGGUUUAUCUAAUUAUACUUCACAAAGAAAUUGGUAGCGUAUAGAGAGCAACACUUUAUUUUGGCAUUCCACGAUGAUACAAUUUUAUGGAUAAAAGUUACAUAGAAUUUUAAAUUAUUGACACGAGAAGUCAUGAUACCGAAACAUAUAUAAGCGUGCCGUGUUAUGGAAGUCUUUCUUGUAACUUCAAGUUUAAGUCAUAAUUAUGAUCAAUUUUCUGAUAAAUUUUGUCUUGCUUGGUCGUGUGUAUCAACAAGCAAAGAGUCAGAAAUUGACAAUUGGCAGCAAAUGCCAGGAAGGUUCGUAGAAAAAGUCUUUCGCAUAAUGUCUGUGCCAAUAGAAGUAUGUAGCACCUGCUUGGAAGGUUGCAUUAAGUCUUUAAUUAUGAUUCUUUAAAGUGACAAAUUAUUGUUUUGGCACUUCACCACUUUGUUUAAAUUCCGCAUUCAAACGGAAUGCAGCAUGCUCCGCCAUGUUGACCAGGUCCUCGCUUCGUCGUCAUGGAGUACAAAAUAAUCAGAAUUUGGCCCUUGUGGAGCGGCAGAGAAAGUAAUUGAGGAGACCUUCUAUAGACAGACAGAGGCUUUGUAACAUGAGUAAUGUUAUUCAUAUCAUGUUUUUGUACCAUAUUUUCGUACCACCUGAGGUGACAUCUGAUGUGGACAGUCACUUCAUUUAAAAAAUUUGCAAAAUCCAAGGAAAAGAAGGAGAAAAACUCCUCGUAUACCAUAAUCAUCAUUUAAUUAACUAGUUUUUCUUAAUUAUUAGUUUAUUAAAUAAUGAACUAAAUUUAAAAAUCUGAUUAAUUCAAAUGAUGUGGCUGUUCACAUCAAAUGCCACAUAAGGUGAUAUGAAAAUGUAGUAUAAAAACAUGGUAUGAAUAGUAUUACUCUAUUUUUAUCUCACAUUUCUAUACCAUCUUAGGUGGCAUUUGAUGUGGACAGCCACAUCAAUUGAAAAAUUUGCAAAACCCAAGGAAAUGAAGGUGAAAGACUCCUCGUAUACCACAAUCAUCAUUUAAUUAACUAGUUUUUCUUAAUUAUUAGUUUAUUAAAUAAUGAAUUAAAUUUAAAAAUAUGAAUAAUUCAAAUGAUGUGGUUGUCUAUAUCAAAUGCUACCUAAGGUGAUAUGAAAAUGUGAUACAAAAAUAUGGUAUAAAUAGCAUUACUCUUGUAACAUACAUUUUUAAGAAGACAACGUUUAGGAAAAUAACCAUCGGUUCGCUUUCAAAAUGGUUUGAUGAAAUUACUUGAUUACAAAGAGGUUUGAUUUAUAGAAAUUCAGGAAGUCAAACUUCUGAAAAGGCACGUAUAACCUUUGCACGUUAUAUCCUUGGUUUAUGGUUUAGCUUCUUGUAAUUCAGAAAACUGUUUGCUCAUGAUAAUUUUUAAGAAGUUGGUUGUAUAUGAAGAGAAAUUUAUAUGAAAGAAUAUUUUUUAUCUGCUUCUACAUAUUUGAGAAGAUUCUUGAUCACCCUAAUUUAUUUCCUCUUCUCUCUCUUCCCCUCUCCUCAGUCUUUCUCAGCAGCCGCCCCCGCUUGACCAAAACGCUCUCACCCACACCAUCCUCUCCAAUACCCACCACCACCACCGUCUCUCCUCCCUCCUAUCCUCCCCCAUACUCUUCUAUCUCACCCUCCACCGCCUCAACUCACUCCCCCUCAUCCACAAGACUCUCCUCAUCGCCAACCACGCUCUCUCUCAUCCUUCUUCCCUGUCGUUCGUGGUUGUUCACCAAAUCCUCGCUGACAAAUGCCCUGGGGAAUAAGGGUCUACCGUUCACACCAAUCCAAGCAAUCAAUUUUUGACUCGCAACCCUAAAUUGGUCUACAACAUUUGCAUAAAGAAGGGUCUGCCGUUCCAGGACUCGUUUCGUAAGAACAUGACUCGGCCUGGUGUUCCACUCGGGUAUGCAGUGUGUAAGGGCGGUGUCGUGGUGGUGGUCAAGGUGUAAGGAGUCGGCGGAGGAGAAACAAAGGAGAGGGUGCGCUACUGGUGGAAGGUGCAAGGGUAUUAUGGGUAGAAAUGUUUGAUUCCAGAAAGAGGCUUCUUCCGGGAAUUUAAUUACCAUCUCCAUGUAGGUAAUUGAAUUCCAGAAGAUUAAGGAAUUCGAUUCCAGAUUUUAAGUGGGUCCCACUUACUUUUUCAUUCCCUACAUGUUAGUAAACUCCGGAAUGUUUCGGAAGGAAUGCGAUUCCGUUUCUUUCCAUUCCAUUCCCCCUUUGGUAAACACGCCCUUAGUCUAGUGCUGAUAAUUUUGUCUUAUUCUUAUCAUUGGUUGGAAAAAUUCUUUCUGCAUAACGCUUGUGGUUCUUCCAUCGUUUAUAGCACCUACUUGGUGAUGAAAUUGAGGUUCCACCAUAAAAUCAAUUGACAAUAUGGGGAGUAGCCUAAUACUAUAUAAGCACAUGGCAAACUUUGUCUCUCAUCGAUGUAGGACAACUCUCAACAUGCCCUCCGCACAUGUGGCGGAUUUUCAAGCCUACACGUGGAUAACAACAGGGUGACAUGGACCAUAAAACCGAUUGACAAUAUGGGGAGUAACCCAAGACCAUAUAAGCACAUAACAAACUUUGUCUCUCAUCAAUGUGGGCAACUCUCAACACUUGGAAGGGUGCGUUAAGUCUUUAAUCACAAUUCUCUACAACGACAAAUUAUUGUUUUGGAAGUUUACCUCCAACUUCUUAUUGGUUGACAGCGAAUUUUUGAUACGAAUACCUUUCGUUAAUGCAGCCGUCAUCCUGACAUGUGUUAUUGAAGUUUGAGUUGAAAUUUCAUUUUAUCUUGAGGGAUAUUCCCACAUUUUUCUUACUUCUUACACAUUUUUUUAAUUUUCAGUCAUCGAACCGAACGAAUUGAAUAUCAAAGAACAUAAAUUAUCAAAGAGUAUGUGAAAAGUUAAAAAAAAAAAAAAGGUGUAUAAAUAGUAGAGGUGGGUUCGGUUUAAAUCGGUUCAGUUUUUUGCCAAAACCGAAACCAAACCGAAAUUUCGGUUCGGUUCAUUUUUUUUUCGGUUUUUUUCGGUUCGGUUUUUUAUCGGUUCGGUUUUUUCCGGUUCGGUUUCGGUUCGGUUUCGGUUUUUUGUUUUUUUUUUCUUUCAAAAAUGAAAAACAUUGAAAUUUUAAAUUUUAACAUAUCCAACACAAUCAUAACAUAAGCAUUCUAACUAGAAUCAAAGACAAUGAAAAUAAACAUUUAAAGUUGAACUAAAAUCAUCAAUCAAGUCUUCCAAAGUCCAAACUAACAACCUCACAACGCAAAAAUCGUACAAAUGACUUAGAAAAGUUAAAUUGUAUGAUGUUGUUCAAAGAUCAAGGUUGUUUGCUUGUAACUGCAUGUUGACAACUUGAUUAGUAAAAGUAAUGCGUGGGUGGAUUUAUUUAGUGUGUGUUGGAUUCUUUUCCAUCACAAAUUACCCAAGUAAUCUACCUGAAAUAAAUGUUUAUGGAUUCUGUUACAUGUUAUAUGAGAGUAGAUUUGGAAAAGAAAGCUGGGGCAGAAGUAGACAGUGCUAUGGAGAUGGAUGUAGGUACUUCAGGAUGAGGUUUGGUUCCGGAACCUUAUAUGGGGGGGGGGAUAAAUAAUAGGUUAGGGUUUAGAGUUUUUAUAGGCAUUUUUUAAAUAUUUUGAGCUUAAAGUUUGACAACACAUUGGGUUUAGCACAUUUUAACUUACAAAUUGGGUUUAGAAAAUAAUAUCCAAAACAAAUAAUUAAAUAAAAAAUUUAAUUUAAUUAAUUCGGUUCGGUUUUUUCAAUUCGGUUCGGUUUUUUCGUUCGGUUCGGUUCGGUUUGGUUUUCGGUUUUUUUCGGUUUUCGGUUUCUUGAAUCCACCCCUAAUAAAUAGCACAUCCCUUGUCUUCUCGUCUCACAUUGUUCAACAGUGGUGGUUCCGUAUAGGAUCCCAAAUCCCAAACCAAAAAUUUUCGGGACGGGAAAUUGAAGACCAAUUCCAAACCAGAAUUUUGGUAUCCCAAUUUUCAGGAUUCUCGAAAAGUUUUUGGUAUUUCUUUUUUUUUUUUUUUUCUUUUUGGAAACUUGGUUUUUGGGUUUUGGGCUUUUAGGCUUUUGAGCAUAAAUUUGAGAUUUUUCGGUUGUGAGCUAAAAUUUGAGCAUUUGACUUAAAAUUUUGUUGCCAAUUUCAUAUCAAUUGAAAUUUAGGUUGUUUACCUAUCCAAUUUGAAAUUUCUUAUUAAUUGAAAUACCAAAUCAUCUUACCAAGCCAAAUUAACGUUUCAAAUUUCUAAACUACUUAAUUUUAUACUUCUAUUUCUAAUAUAGUUUACUUUCAAAUUACUUAAAUUCAACAUUCAACAUGCAACCAAAAUAAAUGUACAUAUAUAUUUUCGGUUCGGGAUUCUCGAAUCAUUGAAUAUGUAAUUGAUAAUUAUAUAUAUAAUAAAAAAUAGCCUUUAGCUCGUGCUCUAAUAUUAAAUUUAAUAAUAAUUAUUUUAAAUUCUGAAUUUAAUUUUUUUUAUCUAUUUGUUAUUUCACCAAACUCAUCUAAAAGUCUGAGAAGGUCGAAGAAAACGAUAAGCCGCACACCCCUUCUGUUCGAACAGUCGCCUCCCAACUUCGUACCUGUUGGGAACAGAUUUAUAAAUAUUAUACAUACAUGUAUCUGCAUCUCAAUCAAAACACAGAAAAAUCAUUCUCCUACAAGUCUUACCAAAACCUAUCAUACUGAGAUAAUCACAAAGACAUUCACUAGAAACCAAGUUUUCCGAUGCUGGAAUCUUGGUUUAGAUCGUUAAAUCUUAGUCAAGCAAAUACCUUCCAACCUACAAGCACUAAGUAAGGGCGAAAUUUUGUUUCAAAUACAUUGUGGUAUGUAGGCCCCGAUCCUUAUUUCGCAAAACAAUUUCAGUUUUGUUUCAUUCGAAUUGUAUCAAUACAUAUAGUUGCAAUUCAUUUGUUGAUUAGCGUAGAGUUAUAUAUAUAUAUAUAUAUAUAUAUAUAUAUGUGGUUGAUUGUUAAUUAUUAUCCAACAUGUGCUACAAAUUCACAUUACAAAGUGAAAUGCAUCCUAUCGAGCUGAAGAAAUUCAUCCUUUAAACUGAAAUGGCAGGAUCAAAACGGGUGAAGUGAAACUACUCGUUACUUAUACUGUUAUACAAUGCUCAUGAUUCUUUCCACAUCAAAGCAAAUGUCGAUACGGCUAGGGUUGUGGCAACGCGCGCUUCAGUUUCCGUUAUUCCCAUUUGGUUCGAAUCUGGUGCGUGUGCUUGAAUUCAUAUGUGAGUAGUACUUCCGAGUUUCCAUUCGUUGACAUUCGUUUCAAUAUAAACCUCUCUACCAAUACAUAACUACCAAAUCGCUUCCACUCGCCACCACCCGUCACCUCAAACGCUUCCACUCUCUCCACCCUCACUUUCUUUUCACCCCCACCAAUCCAUCCAACUCUUUCUUGUUCCCAUUUCAUCCUCUCCACAACUUUCAUGCUCAAUCCCACUCUUGUUUCUCCUCCCGCACCAUUGAAAUAAUUCUUGAACCACAUGAACCUGUCUUUACCCACAUUUUUUUCAGUCCAAAAAGCCUCCUUUCGGUCAACAAAAACCGCCUCUUUUUGAACGAAAGCAUCCACAAACGCAACACCAUUAUAUUUUCCUUCAGCGUUGUUAUAAGCACUGUCGAAAAUCUUUUCCCAUCGUUGCUCAAGUAUAAUUUCAUAGAACAUACAUUUUUUCAUUUGGUCCUUCAACUUCACUCCUCCUACCCUAACAAACAUGAAAGGACAAUACCACUUACCAACACCCACAGCUGCAGAGAAAUCAUACGACAAUGGAAAAUCGAACUGCGGAAGGCUUGCCCGUAGAGAAGAGUUGAUUCCUGAGGCUUCACUCAAUUGGAAAUGAUGCGGCCCUCUCAUUCUCGCAUUCCACCCUUUUCUCCUCAAGAAGAGAGGAGGAAACCCCUCUUGAUCAACAGACUUGGCAAAGAAACAAUUGCUGCCCUUCUCCGUACGAACUAUUUGAACUUGCUGGUUUAUGUCGGACGGAUCCAACGGUUUUGGCAUAGCAUCUGGAAUAGAUUUACCGCCGCAACAGCCAGUCUCAGCCACGUCUUCUUUUCUUGAAUUUGUGCAUGCUUCCCUGCAAUUUAAACCAAUGCUAUAUCAAUUGUACAUGGAAACUUUUCUAUGUGACAGAAACACCGCCGCAUGAAGUGAAGUAUGAAGAACAUGCAUGGAUAUAUAUAUAUAUGUAUAUGCAUACCCCAUUUGCUUCCCACUCCGAAGUAUGACAUGGUAUCGAUUGGAAGACAAGGGCUGAUCAAGCACUGGAAUGAAGGCAACAGCGUCUUCAUCCGAGUCAUAUCCAACACCUAUAUCGUAGUUCUGAGGGAAAGGCAGGUCUCUGACCACGUCAUCAGUGCCAACAGCGCAUCCGCAGCAUGUUACCUUAACCCGUUCUUCAUCAUGGAGUACAAGAUAACCAGAAUUUGGCCCCUCCGGUGGCCGUAGAGACAGGGACUGAGGAGACAUUCGACAAGCAGACAGAGGCUUUGUCACAUACAUUAGGCCUUAAGGAAGACUGACUCACUUUCAAUUUGAUUUGAUAUGAAAUUUACUUGAUUACAAAGAGUUUUAAUUUAUAGGUAAUGAAGUCAACCUUCAGAAGCAUGCACUUAUUCAGUUAUUUGAUUAGUUAAUCUAAUUACAAAUUAGAAAAUAAUUCAGAAAUUGCUGGCGUAGCUUCGAGUUUAAUAAGUCAUUAUUAUAAUUCUCUCUUGAUCUUAUCUUCACCGGGAAGUCAGAAGUUGACAAUUUGCAGCAAAUGCCAGGAACAUCUCUCAAUUACCCUAUGCUGGGAAAAAUCUUUCAGCUUAAUGUCUGGAUUUCUUUUAAUUGUUUAAUUUGUAGCACCUGCUUGGAAGGGUUCAUUGAAUCUGCAUUUAUACUUCUUUACAAUGACAAAUUGUUACUAUGGCAGUUCACCUUCAAGUUCUAGUUGAUGAGUAAUUUUCAAUUUUUCAUUGUGAACGUCACACACUUAGACAGUAUACCACAUGCAUUUAUUUAUGAAUAUUUUAGUAUGAGUUCAUAACAUAUCAAGCUGAAGAAAUACAUACUUUAGUAUAUUAAUUAUAUAAUGAUCAAGAUUUUCGUCCAAAUAGGAAAUAAUAUUACUUCAAGCGAUUAAUUACAUCCAUCAAAAGCACAUGACCAUAUGAAAUUUUCAAGGGAAAUUUUAUUCAGACCCAUUUAUCCUCUUUCUACACCUAAUUUAAAGUGUUUAAUCUUGAAAUUCCGAAUCUGCCCAACAAUUUUCUUUCUACACCUAUAACGAAAAAGAACAAAAAAAUAAAUUAUGAAAUUCCAACACUAGAAAACCCUAAAACCCAGGCCAUGCCAUCACUCCAAACCCUAACCACCCCCAAUUUCUACCCCUCCCCAACCCCCCACCGCCAUCUUCUUAUCACCCACAAUGAAAUCCCCAAAGAUCUCAGCCAUCAAUGUCCCUUUCCCAACCUUUUACCGGCCACACAAGCUUCCAUCCAUUCUUUUCAACACAAACCUCUGUACCAAAACAUAGCAACCAAAUUUUAUCCACUUACCCACCCCUCCAAACUCCUCUAACCUUUUCACUCUCACUUGCCUCUCAUUCCCUCCAAACCUUCCAAACCUUUGUUGCUCCCACUUCAUCCUCUCCACAAUUGCCUAGUUCACCCUCACAUUGUCUAAACCCAUAUACCACAUAACCCCAUUACCCACAUACAUCUCCUCAUGCACAGCUUCCGCGUUCCCGCCAACAGCAACAGACUCGUUUUCAACGAAAACAUCAACCACCACGGCAUUGCCUUCCCUGUAAUUACUCACAUGCAAAUAUUUGUUCCCAUCUUUGCUCAAGUGUCAUCUCGAAAAACCUUGUCCUACUCAUUUGAUCUUUUGGUGUUCCCUCCUUAACAAACACGAAGGGGCAAUACCACUUCCCCACAACCACCGGAUUCGAGCUUGUAAGCGAUAAUGGGAAGUUGAAAUCUGGAAGACGGGAGCGUAGCUAAUUAAGUCGGAAUGUUAGCAUAUAUCUCGAAGGUUAAAAAAUUCCAUGGGAAGUUAAGGUUUCUUUUAAGCUUAAUGUCUUUCUGUGCAAGGCCUGAGACUGAAGACAUUAUAAUGGAAACACUCAUUAUUUAUACACUGCUCAUGAUUCUGUCCAGAAACAUUAUAAUUAAUUAAAAGAACAAUACUGCAAUAAUGUACCUAAAACAAUGACUAGUGUAUACCCGAAAACAGGACAAAUCGGAAGUUUUUUGUCCCUAAAUACGAUGAUCAGCGUGUCUGAAAACCAUGACUCGAUACCAAACUUCCCGUCCAUUCAUUUCAGUACAUGUGGGUGUAGCAACCAAAUUUUUGUCAUUCCCAUUUUCCCCUAAUCUGGUGAGUGUGCUUGAAAUCAUAUGCGAGUAGUCCUGCGGCGCUUCCAGUCGUAGACAUUCUCUUCAAUACAAACCUCUCUACCAGCACAUAACAACUAAAUCUCUUCCACCCGCCACCACCCUUUCCCCCAAACUCUUCCACUCUCUCCACCCUCACUUGCCUUUCAUCCCCAUCAACCCAUCCAACUCUUUCUUGCUCCCAUUUCAUUCUUUCAAAAAAUUUCAUGCUCAAUCCAACACUUGUUUCCCCUCCCACCCCAUGAAAACUCUUAAACCACACGAACACAUCACCCGCACCCUCAUUUCUUUCAUCCCAAACAGCCUCCUGUCCACCCACAUAAACCACCUCUCUUUGAACAAAAGCAUCCACAAACACAGCAGGAUUCUUUUUUCCUUCGGCGUUCUCAUUAACGCUGUCAAAAAUCUUUUCCCAUCUUUGCUCAAGUUUUAUUUCAUAGUACAUGGAAUAUUUCAUUUGGUCCUUCAACUUCACCCCUCCUUCCUUGACAAACAUGAAAUGACAAUACCACUUGCCAACACACACAACUUCAGAGUAAUCAUGUGAUAAUGGAAAAUCAAACCUGGGAAGGCUAGCUCGUAGCGAAGAGUUGAGUCCUGAGGCUUCACCCAAUUGGUUACGAUCCAGUGUGCUCAUUCUCACGCUCCACCCUUUCCUCCUCAAGAAGUAAGGAGGAAAACCAUCUGGAUCAACGGACUUGGCAAAAAAACGACUGCUGCCCAUCUCCUUGGGAUGUAUCCUAAAUUGCUGAUAUAUGUCUGACGGGUCCAAUGGUUUUGGUUUAGCAUUUGGUAUACUUUUACCGCCGCAACAGCCAAUAUCCGUGUCCUCUUCCCUCGUAUUUGUGCAUGCUUCCCUGCAAAUCAAAUCAGUUCCGGUAUUAAUUGUACAUCUAAAUUUUUCUAUGUGACAGUAAUAUCGCCACAUUAAAAAUCAAUCAUAAUAAGGUUAUGCUUGGGUGUAUAUAUAUGCAUACCCUUUAUGUCUCCCUCUUCGACGUAUGACAUGGUAUUGAUUGGAUGACAAGGGUUGAUUAAGCACCGGAAUGAAGGCAACAGCAUCGUCAUCUGAGCCAUAUCCAACGGUUAGAUCCUUGUUCUGAGGGAAAGGCAAACCUCUAACCACGUUGUCCUCGCAUCCGCAACAGUUUAUCUCGACUGAUUCGUCGUCAUGGAGUACAAGAUAACCAGAAUUUGGCCCCUCCGGGGGCGGUAGAGAAAGUAACUGAGGAGACCUUCUAUACACAGACAGAGGCUUUGUAACAUACAUCUUUGUAAGCAAAGAAAACAAAGUCUAAGAAAAGAACUAUUGGCUCGCUUUCAAAUUGGUUUGAUGAAAUUACUUGAUUACAAAGAGGUUUAAUUUAUAGAAAUUCAGGAAGUCAAACUUCUGAGAAGGCGCCUGUAACCUUUGCACGUUAUAUCCUAGGUUUAUGGCUUAGCUUCUUGUAAUUCAGAAAACUGCUAUUGCGAAUAUUUAAAAAGCUGGUGGUGUAUAGAGAGCAACUUAUUUAACACGUUUAUAUUAAAACAUUUCAUGUCAUAAAAAACUUACAUAAAACUUUAUAUCAUUGGCACGAGAUGUCACGGUAACACGAAGUAUACUCAUGUUAUGAAAGUCUGUCUAUUGACGUUUAAGCUAUUAUUAAUUUUCUUGUGUGAUUUUAGGAAUUCGGAUCCUCGCCGAAUCCUCUUUGUGAGGAUCCGGAGAUUCGUCAAUUAUGUACAUUCAUCAUACAUUGUACGAUCAUAAAUUAUUUUAAAUAUUUUUAUUUAAAAGUAAACACAAAUAGUAUUUGACAAAAAUUGAUUGUACGAUAUACGAUAAACGAUCACGAUUUACGAAUCUCCAGAAUCCUUAUCAAAAUGAUCCGGAAGGGAUCCUAUUAGUCUAGUGCUGAUAAUUACGUCGUAGUCUUAUCUUGAUUGGUCUUCGGUUGAUACAAGCAAAGUGUUAGAAAUUGACAAUUUGCAUCGAAUGCACUUACAUAGAAUUUUGUAUCAUUGAUAUAAGAUAAUACAGUAACACGAAGUAUACUUUUGUUAUGUAAUUCUGUCUAUUGACGUUUAAUCUAUUAUUUAAUUUUCUAGUGUGUUUUUGGCGGUGGAGAUUAGUCUAGUGCUGAUAAUUAUGUCGUGGUCUUAUCUUGAUUGGUCUUCGGUUGAUAUAAGAAAAGCGAAGGAAUUUGACAAUUUGCAUCAAAUACCUGGAAGGUUCGUACAUUUAUUUCUCAGUCACCUUAAGUUGGAAAAGGCCUUUCGGCAAAACGCGUGUUUUCUAGUGUUUUUUUAUUUUUUUAAUCAUCCGUGUCUUCGAUUGUACGUCGCACCAGCUUGGAAGGGUGCAUUAAGUCUAAUUAAUAGUUCUCUACGACGGCAAAUUAUUGGUUUGGAAGUUUACCUCAAACUUCUUGUUGACAUCUAAUUUUGAUAUGGCGACUUAAUUUCAAUGUGACGAUCACGUUGAGAGGUGUUAAAACUACACAUUAUAACUGUUUUGGAAGCUUACCUCCAAAACUUCUUGUUGACAUCUAAUUGUGACUUUAUCACAUACACUUUCACAGAAAUUCUGAAUCAACACUCUCUUUUUUUUUUUUUUUUUAAUUUAAUUUAAUUUAAUUUUUAUAUUUUAUGGAGAAAUUUGAUAUAUGUCUAGGAAUAGUUUACUUUAUUAAAAUAGGCCCAAUUCUUUGAAUUUAAUUAUUUUUAUUAUCAAUAGUUAUCUUUUCAAUGAUAAGAUGUAUUAUAAAAAUCAAAUUUCUUCCUAAUUAUCUCUUGGAUUAUUUCUUUUUAUUUUAUUUUUUUGUUAUUUCUUGUUACCUUUUAGUUAGGUUUCAUAUCUUUCUUAUAGGUGUAUUAUAUUCAUAUAUUUGUUACUUGAGUUAGGGUAGAAUGUUUUGCAAAUAAAUUUAUGUUAGUAUAUUAGUUUUUUUUUUGUUAUAAGAUAUUAAUUAGAUUUUUUUGGAGUUGAAAAUUGCAUAUUAUUAGAAGAUUUUAAUUGAUUUUUAAUAUUUUAAAAAAUAUAAAGUGAAUGUAAAAAAAAUAAAAACAUGUAAUUAGAUAACUAGACUUACUUAAAAAAAAUUAAGUUGUCAAUUAUGUAACUUAGCCAAACUCUUCAUCUUCUUAGUGUAAAAAUAUCGAUGUACUAAAAAAAAAAAAAAAACCCUUGUCUAUUUGUUUGUAGGGAAAAAAGGAAAGGAUUUCUUGUGCUUUAUAAGUUGUCUUGGAGGGUAACGGACUUGUGGAAACUGACUUAGUCAAUUGCUUGUUGCUCUAGUCGACUAUUAUUUUUAAAUAUUUUAUUUGUGUUCAAUGUUGUCAAUUAUACAAGAAUUUUUUUACAAUUCUUAGUCGAUACGAAAUCUCCAUAUGACAUUGACAUAUUAUAUAAAUUCUUGAUUUUGAGCCAUAUGACGAUGUAACAAAGUUCGCUUUGAACUAAGAAUCCGUCUCAUUUUUAUGAAAAAUUAUUAAGUCCAACAAUCGGAUUGAAUGGAUUAUAACUCACUCACAAAAAAAAUGAAACCCUCUAUAUUUAAAUACUAUCUAACUUCAUGUCAAUACAAAUUUCAAUGUGAUGGCCCUACAAUUUUGUGAAUGAAUGGUUCGACUAUCCAAAACAUGGGGCAUUGUAAACAGCAUUGAGCAAAAUUAUGUAAACAUUCCUCAAAGGGUGUUUCUUGGAUAAAUUGGGUUUGUGAUUCACAAAAAAAAUUUACAAUUUCAUAAAUCAAAUAGUCCCUCUAAAAGCAUAACUGAAUCCAUAACCUAGAAAAUGUUCACAAAUCCCAAAUUUGAAAUUUUUUCUCGGUACAAAAUCUGAAAUUUUGUACACAAAUAGCAUAAAUACAAAAAACACAGGACAAAUUUUCAUUUCCAUUAGUCCAAAUCUGAUGAGUGUGCCUGACGUCAUGGCUAAAAACCAAGCUCCCAUCCAUUUUCUUCAAAGAAAACCUCUCAACCAAUACAAAAAACCCUAACUUCUUCCAGUCACCCAACCCCCCAAAUUCCUCAACCCUCUCAACUCUCACUCCCCUUCUUCUCCCCCCACCCACCAACCCUCCCUUGCUCCCACUAUAGCAUGGGUUCAUAACACAUCAAGCUGAAGAAAUACAUCCUUUAUUUUAAAAAGGGCAGAUUACAAACACAGGUGAAAUGAAACUACUCAUAUUACUUAUACAAUGAUCAAGAUUUUUGUCCAAAGAAAAAAAACAUAAUGGAAAGGAUAUUACUUCGAGCGAUUAAUUACAUUCACUAAAAGCACAUAAUGAAAUGAAAUUUUCAAUCACAAACCAAAGGGAGCAAAAAUUUCAUUCCCAUGUGCUCCGAAUAUGAUGUGUGUGUCUGAAAUCGUAAGUUAGCACCAAGCUUCCAUCCAUUCUUUUCAGCACAAACCUCUCCACCAAAACAUAGCAACCAAAUUUUCUCCACUUAUACACCCCUCCAAACUCCUCUACUUUUUUCACUCUUACUUGCCUCUCGUUCCCUCCAAACCAUCCAAACCUUUGUUGCUCCCAUUUCAUCCUCUCCACAAUUCUUAAGCUCAACCCCACAUUGUCUAAACCCCUAUACCACAUAACCCCAUUAGCCACAUCCAUCUCCUCAUGCACAGCUUCCGCGUUCCCACCAACAGCAACAGACUCGUUUUGAACAAAAACAUCAACCACCACGGCGUUGCCUUCGCUAUAAAUACCGUCACAUGCGAAUAUUUGUUCCCAUCUUUGCUCAAGUGUCAUCUCGUAAAACCUUGUCCUACUCAUUUGAUCUUUAGGUGUUCCCUCCUUAACAAACAUGAAGGGGCAAUACCACUUCCCCACAACCACAGGAUUCGAGCUUGUAAGUGAUAAUGGGAAGUUGAAAUCUGGAAGACGGGCGCGUAGCUUAGCGUCUAGACCCAGCGCUUCACCUAAAUGGAAGUCACGGGGAGUUGAGGUGCGUAUUUCCCACCCUUUUCUUCCAAGAAAUUUUGGAGGGUACCCGUCUGAAGCUUGGAUUUGGCAACAAAACCCCCAAAUUGAUUGCAUCUUCGUUUCUGCUGGAUCUCAUAUUGCUGGUAAAUGUUAUUGGGAUUGAACGGCUGUGACGGCACAUCCUUUACAUAAGUGCAGAAGCAGCAGGUUCCCAAGUUCUCAUCUGUUGAACAUGUGUAGGCUUGCCUGCAUGGAAACCGAAAUCAAUUAAGUCAGCACCAUGGACUAACAAUGUAUUUCAAGUUAGGUAACAAAAAAAAAUUAAUACUAUUACUACGGGAAUUGAUAUUGCCACUACAAAACAUUAAGCUCAAAUUGAGAUUGCAUACCCUUCAAGCUUUCCACGCGACUGGAUCGCGUAGUAACGGUUGGAAGCCAAGGGCUGGUUAAGGACCGGAAUGAAGGCGGUAUAGAAAUGAGAAACAUGUUGGCUUUGUCCCGUCUGGGUAACAUAACGAAGCUUUAGAUUCUUGUUCUGAGGUAAAGGCAUGUCAAGGAGCUCGUGGGAUUUGCAUAAACCAAAGCAACAUGUAGUCUCUGCUUCUUCAUCUUGGAUGACCAAGAUGCCAGAAUUCGGACCCUCUGGCGGGGGUAAUGAGAGAUCCUCAGGAGACUUUUUGUACAUCGACAGAGGCCUAGUGACAUACAUUUUUGCAGAAAUUCUUAUUCUCCACUCUCUGUGUUUUCUAUUUGUUCUUAGGAAUAAAGGAAAGGAUUUCUUGUGCUUUACAAGUUGCCUUGUAGGGUAAGGGACUUGUAGAAUUUGACUUAGCAAAUUGUUUGUCGCGAAUGUGGUUCUUGAUAAGAUCUGCCAAUACGCAGACGUGUAACGCUCGCAGCCAAGGCUAUCAUGGAUGGGUUGACAAUGACUGUAAGGAAUUCAUGAAUUUUCUUACACUUUAUGGUCAAUACGAAAUUUCCCUAUCACAUAUUAUAUAAUUCUUGUUUUUGAAUUUUUAAGCCACAUGACGAUGUAAGUUGGAACAAAUUUGGCUUUGAACUAAGACUCAGUCUCAUGUUUUGGUAAAAAAUUUGUGUCCGACAAUUAAUUAAAUAGACUGUCUAACCCACUUAUAAAGAAAAGAAAUUCUCUAUGUUUAAAUAUCAUAUGGCUUCAUGUAAGUACAAACUCCAAUGUCAAGGACUCUUAUGAAUGAGUAGAAUAAUUCACUUGUCAGACACAAAAUUUCUCUACUUUUCCCCAUUAGAUCAUAAGUAAAUUUACACUUUAUGUGAACAAUGGACAUUGUAAACAGCAUUGAUCAGAAUUAUGUGAACAUUCCUCAAAAGGUGUUUCUUGGAUGAAUUGGGUUUGUGAUUCACAAAAAAAAUUUACACUUUCAUAAAUAAAAAAUAGUACCUCAAAAAGCAUAACUGAAUCCAUAACCCUGAGGUUAGAACAACGCAAAAAAACCUAAUCUGAAAUUUUAUACACAAAUAGAAUAUAUAAAUAUAAAAAGGAUUAGGUGUAACUUUUAUUUUUCGUUAUCAAUAAAAUUUUCGUUGUGCAGUUAAUGUUUAAAAACCAAGCUCCCAUUUAGUCCAAUGAUGAGUGUGCCUGAAAUCAUGGCUAAAAACCAAGCUCCCAUCCAUUCUGGUCAAAGAAAACCUCUCAACCAAUACAAAAAAUCCUAACUUCUUCCACUCACCCAACCCCCCAAAUUCCUCAACCCUCUCAACUCUCACUCUCCUUUCUUCUCCCCCCCACCCACCCAACCCUCCCUUGCUCCCACUUCAUCCUCUCAAAAAUUGCUAAACUCACCCUCACCCUAGUCUCUUGCCCAACAUUGUUCAAACUCCUAUACAAAACCACCCCAUCAUUAUCCCCAUUUUUCUCAUCACACCCACCUUCCCUCCCUCCCACCAUAACCGCUUCACUUUGUACAACAAAAUCCACACCAAUGGCGUUGCCUUCACCGUGUCGAAAACUAUGAUCCUUCACAAAUACUUCUUCCCACCUCUGCUCUAGUGUCAUCUCAUAGUACAUUGGUCUGUUCCUUAUGUCCAUCAACGUUUUCGGCGUCUCUUCCUUAACAAACAUGAAUGGACAGUACCACUUCCCUACAACCACAUUCUUUAGUGGGAAAUUGAAAUCCGGAAGACAGGUGUGUAGGGCGGCAUCUAGGCUCGUGCACCACCUAGUUCAAAUCCGGGGGACGCUAAGCUUGUGAGUUUCCACUCUCUCCUCCACAAUGCCUCCGGAGGGUACCCAUCUUUGGACAUUGAUCUGGCCACAAAACCACCCGACACAUUGAUAAUGUUUUUGUGAAGAUUAAUCUUGCAUUGCUGAUACAUGUCCUUGGGAUCAAAACGUUGCGGUAGUACAUCGUUUGUGCAUCUGUCGAAGUGGCAUGUUUCCAUGUCCAUGGAAUCCUCGUUUGCACUUGUGUACCCUUCCUUGAAAAACAAAAUCAUGCUACAUGUAACAACCCUUGUUCGUUAGGUCAGUUAGCUAACGCAGUGUGUCGUCACAUUGCAACCUCAGAAUGUGGUCUUUUUAAAAACAAAAUGUUAUAAACCCCAUAUUGAAAUUUACCAUAUAUCAGUUGUACUCUCCAUCUGCGCACAAGUUUGUAUUUUUCUUCCCAUAACUUAAUUACAUUAAUUAGAAUAUCACUCGACUAUAAAAACUUACCCUUUAUGCUUCCCAUAUGGACCAAGAACUGGGAUGAAGAAAACUCCGUGGAACUGAAGAUCUCUGUUGGGAUAAAACCAAGUUGCAUAGUAAAGCUCAAGGCUCUUGUUCUGAGGGAAGGGCAGCUCCUUAAUCAAAUCGAUAUUCGAUAACUCGAAACAGCAUGUCGUUUCUUCAUCUUUGACAACAAGAAUGCUGGAGUUUGGACCCUCCGGCAGAGGCAGAGAGAUCAGCCGGAGAUUUUUUGUACAUCGACAGAGGCCUUGUCACACACAUUUUUGCAAAAUAAACUCUUCACUACGUUUUUCUUACUUGUUCUUGAGAAGAAAAAAAAAAGGAAAGGAUUUCUUGUGCUUUAUAAGUUGUCUUGGAUGGUAAACGACUUGUAGAAUUUGACUUAGUCAAUUGUUUGUUGCUCCAGUUGACUUUUAGGUGAGAGAAUCGCCAUUCUUGAUAAGAUAUGCCAAUAUGUGGUUGUAAGUAAAAGCUCAGGCAGAUGAGGAUUCUUGGUGCGGCAGUCCGUAUAUGUCAUGCAGACUCACAAGGGACCAAUGUAGGAUUGGGAAGACCAAAGACAUGGGGUCUCGUUCUUUUGUUGAAAUGGGUAGAAGUUUUUCCCUACUUCGGAACCCUUUUUUCUUGCGGCAUCCUUAUUUGGCAGUAGACUCAAACAUGUGAGAUCAGGUGAGUAAAGAUGUGGAAUCUCGCUCUUUCGUGAGGUGUGUCCAGUGUCCCACGAGUUAUGUGGUUCGGAAGUUAGACUCGAGAGUUUUCUUAGAAGAGAUUAAACAACAAAAGUUCAACGUCGACAAGACGAGAAAGUCUUUAGUAGAACAAUUUGAUCAUCUACCUAAUCCGUGUGCAUUAAAAGUAGCAUCUACUUAGAGUUAGAUUGUACCUUAAUAUAGUGGGGGUCAUUCUUUUGUAGGGUGUAUCAGAUGAGUUAUGAUGUCUACUAGACGAGAAAAUCUAAGACAGACAAUUCGACCAUCCAGCCAAUCCGCGUGUAUUAAACGUUGCAUCAACAUAAGAGUAGUAUUAAUACCCUAGUAUCGUCGGAGCCGUUCUUUUGUAAGACUCGUCCUGACUAGUUGGAUGGCAAACAACUCUACCCAAGUUCUUCAACUACAAGACUCCGUUGUUGCUUCCAAAGCAAAACAAUGGAUCUUAUGCAAGUGUGACCCAACAUUCAACUUGGUAGGAGGACUAGUGACUGGUCCCUCUCUGAUUAUAGCAAGUCCUGGCUGCUUCCAUUAGAUAGUUGGAAAAAAAAUCUCUUCUUUCUGUGGCUGUACGUUUAUCUUGGGCCAACUUAAAUGGAGAAAAAGAAAAGGGAACAUGCUCUUUUUGGUGUCCCUGAAAUUCCAAAGCUUAUAACUUUAAACUUAAUUAGUGACAUUUCCUUCGUAAAUCAAAUGUAUUAUGCCGAAAUUUACAAGACCACUGCUUUCUUUCCUUAUUUUUAUGUUCUGCAAAUGCAAAGAACAAGGAUAAAGCGUACGCAUUGUCAUGUUCGACUGGCCUAACCUAUUUCUGCAAUGUCUCAUUUAGUAUCAGCUACAUCCUUUUAACAUUUACCAACAUCAACAUAAAUACAAAGAGGAAAAUAUUGGAAGGAGGCAGUAAAUGUGUAACUAGUGACUAACUACAAAUGAGGACUUGGAGGAAAAAAAAGACAGAACAAACAUUACUUCUGUAAGCGCAGAAAAAACACAGUUAAGUUUUGAACAUUAAAUCUUCAUCCUUCUUCCUACUACUUCCCCAGCUUGGAAUUGGAUGAUGCCUGAAAAUCCACCUCCAACCCUUCAAACUUUUGCUCCCCCUCUUUAUCCCUCUCUCAUUCACUGUCAAUCUACAUGAACCACCGUGUCUGAAAAUACCAAACGAACCCCCAUCGCAUUCAUCCCCCACAAACUCACUCCUUCUCAUGCCCCCAAAAACAGUCUCUCCAUCUGCAAUGCUCCCCACCCUCAAACCCGAAAACUCCGGCUUUGAAUCCGCCGCGAAAUCGAGCUUCAAAUCGAUAAACCUCGAUUCAUCCAUGCCGAAAUCACUCUCUUUCAGCGAAAAAACGCGUUUCGUUGCACUGCUAAACCCUACAACAUCUUCUUUCUUCUCACCAUCAAAACCGCUUUUUCUCGGCUCUGCCUCACUAAAUCCACUCCUUCUCCCUUCACUAAAUCCACUCUUUCUUCCCUCACUAAACCCACUCUUUCUCCCCUCACUAAAUCCGCUCUUUCUCCCGGAAUCCAAAACCAUUCCGGCAGUUGUAACGCUAGAGCUUCUCGCAGCAGAAAUGGAGCUCCGGGCACCGGAAACCAUCAAAUGCUCGCCGCCAUCCUCCGAUCCGAAGAGGGCCCCGCCUCUGAAACUGCACAGAGACCUUGAUCUCGAAACUCCCAUGUGAUCAACCAGCCACAUCUCACUUUUCUCAUCAAACCCACCAACACUCUUAUUCCCACCAUCUUUUUCCGAUCGUUUCUUCCGAAAAAACCUCCCAAAUCUCCAAAAAUUACUUUUCUUGAUCUCGACACAACUGCUGCUGCUUCGCCGGAGCACCACCACGUCCUCUUUCUCUUGGGUUUUGCUGGGUUUUUGUAAAGGCUCCUGCUUUUCGUUCUCGAUCAGAAACGAGACUCUACCGACGCUGCCGACCUCCACAGUGGAGUUGCGGUUAGACGAGACGGCGGAGCAGGAGCAGGAGGAGAGGCGCUGCUCGCCGCAGUCGGAGCAAGCCAGCUGGAGCAGACGAUCUUUCAGACAGAAUGCGCAUAUCCCGACAGAAGACGAAUUGGGGUGCCUUCGACACGGCAUUUCAGACGAAGAGUAGUACUCCAUGUCGAUAUUGUCGCGAGCUGCUUCUACAGCUUUGCCCCUCUCUUUCAUGGCUUCUCCACCGCUUCAAAGAAGAUAAAUAAAGCUUCGACCUCUGAGAAGAUAAAGCUUAAAAAAAAGGGUAUGUGAGAAAAAAAAAAAAAUUGAUGUGAUUUUGAAGAAAGAUCGAAUGCCAGCUCCAACAAGCGUUGCGGGACUUGAAUUUGAAAGAAUGGUGAGAAGGGUAUUUUUUUGGGGGGGAAAUUCAAGAAAAUCAAGAGUGGCUGUGAGAUUUCUGGAGUGACUGAAUGGGAAAUUGAAUUGAAAUGAAUUGAUGGAUGGGAGGAGGAGGAGGCGUCAACUUUACGUUUUGCUUUCCAGAAAAACAGUGGGAGGGAAGAAAAGGAGUGAUGCGAGAAAGCACUAAAGCCUCCUGCAGGCAUUAUUGUGUAGGGAAGUGAAUGUUACAGCAAACUCGAGUAAAAUCAGUGAAGUUAUUUUUUCAUAAAUUUUUACUGUUAUUGCGUGCAUUUGUUAAUUACGACAGAUUUUUCAAUAUGUUCAUAAUAAAUGAUGAUAUGUCAUAUGUUAUUAAGUAGAUGAAAGUUUUUUUUCAUAUAUUUCUCUAUUUGUAUAAUAUCGGGAGCUAGCUCGAAUUCCAAAAAUAAAAUAUUUCAUGACCUCAGUUAGAAAGUUAUCUAUCUCACCUUGAGUUUCGACCUUGCGCAUUCAACCCUUGAAUAAGGCCUCAAGAAGGGCUGGGCAUAGAUGUGUAUAUAUUUGGGAUCAAUACAUGGUAUAUGUAUAAUAUAUGUUUCAGACAUGCUGAUCAAUCUUUGAUUAAUUGCAGGUUAGGUCAUCUCUAAUCGAAGGAUUCAAAGAACCAGAGAGCUGAAAAUAGUCAAAAAACCGUCUCGAACCUAGGGUUAGGCCAAAUGACUCGUGAGCCUCACAAAACAAAAAAAGACCAAAGGGCCAACUUGUUGGCCCAAUCCAGCCAGACAGUCUCGGGUCGGGCUGGAUUUUGAAUGCAACGGUAACUAGCUGACGUUAUACUGACAUCAGCCAGCCGUUAUAUUUCAAUUUUUUUUUACAAUUUUAAAAAAAAAUUAAAAAUUCUAUUUUUUUUCCAUAACUUCAUAAGCCAUUAAGCAACAUUAAAUUACAUUAAGUCACAUGAAACAACAUUAAAAAUAUUAAACAACAUUAAAUAAUAUUAUACAACAUAAAAAAACAUUUAACAACAUGAAUUUAAAUUAUUGUAGUUUUUAAAUUUAAUUUGUAGUUUUUAAAUUUAAUUUGUUGUAGUUUUUAAAUUUAAUUUGUUGUAGUUUUUAAAUUUAAAUAAUAAAUUAUGUUUGGCCUUUGGUUGGAAUGAUUUUUGUCACAGGGUUAUGUUUGGUUUAUGACCCUCUAGCCUCUCAGUUGGAGAUGGUAAGAAAUAUGACCCUACAAUGUUCAUUAAAAUAUUAAUUUCUUAGAGAACUAUAAGGCUAAAAAGAGUCAUUUGACCCUCAUUCGGUUAUAGAUGAUCUUAAUUACCAUCAGUGCUUUACCGGACCCACCAAAGCCACUGUUCCCUACACGACAUAGAUAUACAGCCAUGCUUCGCACUGCAAGUAAAGUUAUUAGAUCAUAAGUCUAGAUCCAUCAAGCUUUACAUCUGUUUUGUCAACUUUUUUUCUCUCAAGAUUUUCAUACCCCUCUCCUUUUUAUUGGUGCAAGAUUAUUUGGUUUUCAAUUAAUUGAUAAAUUGUAUUAGAGGAUAGUGUCACAUACCCCACGUUUAUAGCGUUUAUGCUUGCUCAUUGCAUUGAUGCAUUGUCUAGGUUUACUGACUUAUGCUGGGUUUUUUGUUUAUUAUACUGACUCACUUACAAAUUGCAGGGAGAUGAUUUUAACAUACUCAUCCUUGUUUUAAUAAUUAAAUUAAAUAAGUCAAACAAUCAGACCACUUAGUACCGUAGUCUAGUAUUAUUCAUUUUCAUUUGUAAGUGAGAGGUCUUAGUUUCGAUUCUCACCAAAUGUAAAUUUGAAUUACAUUAUUGUUGGUUCAUUGUAAGACUAAGCACACUCCUUCCCUCAUAAAUAACCUCGUUUUAAAAAAAGUCAAAUGAUCAGAUUGAAUAAAUUAAAUGAAAAUAACGGCUAAAAAUAAAUUUAAAAUGUAUGAGAUUGUGCCUGGUUAGCCCUCAAAGUCGCAAAGCUAAAACAUUGAUGAUGAUGACGACCACGAUGGUUGCAUCUGUCACAUUGUGUGUUUAAAAAAAAAAAUAACUUGUAUGAUACGAAUUUGUUGUCAAUGUAAUAUUCCGAGGUUAAUAAAAUAACUCUGGUUCUCAAGAAUUUCUAGCUCCCUCAUCUGGUUCUUCAACGUCUCCAAACCCUAGUUGUGGGCUGGGUCUGUGGCAACCUCUUUCCCCAUCCUUCCUCUUCCUAUGGUAUGUCUCCUUACCUUCUAUUGGGUGGCGCUUCCUUACCCCCUACUGGAUGGUGCUUGUCCUGAGCGAUGUCUCACUAUGUUGAGCGUUGUCUCACCGUUGAUUUCUUGUUUCGUUUUCCUCUUAUUUUCUCAAAUCUCCUCGCCCUCCCUCAUUUGAGGAAAGGGGUUGCCAUCGUCUCUUUAUGUUUGUGUUGUUAGAUCACAAACAUUAAGAUCAAAACUUGGUAGAUCACCAACAUAAAUAGCUCUAUGUAUUGAGAUUCGAGAGAGACUUGGUUAAGGUUGUCUUACUAUGACAACUCUCAGAUCAAACAGAACUAAUAUGUGAUUGAAUAAUACGAAAAUAUAAAAAUCUUAUACUUUUAUGAGAAUUGUCUUGUGUGAGAUUGUCAACAGCCCACCUAGCAUAAAUAGAAAAACUUAUUUAUGCUUAAUUAGUGCCGCUUGCACGACAGAUUAUCGCAAGCACGAAUCUAAUUAUGGAGAGGUUCAAUAAAGUUGGUUAAGCUUCAAUCUCCAUCUGAUUAACUGAUCGAAAAUGAUUUGACAUGGAACAUGACUUAGCAACAAAUCCCUCCCUUUUAGUCCCACCUAAAUUUGAAGCACACAAGAAAAAAAAAAAAAAAAAAAAAAGGAAACAACAAAUGUAAACAAAUUCAUUCGGUCAAAUUGCUUGUUUUACUUUUGUUGAACUUAAUCCUACACUUGAGUUAAAGAAAAAUAUACAUGCUACUAAGAUGUCAAAAUAGACCCAUAUUCUAAACUAAUAAUGUGAAGUUAAACUUCAAUCAUACAAUAUCACGUAAUUAUUAUUUUUUCGUUAAAAAUAGAACCAGUUGACAGUUUCAUUAUGGAAAUUCAUUCUUUCGAAGGUCGAAAAGACUCAUAAAGGCAUCUCAGCCGCUCCCUAUUCACAUCUCGAUUGAUUGAAUGUAGUUGCUACCCUUUCUAACCAAAACCAAUAGCAGAACGAAAAUGGAGGUGGAAAUAAUAGCAAAGAUGGCACGCCCAAGGCAUGCAGAUCCCCGUGCAACGAUUGGGACACAAACAAUUAUUUACCAAAAUAAUGUUUUGUUUAAUUUAAUUUAGUAAAACAUCAUGAUGUUUUCCAUUCUUCUGCUGCCUUGAUUAAUAAUUUUGUUGUGCUGCAAAUUAAUGAUGUUUUUAAAUGUUUUGGGGAUCAUAAGAUUGCUUUUGUUUUGAAUAUGCUUAUCAUAUCAUUAGGUACAAACUUUACCUGCGGAUUUUUUCUAUAAACAUGCUUCUUGUCUGACAUGCACUUUCUUUGUCAUGUGCUUUGCCUAAGCUUUUCCUAAUAAUUCAAUGCUUAGCUUCAACGGUUGUGACUUGAAACCAAAAUAUAAAAAUCCCAAAUUCGUUUAAGGAUUUUUGUUUGGAACUACUUUUAAAUGACUGCAAGCGUUUUUGUGAAAAUAUUUUUGAAAACAAUCUUUAGUAAAAAUGCAAGUAAGUGUUUUGAAACCAGAAACAUUUUCUCUAUAAAGAAUUUCAAUCAUUUUAAAAAUAUUUCCAACUUUUGCCCUAAGACUACAUAUCUAAUUCAUCAAGAAUCCAUUAUAAAGAUAAAUGUCCAAAAAAUUAUUAUUAUUAUUUUUAUAAAAUCUCUUUAAAUUAUUAAAUCAGUGCAAUAAGGUAAUGAGUGCAUUGAUCAAAUCAUUGGGUGCGCCACGCUCUCAGAACCCUUAAAAUAAAAAUAAAAAACUCACACCAAACCGGACCAUCGGCAUUUUUGGUACAAAGGCCCACCCCAGUCAUUAUAACAACAUUAAACCAGGCCCAACACUUUGACUGCCCAUUAAGCCCAAUCUAAAUCUCCUCUCCCGCUCUCAAAUUUCUUCACUUUCUCUGAGCUCUCUCAGUCGGUGACCUCCAUGAUUCCUCUGCAAAUCCACCACCUCACCCCACGUUUCCUCAUUUCCCAAACUACCCCUCUCCACUCCGCUCUCUCCCCCACCUCUCAAGCUGUCAAAUUUUCCCUCAAACCCUACCCCUUUUCGUUUUCCCCAAUUUUGCUAUCCAACCCCACCUGCAAAUUUCUGAAAGCCGCAGGGAGCCAAACGUCGUCGCUUUCUAGAAAUGAGGAAGAAAGCGCUGGAAUCUCAACCGGGCUCGAAGACUUGUCGGCGGACGGCGUCGUUUAUAAGAAGACAUUAGCGUUGGUGGAGUGCUCCAUGUUUGCUGCGCUCACUGGCUUGGUGUACUUCCUCAGCAAUUCUCUCGCAAUUGAGGUUUGUUAGGUUGAAUUGAAAUUGGGUUUUUGAUAGUUCAGAGAAGAACCCAAGUUAACAGUUUUAAUUUUGUAAUGUAUGAUGCUUUUGUUAAUGUUCUUGCUUAUAAAGUAGCUUGCUUUACAUAUUUUGUUGGGAUUUUUUUUCUUCUUAAUUUUCAAUUUUAACAGUAUAGACACUUAGUUUUGCUGUUAGGAUACUUCGCUUCAAUCUUUGACUGUGUGCAGAGAUAUACAAAAACAAGUUUUGAACAAUCCGAUAGCUAUUUUGGUUCUAACUUAUAAGUCCUCAAGUUAAUUUUUCUAUUUUUUUGUUCCUGGUAUGAAUUUGAUGUUUAUAACUAGUGUACUCAUGUCGGGUUUUGUAUGAACUUUGCUGUGAUUAUCUGUGACGCUUUGCCUGCUAGUGGAGGAAGACCUAAAGGAUAAGAACCUAAGAGGCAUAGGGCUAGAGAGAGGUUAUGCAUUCUAGUAUAGGUUAUCUCAAUAAUGUUUGUUGUAGUGCAGAAUUAUUUUGGCUGCUUCUUCUCGCUGCCGAUAGUGAUCACCUCAAUGAGAUGGGGCAUCGCCACUGGAAGAAAAACUAUGGUUUGUGACCAUCCAUGACCUGCCAUGUUUGAAGUGGUUUGGUGUAGUGUUUUGUGUUACAUAAUUGCAAUGGUUUUCUGAUCUUGCUAGGUUGCAACAACUAUGCUGUUGUUAAUCCUGUCUGGUCCGGUGAAAGCCUUAACCUAUCUGGUGAGCAUGCUGUCUGUCAAGUUGUUCUUGUUAUUGUGAAUUAGUAUGUAUAGCAAUUUUCUAAUUCUUCAUGUUCGAACAAGUUGCAUCAUAGUAUUUCAUAAUCUCUCCUUGCAUAAAAUAGCUGAGAUAUUGUCAUAAUUCUCAAACCAUUCCAGAUUAGUUGAUCCAUUCCAAUUGAUCAAGGUGGCCUGGUUUCACCUAAAAUUUGGUGAAUAUCGAAUGUUUGCACUUAACCAUGCUAAUUGAUUAUCUUGUGCAGCUUAAGCAUGGUUUAGUUGGUUUCACAAUGGGAAGUUUAUGGAGGUAUGAAGUGAUUCAAAUUAGUUUAAGCAGUGGCUAAGGAUUACCUUUUUGACAUCAUAGUUUUAUGGUGAGUCUACGUCGUGCUGCUUGGCAAUUUUAACUUUUAUUUUUUAUCUUCUCAGGUCGGGAGCAAACUGGAGUCUUUCUAUUUUCUUGUGCACAAUUGUAGUGUUUCCUCCCUUGUGCACCGAAUUCAUGAAAUCUAUUGCAAGCAGUGGUUGUCUCUUAACCAGUUAAAAAGCUUUUACUGAUGGUAACGGUUUUAUUAUAUGUGCAGGUUCGAUCACUGGGUCUUGUAGGGUAUGUCCUGAUAUCGUCGUUCUUGAUAAGUGAAAACAUACUUGCUUUGGUAAUUUACUAUCCUUUUAAACCAUCCUUUGAUAUUUGCUUUAUGCAGUACCAGUAUUUGAGUUAAAUGGUUUUGUUCGUGGAUCGGUUUGCUUGCAGAUCACUAUAAACAUUCAUGCUUCUCUAACAUACAUAUUCACUGCAUCGGGCAUCUAUACAGUCCCGUCAAUGAAAGCAAUUUAUGUCUUAUUUGGUACUCUGGUAUAUCUCUCUCUGCCUCUCUCACGCACACACUAUCUUAUAUACUGAAGUAUUAAGGCUUCAUAGUUGUAACAGGUAUUGAUUAAUUGCGGAUCCUUCGUGUUCUUGCUACACCUAUUAUAUUCGGUGUUCCUUAUGAGGCUUGGGAUGAAAGCAUCAUUAAGAUUGCCAAGAUGGCUGGAGAGGGCUAUAUAAUUUGACUUCCCAGAGAUUGAAUAAUUAACAACUCCAUAUUACCACAUGUUAUAGGUCGGGGGAAAAAACCAAAACCGCAACCGCAACCACAACGGUGGUUUCAUUUCUUUAAGUGAGACCAUGGCGAAGAUUCAGUAUCAUGUAUCAUCACAUUAUUCAUCAUUGUUCAUGACUACGUUCCUGUCAUGUAUACAUAAAGCUACGUUUUGUAUCGAAAACAGGCAAAUGUCGAUAUCCCCUGUUUGCAUUUUGUAUCGACAAGAAACCUCCCUUGAGCUGCACCAUUCUCGACUUUGCAAGCGCGUCUGAAACGAAAACUGAAAAACGCAUAGAGAACUCAGGAAACGGAUGCAAUGUGAAUAUUUCUAAAUUUCUUGUCGUGUCGUGUAGGAGAAAGAAUGAGCACAUAAUAUCCUGUUCUCACCUAAAACAAAAGGUUGUGAUCUCAUGAACGACUGAUGUUGCAAAGUGAAGAUAGAGUCGUUGCGUUAAGAAAAGGAGAAAAUUCAGCCAAAAGACAUGAUAUCGGCUAAUGAAAUUCGUAAGUAGACACUAUAUCCAUAAAAAUAGUAGCGUGUCAUGUAUUUCCAAUACACGGACCUAAGAUCUAGUUUGGGAGUGAGGUGCUUAAAAAAAAAGCACCCAUGAAAAAAAGCUGUGAGAGUUUUAGGUGUUUGGUAAACUGAAAAAAAAAAGGCUUAUUUUGGAAGCUGCUGUGAGAAUAAGCUGAAAUCAAAGGAAAAAACUGAAGCUGCUAUUUGCAGCUUUGGAAAACUGGCUUUUUUUCAAAGCACAUGGAGCUACAGUGCUUUUUUAAUGAAAAGACUCACUAUUAGACUGCUUUUUUUUCCAAAAACACUUUUACAAAAAAGUUUACUAAACACUUUGCUGAUUUAUUUCACAGCCGCUUAUUCUCACAGCACAGCCGCUUAUUCUCACAGCAGCUUUUUUUCAAAGCACAGCAAAUACCAAACCAGCCCAGUAACAUAUUACUGUACCUGUACCUGUAAAUGCACAGUAACCAAGAAGAACCAAGCUCUCAUCGACCCAAGGAACUCUGCAAACACAGGAAGUUCAAUACAUGAGAAACGUCAAGACCAUCAACAACACAAGAAUAACAUUUCCACUUGAAAGAGCUCGCAACGUAAUAUCAAAUGCAACAUACCCGUCGUUCAAUGGAAGAUACAACAGUGACUGCACAGAUUAAAAAAUAAGGAAAACUAAUGAAAAGGGCUUGAAAAUUUUGAGUUUUAAUGAUAAGAACAAAAUAAAGGGUAAAGUGAAUAGUACCAUGAUUGACUUUUUAGUGUAAAAAUAUGGUUUUUCGUUAAAGUGAACAGUACCAGGUGCUUUUCGUUAAAGUUCUUAAAAAAUAUUGGACCUAGUAAUCUAAUGUGGUCUUGAAUUACAAAACAGAGCUUUCCUUCAACAACAAUGGUAAAGCUGAGAAGAAACAACAUGAAACACCCAUUAAGCCAAUCAAGUGUCUAGAAUUAGAAUAACAUCAGAAAGAUGGAAGCAAUACCAUUGCCAGGGCCAAUAGCGUACUUGCUUUCCUUGCUUGAACAACCUUAUGAAGGUUGGACACACUGCACGCAUGCAUAAACCAACAUAAGGAAAAGUGUCGAAUGGCCUUCAACGUACUAAAAGUUUACACAUGAACUCUGAGCCUCUAACACAUGAAUAUGCCAAGAGUAGUAUGGAUAACAAUGAAUUACAAACUUGAAUGUGAGCGUUGGGAGAACAGCAAAAGCUAUCAUUAGAACCAACACAGCUUUGUAUGUUGUGAUUUCUGAAGUAAAAACAAGGAAUUAAAUUUCAGACCAACUGCGAUGGCGAAGCAGCCAAAGAAAUAGUCAUCCACAAUAAAUAUAACCGGUAAUCAGAGCGCAUAAAUGUCAAGGAGACAUUGAGCUCAAUAUAGAUAGGUACUGCAAAAUAAAUGCAGAAAACAUAGCAUGCAGUCAUGUCUCGCAAAAUGUAGAUUCCUACAUGUGUUUGAUGUAAAUAUCAUUUGUACGGCAUCAACUAAAUUAGGCCCGGGCUUACUAUUAAGAACGGGGACCCAACUCAGGAAAGGAAAAGACUUUCCAAGUUGUAAAGCCCACCAGAAACUGAAAAUGUAAAGAGAGAAAAUAAGAGUUCUUAGAGUAAUGGUUUACAAGUAACUUCAAGCUGUGCAUACAAGUAAAGAGUAUCGUAAGGGAUCGUCGAUUCAAUGUUUUACCAAGUAGCGUAUCGUAAGGGAUUUAGGUUCAAACGAUCACCCUAUGUUAUGCAAUUACCAAAACUGAACUCAAGGCAUCUAAUUUAACCUAAGAGUAGCAUCAACAGUCCAUUGGCCACUCGCUGCCGUGGGUGGCGGUCAGCCGUCCCGAUUCGCCGGAAAAUUCAACUAUUUCCAAAAAUUACCAAAAUUUACAGGAAUGAAGAUCUCAAUGAGUAGAGUAAGUUUCAUACAUGUGACCAAGGCCAAUUUGGCCGAGAAACACCUCAAUUUUACAUAAAUCUGUCGGAAACCCUAAAGAGAGUGUGCUUCGAUUCGGCCUCCAUGCUCACUCUGAUGCCUCCACAAGUGUUUGGGCUUUGUUCCUGAGGUUAAGGGGAGUCUAUGGGUGGUGUAAUUGGUUGGGUUAACUUCAAUUUUUACGGAUUAUCAUCAUACACCCACACGGCCCCCGUCGGUUUUUCCUUCGAAAUACCACCAAAUUCUUCUAAUUUUUGGGAUGAAAAUGGAAGGGAGAGGGUUAGGGUAGUAUUUCCAGGUAGUGAUUCAACACAAUUCACCGGGAAUUGGCCGGAAAAUGCACGGAUUUGGCCUUGAUACUCAGCCAGGUCGCACGGGUCAAGGAGGAGACCCAAUUUCUCCCUCCUUCUCACCUUCCCUCCUUUCCCUCCUUUCUCUUCCUUUCUCUUCUCUUUGGUUGGUCAGUCCCCUCUCUUCCUCUCCUCUAAUUGGGCAGCAGCCCUCAUUUCUGCUCUCUCUCAUUCCCCCCCUUUUUCUUUCUCUUAUUCCUCCCCCAAUUCUUACAAAAAUUACUCUUAAAAUAAUGUAAUGGUACUUAAAAAUAUAUAUAAAAUAAUAAAUGGUAAAAUCAAUAUCCCAAUCCGCUUCUACGCAGCCGUAUUGUCGAGUACUACAGAAAUACGCUAAAGGAAUAUUUCAUACGUCUCACUAUACGUUGGUCAAGGUAAGUCAAUACUCUCACCUCUCAGGGCAUUUUUGUAAAUUCACACCUUUAAAAUUUAUAAAAUUCUAGAACUAGGUACAUGUUGUCACACGCACCCCUCUCUAUGGCCUUCAUAAUUAUUCAGUAAAUUGUGUCUACAACAUUCUCCUCCCAUCCUUAUAUAUGGUUAAAUUUUUAAGUCGAGAUUAUUAAAAAAUGAAUUUAAAAUAAUUCUUUUCUUAAAUUAUUUUAAAAAUAUAUAUAUAUUAGGUACACUAUCCUAAUUUAAUUUUAAGAACAUUUUAACUUAAAAAUAUUUAGAUUUCAAUAAAUAUUAAAAGAGAUUUAGGAUAAUUCAGUGAUGAGUUGUUGCUUCUUGCCCCGUUGUAUUUUCAAUACAUUUGGGAGAUGUGGGAACUUCGCACGUGGGUUGCUAAUCAAAAUUCUCUAAGCUAAAAAAAUUAAUAUAAACUAGUCAUAUGCCCACAUAUUAUACGUGUGUAAUUAAAUUUGUUUAUUAUUUGGAAGAAGCGGGGUUUGAAGUGGGACACGUGGGUUUAAAAAAAAAUUCUUCUCAAUUAUUUAAUUUUUAAAUAGGGUGUGUUAUGUUUAUUUGGGUGUGAGGUUUUAUGUAAAAGAAAAAGUAAAAUUUGUGUUCCAUGUAAUUAUCAAAUUGUUCAUGUUUUUAUUUUUGUUUAGUGUUGAUGAGAGGUUUGGAAUAGUAGUAUUAUGAAGUUUUAGUUGACAAAUAGGUUUUUAUUAAUAAGUAGUUUAAAUAGGCUCUCUGUCACCCUAAUUAAGAUAUCUCAAGAUGACAUGUUGAUAUCACAUGUUACUAACAACAUAUGUAACACAAGCGUUUAAAAUUCCAUGGAUAUUCAAAAUACAGAACACCUUCAAAUUUUUAAGUCGUUAAUUCUUGAUCUUUGUGUUUUUGAGCGAAUACUAGAUCAUAUAAUACUUCAAAGCACUACAAAAUAUUUCAUACUGCAUAUAGCUUAUGGGUCCAUUUUAUUGUUCACGCAAUUGUAAUUUGACCCUUUAUUAUUUUUUAUUUAUUUUUUAAAAAAGAACAAGUUUGUGGCAAAGCUAAGACAGUCCACUCUUUCAAAAGCAAAAAAAUUCAUAAAAGUAUUUUAGUCUCCCAUGAUCACCAUCAUGUGAUCAUCAACACCAAAAAUCGAACUCAUAAUUAACCAUGUGAAAUACGAGCCUAGAAUUAUCUCAUAGUAUUACAUUGAAUCGACUCGUGAUUGCUACUCUAUGAACAUUUUUUCUCAUAAAACGUAAGUGUUUUCAUUAAAAGUAUGUUUUACCUAAAAGUUAUUCCUUCAUUAUAAAGCACUUUUAUAACCAGAAACACUUGAAUUUUUUUCUUCAAAUGUAGCCAUAAAGCACUUUUUAUUGCCUGCAAAUAUCUAAGUCACUCCAUAAGUAAUCUCGACAACGUCACAAACUAAUGUAAUCAAUGCAUGCUUGACAUACACAGAGAAACUCACACAUCGAAAAAUAAUUUAACAUCAAAUUAGGAAAUGAACCAAGAUCUAAAUCUUGAUCACACCAACAUAAGAAGUCACCACUGAUCCAAUCCACAAAAUCCCAUUGUGUUCUUCAACCUCACUAACAGACUGCAAAGCUUUACCACCCUCUCCAUCCAAAACCUGCAAAACCCUACCUUGUUUGUCAAGUUUCACCCCCACAGGAUCAUUCACAUUCAACAACUCCCCCGAGCUUUCAUUAUUAUUUAUCAUAUUCUGCACUUUGUUCUGCACUCCCUUAACUCCUCUUCCACUGUUGAGUCCAACCCAAAACUCUCCUUUUUUGGUUCUCUUGAUGUUAUCCGGAGGCCUCUGCAGCUGAGUAAAAAGUUCCAACACAUGAGCUUUGGGGCCUCGGAGCCACAGCCUGUGGAUUCUAAACUCGGCGGAUUCGACGACGAGGACAAAGGACUUGUCGCCGCUCAGAGCCACGCCGUUUGCAAAACCCAGACCGUGGAGCAAUACUUUCACUUUCUUUGUACGUGGGUCGUAUUGUAGUAGCCUACCAGUAUUGUCACCGGCUAGGACCGACUGAACCCAUACCCUUUGACAUUGACGACAAGAAAGUAUAAGAAGGUAAUUAAUAGACCAAAACAAAUUUGACAAAUCUAAC